rnacentral:lncRNA from 1 species
UUGGGGUUGUCGUGUAUGAGGGUGGUUGGCAUCGCGAAGCUGCGUGUGCAAAUCUUAAGUAUGCCGACAGUGAAGGCGGCUGAUGUGUAGUUUAUAUGUGUGGCGAAAGGGUGAACUGUAUUGUGACGAGGUUGGAGGAGAGAAUCUUUUGGUCUAUUUCACUGAAGCCUAACACAUGAACGGAGGUGUGGAGGAAUAGCACCCCCAAGACAACCCUGAAACUAACAACAUGUAGCAGUAACACAAGGAUUCAUUGAAUGGUUCCAAUAAAUCUGAACCAUAACCUACAUGAGUGCAAUCUAAUUAGUCGAACAGUAUGGAAAGGACCCACGCAAUCAACACCUGAAGAGAAUCUGCAACAGAGCUGGUGAGAUAUGUGCACGGCUGCAAUUUAGGCCGGAUGGAGAAAUGGUGCUGUGAUGAUACCGAAGUGUUUCGGACUAGAGUUUCUGAUCUGGGGUAGUAGCCAGCUCUGAAGAAAACACUCUUGGCUGUCGGAACAUAUGGAUAGUUGUGUAUGAGCGAUGCGUCUCAAAGUGGUGCUGGCGGGAAAGUGUAAUGCAGUCUUCUCAUAACUCACUCUAGAGCAAGUUUUCUUGAUUGUGACCUGAAGACCUGAUCUCUGCACGUAAAGGGACUCAUUUGCGACGUUGUCCUACAAAAGAUUCAAAAACACGCACUAAGCUUGGAAGUGACUUUAAUAAACAGAAAACGAACGAGAGUAUUUCACUGCACCUGAAGUGUCAUAAAACGACUUCUCAGCAUUCACCCCGUAAAGUUUUGCAGGGAAUCCAGAUGAGAAAUAAGUUAGUCACACCCGAAUGUAGAUGGCCUUGUCCGUGUUAGGAUUUCUGCCUACAUCCUAAUUUACACGUUGUGCAUGAUGUAGGCCAGAAGGUGGUGUGUGACAUAAUACCUCAGAUUGACUGCAAAGGUCUUCUAUUUUGCAUUCAUCCAACUAUUUGACAUAGCCCAAGAAUCAUCACUUUCUCUCGUCUGAAUUGUGUGACUUUUGCAUCUUUGCCAAUAUUUUCGAAUUUAGAAGCUUGUAAGAGGGAAGGGGUUCCUAGACACAUAUUCUAAUUGAAUCGCAUUUCGCUGUUAUUUUUAACCUAAGAAAUUUAUCUAUCAAUUUAAACUUGUUGCCAUACUUCUCUACUAUUUUUAACUCAAAAACUUUAUCUAACAAUAUAAACUUCAUGCCAUAUUUCACUACCUUUCUUUUCUAGUGUAAAACAUUUACUAAGUAACACUUUGCGACGCAUCGCUCGUACACAACGAUCUAUAUGCUCACACAGCCAGCAACACUUAGUUUGAUGGAUAUCUGGCUUCGCCUUAAUUUGAAAGAAAGUUCUACAUCAACUUCAUUCUAAAAAUAAAGACUUUUUCGUCGUCUUCAGCACUUGUUAUAACCUGAGUAAUGAUGACAUUUGGAAUAAAGGCAUCUACAAUAAGCUGUAUUCUAUUGCAUAUUGUGCUUGCUAUAUUGUUAUUAAAGCUCCAAAAGUCACUUUUAGUAAAUGAGAUAGAAAUCUAUUUACAAAAAGAAUAUUUAAGAAACUCAACUAUGUAGAUUGCUUGAUUGUUAUUAUCAUUAUUGCAAAUUGAAUUUGCAGAAAGAAAUUCUACCUCUUUAUGAGAAAUGUUUUGCAAGAUUCAAAGAUUAUGCAUAUUGAUGGAUGAAUUUGUAGUGGAUUAAAUUAAGGAAUUUGUAGUAUAUUUGUGAUCAUUGGCAUGAUCAAUAAUAUUGCUAUAGAUUUUUUUCAAUUAACUCACGAAUGGUUUUGCAAGUAGCAAUUUCUUGAGGAAUGUAGAUUAUAUUUUCAUGUAUAUUUAAGUGAAUAACCUCUUUUCUUUUGCCAAUGCAAAGCAAAUAUUAUAUAAAAGAUCUUUUUCUUUUCUUUCUACUCCCUUAGCUUGGCACUAUUUCAUAUUAAUUGUAGUAUGUAUUUUUUUUUGUAUAGAUGGCCAUAAUUAAGAGAACUUUACGCUUAAAUUAAGAGUUUGUAUUCUCAUUCAAUGACAAAGAACUAACAAAAUUUGUUAGAAGUCCCUGCUCUAAACAAUAAGAUUUUUACUAAAUGAUUGAUCAACAUUAGAUAUAUCUUCUAGCAACUUGUCUUCAACUUUAAAGGUCACCCUAUUGGUCAUUGGAGUAUCACUCUAUAUGAAUAUCUUAGUAGUUUUAAUCAAUUUUUGUAGUUUUGAUGCUUUUGUGAUGCUGUAAUUUAUGCAGUCAUUGACAUUAAACAAGAUCUUAAAAGUGGAUUGAAAUGAUUUUCAACUUGAGAGUAACAGUGCUACAAUGCCAAAAGAAAGAACAACUAAAGUAAUUUCCUCAUUUUUGCUAUAAUAGGCUAAUAAAAGUUUGUAGAUGAAGGUUUUUCUUAUAUUGCCUCAACUAUUAAUGAAAAAACAUCUUUUAUUAUAAUUGGUAUCAAUUUCAGUAGCAAUAACUAUAUUAUACACAACUUUUUGAUUAUCAUUUAGUAAUAGAAUUGCAUAAAGAAUAAUAUUCAUUUCAACAAGAUCAUAUAAUAUAUGAUUUGUAAAAAAAUAGCUAUCUUUAGUAAAUAUUUAGUGAUUGGUAAUCUUUUCAUUUAAAUGAGAUAGACAUAAACGCCUAAACAAAUAUAUAUUUUUUAUUUUGUAAAAGAUGCGAGUGAAUAGAAAUUUGACAAUAACAAUAGAUUUGUUAGUAAUAAGAACACCUUAUUGCAAAGAUAAACUACAAAUAAAAUCUUUGGUUAUAGGAACAAUGUUUGCAUCUUACAAAAUUUUAAUAUUUGAAAUAUUUUUAAAAAAUAAAAUUUGGACAAAUAAUAGCCUCAUUGUCAUUAGUAUUUAUUUCACAUCAACAUCAUUCACUACACAAGACACUUUGUGUCAUCUUCCAAAUAUCCAAAAGUACUUGAUGGAUUCAAAUGAAGAAUAAAACAUAUAAGCAAAUGAUCAAAGAUGUUCAAAAGAAUGAGGACCUUAAAUAUAGAGUAAGAACAAAUAUAGAUAGUAUUAUUUUUUUUUAAGAUGGAUUGGAACAACACAUUUGCAAAACAACUUUGUUUCUAUUAUGAAUCUUUUUGCUUCAAUAAGUAAAAUUUUAAAUUUUUUUUGUUUUAAAAGAUUUUUAGUUGCAUCAUUAUUUAUACAUAUUACAAAAAAAUUCUAUUAAUGUUGUCUAUGCAUGUCUACUAAGUACAUUAUCUAGAUUUCUAUUAGAUUUAUAAUACAUUAUAAACAAACAUGCAACGAUUGCAAAUCCAAUUUGGAAGGUGGAUUUGGAAGGUAGAUUUGCAAUGGUUGAACAUUAUGGCUUCUAAAUUGAGCUUAAUAUAAUUUUUUUAAAAUACUUUUGGUGAUGAAGUGUAGUAAGCAUCAAAAAAUUUCUUAAUUUCUUUAAGGCUUCUAUAUUAUUACAUUCUUUCAAAAUGAUUGCAUCGUGAAUAUACAUAAUUACAUGGAUAAGAAGUGCUAAGUAGAAAAUAAAUGUAGAUUAAUUUGAUAUUAUCUUAUGGUGAAGCUUCUUAAAAGCUUCAUAGAUGCAUAUUUGAUUUUUUACAUAUUUAUAGUUGAUUGGUAGGUUAAAAAAACUUAGCCAAUAAGUUAGCCAUAUGAUACAUAUGUAGGUAGCUUGUGGUCCAAAGUAACAAUAUGGCAUGCAUAUAAAAAACUUGCCUUACAAAUUAAGACAUGUAUUUUACAAAUUUGACAUAUGUUGGAGGUCCUAUAAAAUAUUGCUACAUAAAUCCUAUAGAAUGUUGUUACAUAGAUUCUAUAAAAUAUUGCCACAUCAACCAUGGAGGUAGUAUUUUGAUGCCUAUCGAAGAUGUCAUCAACAAAGUUUAAAGUUGAUACCACAAAGUUAUUUAAUUGAAAGAAAUAAGUAGAUUAAGCUCACAAUUAAAUUGAAGAAGCCUUCCUAUUUGAAGUAUAAAAGAAAAAAUGAUAAGUAUGUUAGAGAAGUUUGAUAGAAUAAGAUAAAUGUUUUGAAGAUUUCUAUAAUAAAUAAAGUUAUAUUUAAGAUUUCAUCUUUUUCAAUAUUUUCAUUGCUUUAUUCAAACUGAAUUGAUAGAUACACUUCUCUCUAAGAAUGAUUUCUUGAUUUGCAUCUUUGAUAGAAAAAGAUUUACACCUUAUCUAUGAUCUGAAUUCAUUCUUAGAAGUAUUUAUGACAAAUUUUAGAAAAAAAGAUCAAGAAACAAUAAUAGAUACCAAAUUUGGCCUUAUAAUGGAUUUUAAAAAGAUUCAAACUAUCAUGGAUUGGAAGAUCCCAAAAAUAGUUAGAGACGUGUAAUAUCUUUUAAAAUUUGCUAAUUAUUAUCAGAUCUUCAUCAAGAACUUUUUUCAAGUUGCGGCUCUUAUUACACAUCUAAUAUGUAAAGACAAACUUAAGCAAAUCAAUGAAGUUGAAGUAUCAUUUAAAGCUUUGAAGCCAAAAUUUAUUUUUGUAUAAAUCUUAUAUUGCAUUGAUUUUUUAAAGGCAUUCUUUAUAAAAAUAUAUGUACCAAAUUUUGCUAUAAAUGAGAUGUUAUAAUAAAUAGAAGCAAACAAUAAGUUCUAUCCAAGAGCUUUCUAUUCUAAGAAAUUUUUAGCAACCAAAAUUAACUAAAAGAUCUACAAUUAAGAGCUUCUUGUAAUUAUUGUUUUAUUUUGAGAAUAGCAUCAUUUUUUAGAAGAUACUUUUAAUUGGAUCAUUGUACAUAUGGAUCUUAAGAACCUUAAGUAUUUCAUGUUGGCACAUGUUUUGAAUUAUUACUAAGCUCCUUAAAACCUAUCUUUAUCAAGAUUUGAUUUCAAGGUCACUUAUUGAUCUAAAAAAUAAUAAGAUUUAUCAAAUAGACUUUCUAGAUGUUUUUAUUUUAUACUUGAAGAAAGAAAUGUAACUUUUGAUUAAAAAAAAAUAAUUUGCUUAAAGCGAUAAUAUUUUCAUCUUCAAGUAAUGAAAUCAAUAUUAGCUAUUGAUUUAAUUUUUUUCAAGCAAGUUCAAUGGAGUAUGUCUUUUGAUCUUUUUGUUUUAUGAUAUUAAAAAUAAUUCUUUUAAGUCUUAUGAAACUUGAAGAUUUAAUUUUAAUAAUAAUCUAUUCUAUUUUGAGAUACAAUUAAAUAUUUUAAAAAGUGAAGCACAAUCAUGACUUUCUAAUAGCAAGAUAUUUUGGAUAUAAUAAGACUUUGGAACUAAUAUCAAGAGAUGAUCAAAGACUUUGUACAAUUAUUUUAGGUGGCUUCAAAUAUAAAAGGUGGUUAAAGAUUUUAUACAAUUGUGUGACAUUUAUUCAAUAUCAAAAUUCUUUAUCAUCAAUUUUAUGGACUUUUGCAGCUAUUAUCUAUUUUGGAACAACCAUAGUCUUUUGUUUCUAUGGAUUUUAUGACAAAUCUUUCAAUCUUGAAUUCUAAUGAUUCUAUAUUUGUGAUAAUAGAUCAUUUUACCAAGAUGGCAUAUUUUGUACUAUGUACAAAAUCUAUCACUAAUAAAGAAACAAUUAAGUUUUUUUUGAGAAUAUUUAUUACUAUCAUAGAUUGCCUAAAGCUUUUAUAUUAAAUAUAGGAACUCAAUUUGUAUUAAUAUUUUCAAAAAUCCUUUUUAAAAUUCUAAAAGUAGAUAUAAAUCUAUCUUUAGUUUUUUUUACUUCAAACUAAUAUAAAUUCAAAGCAUAUUAAAUAAGCUUUAAAAUAAUAUUUGAGGUAUAUCAUCAUAUAUCAAUAAUAUGAUUGGAUAAUUUUUUUUAUCAUUGAUAGAAUUUUCUUAUAAUAAUAUAAUAUUAUAAAUUAUGAUUUUCUAUUUGAAAAUAAAUUAGGUACCUUGUUAUAGAAAGUUAAGCUUUAAUUUAUUAGAUAAGUUCCAACAAGUGAUGUAUUCUUAUUAUAAAGGCCAAAUAAAUAUAAUAGUAUUAAAAAAUUAUUCUAUUAAUAAAAUUAUUUUAUAUUUAAGAAGCUUGAUAUGUAAGGCUUUUUAAAGCAUCUAAAAAUAUCCUUACAUUCUUUGCUAUACCAAAUCAUAACUAAAUUCUCCAUCAAUAAGCUUAAUUUCUAAUAAGCUCAAAGAAAAUCCAUAAUCCUCUCUCAUAUUUACAAGCCAUCUUUAUAUCAUAAUUUUUUUAUAGCUCCAUAUUUCUAUUUUUAAUACAUAUAUAAAGUCUUGGCUUUCAAAAACUCUGUUAUUUUAUACAAAAUGCCUAAAUUAAAGCAAAAUCCUUUCAAAAUAUUUUUCUUUUAUAAAGGAUAUUUCUCUCUAAAUUUUAGAAAUCAAUAAUUCUUUAUUAUUAUUUUUUCUUUUUUCCAAUUUCUAUAUAAUAUAGAAAUUAUCCUUAAGCUUUAUUACAAAAAAAUGAACCAUAAAUCUACUAUAGAUUAUCUAGCAUCUUAGAAACUUUAGCAGAUGCUUUAUAUCCUAAUUUACAAGCACCUGAGUAGUUUUUUCUCUAUAUCUCAAAAAUCCAAACUUUAAAUGCUACGAAAUUUGUGCAUAAAUUUUAUUAAUAUGAUAACAUACAUUCUUAAAAAUAUUUAGCUAAAAUUUUAUUAAAUUGCUUAAGAUAUAGCUCAAAAUAUAACCACUAUUAAUUUAGGUCACUUAUUGUCUUUAGAUUGUAAGUGCUGACUUCAACUUCUUAUAACUUCUGUAUCUUAGCUUAGAAUUCAUCAAGUAAUAUUUAGAAAAGUGUAGCAAAAAAAGUGCACUUUACAAACCUAGUUGCCAAUUCUUCAUUGUUUUUUGUACACAUGUAUUAUAUCUAAAAGAAUGAUAGUAGAUAUAAAACCAAUUCUUUAACUUUGAGCAUAUAUAUCUCUUUCAUAAAAACUCCAAAUCAUCCAAAUUUUAUACCAAAAUCAUAAUUAAAAAUCUCAAUUCUUUGAUCUUAGCCUUCCAAGUUCAAAUGAUCUCAAAAGAGUAAUCCUAAUUCCUAAUAAGGCCUUGAACAACCCCCUUAAAGUCCAUUGGACAUGCUUUUUGGCCAAUAGCAAUAGAAAUUUUUAUCAUCCAUUUCUAUUCAUCCAUAUGGAUAUUUUAAUUACUCUUUUUGCUAUCAAAAUUCUUUUUUAAUUCUUUUUCUUAUAAGAUUUAUAUAAUAUAUGUUCUAAACAUCAAAUAAAAGAAAUAAAAUAAGACUUCAAGAAUCACCAAUGUCUUCUAAAAGUAGUCAUAAAUAUAUAAAAACUAUUAUCAAUAUAAAAUCAACUUCAAUAAUAGCCUUUUAAAACUAAUUAUUUUAAAGUAGUAAUCUAAUCAUAUUUUGUGACUAACUAAAAUUUAAUAACGCUGCUCUUAUUAUAUUGUAUAAUAAAUUAUAUAUAUAUAUAUAUAUAUAUAUAUAUAUAUAUAUAUAUAUAUAUAUAUAUAGUAUUUUCACAUAGUAACCAAACCACAACAUGACAACAAUACAUUUUUUUAUGUAAUAAAUAUCUUUUUUUAAUAAUUAUGGUUAUUAUCUAUAAUUUAAUGCUUUUGACUUCUCAAAAGUUGAUAAUCCUAUGAUAAAAGAUUUAGUUAAAUAUUUAUUGGAGCUACAUAUAAUAAUAAAAGCACAACUCAAAGAAGCUUAAGAAUGAUAAAAGAUUAAUGGAGAUGCUUGUUGUAAGGAAUAAUAUCAAUUUUGCACUGAAAACAAAGUAUGGUUAUUUUAUUGUAAUAUUAAGACAAGCUGCCUUUGUGAUAAGUUAGAUUAUCAUAAGUUUAAACUAUUUCUUAUUUGUGAAUAAAUCAAUCUUGUUGCUUAUUGAUUAUAUCUAUUUGAAUUAAUGAUAAUUCAUCUUGUAUUCUACAUAUCUUUUUUUGAAUCAUAUAAUAUAAUGAAUAUUUCUAAAAAAAAAACCACUUCUUUCUAUAAAAGUAGACUAUAAUAAAGAAUGCAAGAUCAAAGAAAUCAUAGAUUCAAGGUUGUAUUAAAAUAGAUUAAAAUAUAUUAUUCAUUGAUAUAGAUAUGAUAUUACUGAAUGCACAUAAAAGCCUGGUAAGAAUUUUUGAAAUGUAGCAAAGAAAGGUGAUACUUUUUUAUCAAUGACAUCUAUUAAAAUCAAGAUGAAGAAUAACAAAUAUUUAUAAUAAAAGAAAUAUUUUUUUAGAUAAGCUUGUAUUCUAUUUUUUUAUCUUUAUUUGUAAUUUUUGUAUAUUUGUGGCACUAAAGAGAUGGAAAACCAACAUUCAUCAGAUUUAACUCUAAAACUUUUGUUUAUUGACUUACUAGAAGAGAAAUUACAAUUGUCACAACCUUCAAGAUAACAUAAUCAAGAUGAAGUCUUUCAAGAAUAAUAUGUUUUUUUUUUUUUUUUUUUUUUUUUUUUUUAAGUUAAUGGAAAGAUUAAACACAUUUGAUAUGACAAACUUGGAAGAGAUUUGUUAUGUUCGGUGGUUUUUUAGAAGUCAAAAUGAGUCAUAAUAUUUAUAUAAAUAUUUUGUUUGGACAAAGUUACAAAGGCUUCAACAAUAACUAAAUAAUGGAAUAGUCUUUUCUCCUUGAGAUGAAACAUUAUCAAUAGUUGAGAAAACUUAUCAACGACUUUAAAAGAAUGAUAGAUCAAAUAAUGUGACAAAUAUAUUUUAUUGUAUCUUGAAUUUCUUCAAUAUAUAAUGACCUCUUAUUGCGGAAUAUGUUCUUAGAAGGUGGAAUAAUGUCAUGGACCUAUAUUACCUAGAUAUAUUAUAUUUAUCUAGAUAAGAAGUACUAGAUGGAAGAAAAAUAUAGAUAUACUUGAUAUUAUAUAGUAGCAAAGCUUUAUAGAUGCAUAUUUGACUUUAUACAUGUUUAUAGUUGAUUGAUAAGAUAGAAACUUAACUAAAAAAUUAACUAUGUAUUAUAUAUGUAAGUAGCUUGUGAUAGAAGGUAAUUAUAUUAGAUGUCUUAUAAGUUAAGACAUAUAUCUUGUAAAUUGGACACAUGUUUGAAGUCUGAAAAAGAUAUAAACUUCAAAGAAUUAAAAUAUCAAUAUAUUCUUGUAUCACUCAAAAAGAUUAGAAAAUCACUCAAAGAUGAUAAAGAAUUAAAUUAGAAUGGUUAUUACUAAAGACAAGAAGACCAAAAUAUCUUGAAAUAAGAUUAAAGAUUAAAAAAAAAUUGACAAGAGUAAAGCAAGCUUCAUUCUUGCCUCUAUAUAUAUUCUUAAUUAAGAGUUAUGUAGCAAUAUCCUAUAAGACUUCCAAUAUGUGUUGACUUUGCAAGACACAUAUCUUAACUUAUAAGGUAAGUUUCUUAUAUGUAUAUUACAUAGUUAACUUAUUUUGUAAGUUAUUAACAUGUGAUUAAUUUAUUGACAAAUUUUUUUACCUAUCAAUCAACUAAAAAUACAUGUAAAAUCAAAGAAAAGGUUGUUGAGCUCCUAAAAAGCUUUAUUUAAAAAUAUUAUGAAAUUAAUUUAUUUUUAUUUAUUUCUAAUUAAUUAUAUAGGUAACUAUUGAAAUAAAUAUAUAUAUAUCCAUGAUAUUAUCUCUCCUUCUAGAGAUAAGUUCUAUGAAGAGUGAUAAUCACAUAUUAAAAAAAUCUAAGAUGUGAAAAAUUAUGUUUGUCACAUACUCUGAUCUUUUGUUCUCUUUGAAGAUAGUUGAAAGGUCCUUUCAACCAUUGAUAGUAUCUUAUACCAUAGCAAAAAGUCCACCCUAUUAUUUGAUCAUUAUUAAGGCCUCUGUAAAUCUUUUUUAAUAAAAUAUUUGAAAUAUUGUCAAUAGUUGAUCUUAUUUCUAAUGAAAUCACCAAAUAUUAGAAGUUUCUUCUAAGGUUGUGAUACCAAAUACGUUGUAACUUACCUUAUAUAUAAGAAAAGAUAUGUCAUUCAUGAUGAUCUUCAUCUUGAUUAUGUCAUCUUAAAGGUUGUGACAUUAUAAUAUCUUGUCUAAUAAGUCAGCAAACAAUGGCUCUUAUAUUGAAUCUACUUGUUAGGAACCAUAUAAUAAAUAAGGAUUCAAGACUAAAAAAUGGAGUUAGCUCAACAUUAAAACAAUACAAGGCAAGAAGAUCUUGACUAGACCACAAGAAGUGAAUUGUUGAGACUGAGAAUCCCCUUAGCCUUGAGUCUUAUAUAUACUAGAUCUUAGGAAGUUUCUUAAGAAGUUUCUAUAAGGCUUGGAAACAAAAUAAGCCUAAGAUCCUUCUUUGGCAACUUCCUAAAUCAUCUGAAGCCUCUUAAAACCGUCUAGGAUUUUUUAUGAGCUUCUAGAACUUUCUUAAAUCUACUAGAAUCUUUUGAAAUCUUCUUAGAACCUAUUAGAUCUUUUGGAACCUUCUAAAUUUUUUUUAGGAUCUACUUGAACCUUUUAAAAUCUUCUAAAAUCUCCUAGAACCUUCUUAAAUCUUCUUCAGUUGUAUGUCCGUGACAUCACCUCUACUUCUAGCUUUGAGGUCUUUGAGAAGCAAUGUUGUUACAAAUCAAUAUAUGUGUAAGAAGUUAAAGAUCUAUCGCAUCAUGUCUCCUAUAUAUUUCAUUUAUUUUUCACAAGGCAAAUGGUUCAUAGGCCCCUGUAGCUAUUCAUAGUGCCUCAAGCCUUCUACUUAUGACCAAGCAUGAACUUCAAUAUCUUUAUUAUGGAAUUAUCAUACAAACUCUCUUUGUAGAUAUCUUUCAUAAGAAGAUUCUAUCUCAAACAUAAUUACCAGCAACCUAUUACUAGAUAUCCUUCGACGUCUUUGUGAUUUAGGCAGCUCUUCAUCUUAAGGUCAUGUCCGCAAGCUACUUGGUUGAGAUAAUAUGACCAACAAGGCAUCUAUCUGUUGACUAUCUAUAUUAUAAAGUAGACAAGACCAAAAGAAUAUAAACAAGCUAUGGUCGUAAACUCGAACUAUUGACUUAUACUAUUCUAAACAUUUGAAAAAACUUCCUCUUCAGAGGUUGUCUCCUCCCUUUCUUUAUGACGCCAAGAAUUAAGAAAUUUCAUACUGAAGCUAUUUUACUAAGCUACAACUCUUUAUUUUGUCGCUUUUGGUCUAGAUAGAUGUCAGUGAUGGAACUUUUGAACCUUCAUUUGUUCAUUUACAAGGUUGCUAGCUGAUUUCAAUGUGCGAUAGUUGAUAUCAUAUCCACAACAAUGGACCAGAUAUUCAAGCCUUCCAUGUCUUAUCCUUGAAUCUAAUACCUCUUCUACCUCAAAUUCAACAUGAUUAUUGAUUUCAACCAUAGAAAGUAGUAGUUAUCUUUGAUAUAGUAUAUUCAAUUCUUUAUAUCUUUUCAAAAGUAAAACAUAAAAAAUUGGGUAAAUAUUUAUGGAUUAAGAUAAUUCUAAGCAAUAAGUUACAUUAUUAAUUUGUUUCUAAAUUACAAAUGGUUUCAACCUUUGAUAGUUCAACUUAUCAUAUGCUUUGUUGGUUUUUAUAUUACGCCAAAGAAGCCAUACUUUGCCACUAACUUAGAAUAGAGGAUGUUCUUUCCUCAAUUCAUUUGCUAAUAGCUUAUAAAGUUGUUGAAUCCUUUCUAGGUGAGUCUUUAUAGUUGCUUGAAGUUUGGCCAUCUUUGUAGGAAACUCCUAUGCUCUUGGAUUUGUCGACUUUGAAGGCUCUAUCAUAUCCAACAUUGGAUGAUGACCAUAGUUUGAAUAGAAUGGCGUUUGUUACAUAGAUGCAUGGAUUGUAUUAUUAUAUGCCAACUCUGUCAAUGAUAAGUAGAAAGUCCAAUCAACUUAUUGAUAGUUGAUGGUGCACCUCAAAUAUUGCUCAAAAAUUUGCUUGACCCGCUCUAUUUGGCCAUCAGUUUGAGGGUAGAAGGUAGAGAAAAGAUUGAUGUCAACCUUAAGAAUCUUAAAGAGCACCUUCCAAAACCUUGAUACAAAUUGUGGCCCAUGAUUUGGCAUAAUGUUGUCUUGCAACCCGUAGUAACAAUAGACAUUGUGAAUAAAGAGUCUUAUUAUCUCUUCACAAGUAAUUAACUGCUUGCAAGGUAUUAAUGUGCAAUCUUGGUCAAUCAAUCAAUAACUAUGAAGAUAGUAUCAAAUGAGCUUGAUGGUUGAAGAUCUAUAAUGAAAUCCAUGGAGAUAGAUGACCAUAAUUGUCUUCAAAUAGAAAGAGGUUGAAAAAGUCUAUAUGAUCGAUGUUGAGAGUUCUUUGACCUUGAACAAGUAUCACAUGAUAGUACAAAUUUUUUAACGUCCUUUUAUAUUUUUGGUCACCAAAAGUCUCUAGAUAGAAGUUUCAAGGUCUUGUUGAAUCCAAAAUAUCCAAUUUUAGGAAAAUCAUGGCAUGUUUGAAGAACAUGCAAGUAAGUUGGCCCUUUAGGAAUAAACAAACAUUCUUCAAAGAACAAGAAGUUGUCUUCACACUUGAAUUUAGAAGACUCUUCAGGAAGGUUAUAAGCAAGAUGCUUGACAUUAAGAACAAAGGGGUCUAUAUUUAAGGCUUUACAAACUUGAUCAAGAAAUGAAAAAUCCACGUGCAUUGAUACAUUGGUUGCUUGAAGAUGAAAUUAUUCAAGUUUUAACAAGGUUACCCAUUAUUGAUCAUAUGUUGCCUUGUCUUCUUUUGAUUUAAGGUAAGAACAUCUUGAUAAUACAUUUGAUAAUUCUUCUUGGCUCCCAAGUCGAUACGUGAUGCAAAAGUCAAAUCAUGAUAAAGAUAUACUCUAAUGUGCUUGGCAAUAAUUUAAAACUUAAGCUGGUAUGAAGUAUUCAAGAUUCUUGUGAUCUAUAUAUAUAAUCACUUGAUGAGAGGCACCUUCAAAAAAAUGGCGCUAUUCUUGAAAAGAAUCUACAAUAGCAAGUAUCUCUUUAUUGUGGAUUUUGUAAUUAAUUUCUAUCGCUAAGAAUUUUCUAGAAUAGAAUGCAAUUAAAUGAAGUUUGCCAUCUUCUCCAUAUUAUGAAAAGAUUGCUCUCAAUGCAAAGUGUGAGGCAUCAAUCUCUAUAAAAUAGGGCUUGUUGAAAUCUGGAUGUAUCAAAAUCGGAUGUGUUGUGAAAGCAUCUUUUAAGCUUCAAAAAGCUUUCUUUACUUGGAGACUGAAGUCCAACUUGUCCUUGCAUAUCAAGAACAUUAGUGGAGUAGCAAUCUUAGAAUAAUUCCUAAUAAAAAUCUUGUAGAAGUUUGUAAAUUCAAGAAAGUAUUGGACAUCACGUACAGUUUUUGGCUUUACAUAUAAAGCAAACAUGUUUUUUGUGGUCUUUCAAAUUCUUAGAAAAGAUUAGAAUAUCAUCCAAAUACAUCACAACAAAGUUGUCAAGAUGUUCAUAAAAUAUAUCAUUCAUUAAGUAUUGAAAUAUGGUUGGUGCAUUAGUAAGUCUAAAAGGCAUGACAUUGUAUUCAAAAUGUCCAUACCUAGUACAAAAUAUUAUCUUCUAUUCAUCUCCCUCCUUAAUGCAUACCAAGUUAUAUGCGCCUUGUAGAUCAAUCUUUGUAAAGAUCUUUACUUGGCUAAAUUGAUCAAGAAAUUUAGAUAUUAAUAGCAAUGGAUAUCAAUUUUUUAUCAUGAUUUUAUUAAGACCACAAUAAUCAACACACAUCCAUAAAGAUCCAUCUUUCUUUUUUACAAAUAAUAUUGGAGCACCAACUAGCAACUUGGAAUGACAAAUAAAAUUCUUAGCUGGACUUUUCUCUAUGUACUCUUUUAAAGUUGCAAGUUCAUUAUGAAAUAAUUGUAAAUGGAUCCAAACGGUGAUUAAGCACCUUCUUGAAGGUCAAUCACACAAUUAUAAGGGCGAUACUUCAGUAGGAUGUCCGCAUUUUUCUUUUCAAAUAUAUGUACAAAAUCCUUAUAUGCCUUUGGAAUUGUUGUAGCAAUUACAGGUUUCGAUUGUCGAUUUGUAAAGAAAACAAAUGUAGUACCAUGUUUGGCUAUUUUCACAAAUGCUCUAGCUCUAAUAAAUAAAUAUUCUUUAAGUUUUGGCUGGUUAGAUGUUAGAAGCUUUUUCAUAGAUUUAAGGGUUCUAUGAUCUACUAGAAAAAAUUUUAAAUUUUGGAAUAUUCAAUCUAUCCAUGGAUUGUAUUUUUUAAGCCAUGAAAGUCCUAAAAUGAUUAGACUUGAUGGUGAUCUAAUGAUGUUGAAUACUACUUAACUACUAUAUUUAUCAAAGAUUAUUUCUAAUGGAAGUGUUUCAUGAGUGACGUCUCUAAAGGAUAAAGGUCGACCAUCUAUUACUUCUACUUGUAGAACUUUGGAUUUUUUGACGAUACAGAGUAGAUGUGAUCUAAAAAAUUCUUUGUCAAUAAAACAUGUAGAAGCUCUUGAAUCAAAUAAUGCAUGAUAUUCUAGUUUUGUGACUCCUAACGAUAUAAGUGUAGUAAAAUAAUGGGAAGGACCCGCAGAGAGUACAAGAUCUUUUUUGAUUUUUGAUAGUGAAGAAUCCAACCACACAAUGUUGUACUGUAAUUGCUUAUAGUAUAUAAAAAUUAAUUAGAAUAUAUAAUAUAUUCAUAAUUCUAGAUGUGUGUUAGAAAGGUUAAUAGAUUAAAUUGAAAAGAAUUGAUAUAAGUUUUUUUUUUUUUUUUUUUUUUUUUUUUUUUUUUUAAUACUUCUUUUGAUUUUGGCAUUAAAAAAAAUAUAAGACCUAAAUAUUUAGUAUGAAGCCUUGGGAGAAGGUAGAAGCCUAGAGAUGAAAAUUUAAACUAAUAGGAGACUAAUUGGGAGGGAUGAAAGCAAAGCAUGGUCAGAUGAAGGCAAGGAAUGGAAAACAUCAUUCCUAUUGAUCAAAUACCAUAUCUAAUAGGCUUUGAGGAGGCUACCUACGACCUUAAUAAGGAUUCUAGUAACUUCAAAGAGGGCAUUUGGAAAUUAAAAGAUAGAACUAUUAAAUUUAAGAUUUGGAUUAUAAUUUGUGUACAAAAAUUAAAAGAUUAGGAGUUAAAAUGAAGAAGAUAUAGCUGUUUGAAGUUAAGGUGUUAAUUUAAGAUAUAUUUUUACUCUUUUGAAGAUACGAGGAAUUGUACAAUAGCUUUUGAAGUUCAAAAAGUGCAAUUAGAACAAUGUUUUUAAGACCUAUAUCUUUUAUGAAAGAAUUGUUGCUUUUGGAAUGCAUGUGAAGGAGUUAUAGGGAGUUGAAGGCAUCACUUCCAAAUCAAAGGCAAUAAAUCAGUGAUUUUAUUUAUAGUAAUGGUUGGAGCCAUAACUUAAAUUUUUAUACAAAUUUUUAGCUCAAAAUUUUUGGAAAAUAUAAGAUUUUGUAUUAAAAAGCUAUAUAUAUAAAUUUUGUGGUAUUUGAGCUUAUAUUUUGUGAGAUAUGAAGAAAGUUGCACGUAGGUAUAUAAAAAUAAGGAUUUUAAGCGAUUGUUAGGGUUUUUAAGAGAUCUCAAGAUCAGCAACAAAUUUGUAGUUGAAAUUUAUUAUAGAAAUUAAAAAAAUAUAUUAAUAUCUCAUGUAAAAUUUGAGUUUGUUUGGAUGGUCGGAUUAAGAGAUACGAUGUGUUGAAGUUUGGGAAAAUUUCCACAUAAGAAUAUACAAGGUUUUAGAAGAUUUUAUCAUAUUUUGAAUGUUGUUGGUUACUUGAAAUUUAUAUAUUUGGUGUAAUUGCUCAAAAAGAGAAAAUUUACAUAUAAACUUAGGACUUCCUUUAUUUUGAAGCUUGACUAAACAAUUAGUAAUAGCCAAAAGCCUAGUAUUUUUUUGAGGUAAAUUCUCUCUACUCCAACAAUGGUUCUUAUUGUGGCUAAACACCCUUAUUUUUUUGCAACGCUUUUGAAGAUGUGGUAGCAAUCCUCAUUUGAUAUGUAUAUUAGCAUUUCUUUAAACAAUUAUUAACCUUAUAGUGAGGUUUUUUGCAAUAUAAGCAUAGGCCAAGUUCUCUUUGAUAUUUUUUUUUCUUGCUCAAAAAGACGUUUGAAGCGAACUGCAUCAAUUUGCAUAUCUUCUACUUCUAAAUAUUCAUUAGAAUUGGAUGGUGAAGAAGCUAUAGAAUAAUUGGUGUAUACAUGUCGCGUAAUUGAAGAAGAUUUAUCUUGUUGUCAUUGAAAUAAAUGGUUAUUGUACUUCACAGCUUGACUAAUGGCUUCAUUGAGUGUUAGAGGAUCUGACAUAAACAAUAAGAAGUCCUUGAUAUCAUCGCUUAAUUUCUAAUAAAAUUGGCUCAUCAAUGCAUCUUCUGUCUAAUUUAUAUCACAUGUUAAUUAUUAGAAAUUUGAGGCAUAUGGUGAUGCAAAAUAUGUUCCAUGUCGAAGGCUUCAAAUUUUGGUUAUUAAAGAACAAAUCUUAUCAUGUUUACCAAAUGCUUCCGUAAAUGCAACAAAAAAUGCUUCAAAAUUAUCAAAUAUAAGAGAAUUCUUUUCAAAUAAUGAAACAAAUUAAGAUAAAGCUUGACCUGAUAGCAAGGUUCCAACUAAACCCUUACGAGAUGCUUCAGUGGAAUAUUAUUGAAGUUGAAGGAAAGUCAUUAGUCAUACUUGAUUUGCAAAGCCACAAAAUUUUGAGCGGAUGCCAUCAAACUUUUCCAGAAGACUGAUCCUUGAUUCUUUUGGUAUUAUUAUUGUCAAAUCAUUGCCUUAAAUAGAUGCUUAUUGAUAUUUUAUCAUUCUUGAGUUUCUUUUAAUUACACUUUUAUUAUUGUAUGUAACUCUGAUAAACAAUUUUCUAAAUAUUUUGCUAAAAGAUUAUCAACUUUGAAAACAUCAAAAAUAUCAAAUUGUGGAUAAUAACCUUAAUUGGCAAAGAAAGGUGUUUAUUAAAUAGAAGAAUGUAUCAAAUUAUUGUAUGAAAACUUUGCUAAUGGUAAAAGAUUUGUUCAAUCAUCUUGAUGAUAAUUGAUGGUACACCUCAAAUAUUACUUCAAAACUUGAUUCAUUUGUUGUUGUAUGUCAUGAUUUUUUAUGUAAGUUUAUAUUGGAUACUUAGCUGUAGAGAGUUUAGCUUUAACUUAUUGGCCAAGUUCUAAUAAAUUAUUUAUUUUUAUUAUAUAAGAGAAAAUAAAUGUAAUAAUAUAGAAAGAUAUUCUAAUAAUAAAAAUCUUUUAUUUUUAAGAAGAUUUAUAUAGAAGGAUUUUUUAAGUAUCUAAAAAUAUCCUAAUAUCCUUUGCUAUAUCAAAUCAUAAUUAACUAUUUGUCGAUAAGUUAGAUUUUUCAUAUAUUCAAAGAAAAUCCAUAAUCUUUUAAUAAAAAUCUAUCUUUAUAUCAUAAUUUUUUCAUAGAUCUAUAUCUAUAUCUUUAACAUAAGUAUAAAUUCUGGGCUCUCAAAAACUCCCUUACUUUGUAUAAAAUAUCCAAAUUGUAGCAAAAUCUUUUUAAAAUAUUUUUCUCUCACAAAAUUAUUUGUCUCCAAACUUUAGAAUAUCAUAUCUCUUGAUCCAACUAUUAAAUUUAUCUCAAAUUUCUACAUAAUUUUACAUUUAUCCUAAAGCUUUAAUAAAAAAAAAAUUAAUUGUAAAUCUACUAUACAACAUUUGGUACCUUAGAAAUCCUAUCAAGUGCUCUAAAUCCUAAUUUAUAAGCAUCCAAUUACUUCUUUCUUCAUAUUUCAAAAAUCCAAAAUCCAAAUACUAUAAAAUUUGAUAUAUAUCUUUAUAAUAUAGUAGUACAUAUUUAAAAAAAAAUAGGUGAAGAUUCUUUAAAAUAUCUAAAAUAUGGCUAAAAUCAAAUUCUUUAUGAAAUUGGUUCACUAAGAAACCUCAAUUUGAAAGCACUAUCUUCAACUAGACAUUAUUCCUCUAAAUCAACUUUAAACCUUUUGUAUUUUAUAUGUAAAAUAUAGUCUUUGAAUCAACUUUCUAAUUACUAAAUUUGAUCUUCAAAAGCAUUUCAUAUGCAUGUGCUAUGUCUCAAAGAGUAACAAUAGGUACAAAAUCAAUAUAUUAACUUUAAGUGCCUAUAUCUUCUUUAUAAAAACUCCAAAUCAUAUAUAAUGAUUAACAAAACUAUACCCAAAAUCUUAAACUUGACGACUUCAAUAUUUGAUGUUUAAAUAAUCUUAAAAGAAUAAUCUUAUUUCCUAAUAAGGCCUCAGGCAACCUCCUUGAAGUCCAUUGGCCAUGACUUUUGGCUAAAAAGAAUGGAGAGUUUCAUCAUCUAUCUUGAUUUAUUUAUAUGAUUGGCUUUACCAUUCUUUUUUAUACAAAAAUCCUUUUUUAAUUCUUUUUUUAAUAAUUUUAAUAUAAUGUGUGUCCUAAACACCAAAUAAAAAAAAUAAAAUAAGAUUUCAAGAAUCAUCAAUGUCUAAUAAAGGUGGCUCUAAAUAUAUAAAAACUAUUAUCAAUAUAAAAUCAACCUUAAUAAUGGUCUUUAUAAACUAAUUAAAUAAAAAUAGAAAUCUAAUCAUAUUUUAUAAAUAAUUAAAAUCUAAUAACAUGGUUUUUAUUAUAUUAUAUAAUAAAUUAUAUAUUAUAUAUAUAUAUAUAUAUAUAUAUAUAUAUAUAUAUUAUUUUUACAUAGUAGCCAAAUCACAAUACAACACCAUUAUAUUUGCCUAUUAGUUUUAACAUAAAAAGUCAAAGAGAGCUUUAUGUACCUUUAAAAUUUCAAAAAUAAUUCUUCAAAAUCUUAAUACAAAUUAAGUCCUUCUAUCCAAUAUAAUAUCUUUGGACAAUCUAUGAUAGCGAUAAAUGUUAUUAAGAAAAAAUUUAGGUAUUUCUUUACUUGUGAUAGAUUUUGUAUAUGAUAUAAAAUAUGCUAUUUUGAUAAAAUAAUCUACUAUCACAAAUAUAGAAUCAUAUAAACUUGAGACCAAAAGAUCUAAUAUAAAAUCAAUAGAAAGAGAAGACGAUAAUUUUUUUGGAAUAAGUAAUAGCGAGAAAAGUCCUUAAGGUCAAUGACGAGGAGUUUUUGAUCUUGAACAAAUAUUACAUGAUUAUACAAAGUCUCUAACUGCCUUCUACAUUUGAAACCACCAAAAAUGUUUCAAUAUUAGUUCUAUAGUCUUAUUGUAUCCAAAUUGUCCAGCUAUUAGAAAGUUAUGAUAAGCUUGAAAAACACGUAAUUGUACUUUGACUUCUAGAAUGUAUAAUAGUCCUUCAAAAUUGAAUAAAUUAUUCUUGAAUUCAAAUUUGGAAAUAUUAUGAGAUUUAAAAGAAUUAUUUUUAAUAUCAUAAAUAAGAAGAUUAGAGGACAUACUUAAUUUAAUAUGCUUUACAAAGAUUGAAUCAACAUUCAAUGUUGAUUUUAUUAUUGAAAGUUGAAAAUAUUCUAACUUUAAGAGGAUUAUUUUAGUUAAUCAAAAGCUAAUAUUUUUUCUUUUGGUAUAAGAUAAAAACAUCGAGAAAGGGCAUUUAAUAAAUCUUGUUGUUUUUUGAGUUGAUAAGUAAUCUUAAAAUCAAAUCAUGAUAAAAACAUGCUCUCAUGAGCUUGGUGAAAAUUCAAAACAUGUAUUAAUAUGAAGUACUCAAGAUUCUUAUGAACUAUAUAUAUAAUGACUAGACUAGAAGAGCCUUCUAGAUAAUGAUGCUAUUCUUGAAAUGAAUCCACAAUUAUAAGAAUCUCUUUAUCAUGGAUUUCAUAAUUAAUCUUUACCGCUGAAAAUUCUUAGAACAAAAAGUUACCAAGUGGAGCUUGUCAUUUGCUCCUAUUUGUGACAAAAUAGCAACUAUAGCAAAGUCUAAUGCAUUUAUUUCUAUAAAGAAUACCUUCAAAAAGUUGAUGCAAAAAUAAAUUUUAUCUUUAAGGCUUCAAAAGAUGCUUCAACUUCUUUGUUCCACUCAAGUUUAUUUUUACAUGUCAAGUUUGUAAGAAAGGUCGCAACUUGAAAAAAAUUCUUGAUGAAGAUUCUAUAGUAAUUGUCAAAUUUCAAAAAAUAUUGCAUAUCUUUGACUAUUUUUCAAAUCUUUUAAUCUACAAUAGUUUGAACAUUCUUAGAAUUCAUCAUAAGACCCUAGUUUGAAAUGAUGUAUCUUAAGUCAACUUGAAUAGUAUUGAAUAUAUACUUUUUCAUCUUUGCAUAUAAUCCUGUACCUCUUAAAUUUUUUAACACGUGAUGAAUAUAAUUUUUUUUUUUUUUUUUUUUUUAUAGAAUAAAUUAAAAUAUCAUUUGAAUAAUAGAUAAUAAAAUCAUCAAAAAACUCACAAAAAUAUCAUUCCUUAUAUGUAGAAAAGCAACUGGUAUAUUUGUGAAUCCAAAAAGCAUGACAUUAUAUUCAAAAUGCCCAUAGUUUUUUAUUUUUAUUUUUAUUUUUCUCCUUCUUUAAAAUAUAUCAGAUUAUAUGUUUUUGUAGAUCUAUUUUUGUAUAGAUCUUUGCUUCAUUAAAUUAAUCAAGAAAUCUUGAAAUCAAGGAUAGAUAGUACAUAUGCUUGAUAGUGAUCUUGUUAAGUACUUAAUAGUCUACACAUCCCUAGAGAUCUGUCAUUUUUCUUUAUAAAUAAGAUAGGAGUCCUAGUUAGAGAUUUAAAAUGGCAUAUGAAGUUCUUAGCCAAAUUCUCAUUAAUAUAUUCUUUGAGUAUAGCCAACUUUUUUUGUGAUAGGUUAUUAAUUAGUCUAAAUAGUGGUUGAGUUGUUUUUUGAAGAUUGAUGGAACUAUCAUAAAGACAACAAUUUAAAAGAAUAUUUCAUUUUUUUUUCAAAGACAUCUUGAUUAACUUAAUAUUGCAUUAGAAUGCCACUUAAAAUCUUUUUUCUAUCAAAAAUAGAUCUGAUAUAUAUAACAAAAGUUGAUUUCUUUUGUAGCAUGCAUGAAAGUUCUCUCACCUAUCAAUAAUGGUUUAGAUAUAUUGGUCUUACGGAUUUUUAUUUGCCUAGCAAAAUAUUAGGCUAAAAUAUGGAAAAAAUAAUAUAGGAAGUUUAAAACAUAUAAUAUCAAUUUAUAUUGAUUUCAGUCUUGAUGAAUAAAUUUUUGAAAACUUGAGAGCUACCAUUAUUACUUAAUUUGUUUUUCUUUAGCCAAAUCUUUGUUUUUAAUGCCUUUUAAAUAAUAAAUUAUUAUAUAUAAUGGUUUAAGUAAUGAAUUAUUUAAAAGAUUUUGCUUUUGAUAUUGUUAAUAAUAAAUCUUUGAAAUUGUCCUUCAAACCAUAUCAAAAUUGAUUGAUAAGGGCUUUGCCAUUGUAGUCUGUGUUACCUGUGAGGUUUUAGAAUUCAAUAGCAUAUAUGGAGGCUGACCAUGAUUCUUAUUAUAAAGAUAAGAGAUUGAUCUUUGCUAUUAUUUUUCAAUCAUUUUUUCUAUAAGUCAAAUUAGAAGAAGAUAAUCCACAACUUCUAAUGUCAAAUAAAAAUUUCUAUGAAAAAGUAUAAUUUUCUUUCUUUAAAAUAAAAAUCAAUAUUAAAAAAUUAAAUAGUUUCUUUAAAGGUGGAUAAUUUUUAAUCUUAAAAAUAAAAUAAUAGAAGUAUAAUAAUCCACUAAUUUCUAAAAUAAGAUAAGAAUAAUGAAUUAGAAUUCUUAUCAAAUUAUUAAGGAUAUGAACAUCAAAGAAUUAAAAUAUCUAUAUACUCUUAUAUCACUCAAAAAGACUAAAAAAUCACUCAAAGAUAAUAUAUUAUUAAAUUAGAAUGUCUUGCCAAAAAUAAGAAGAUUAAAAAGACUUAAAAUAAAACUAAGGACUAAAAAGAUAUUGACAGGAGUAAAAGAGACUUCAUUCUUGCCUCCACAUAUAUUCUUGAAUAAGAUCUAUAUAGUGAUAUCCUAUAAGAUCUCCAAAAUAUAUUGACUUUGCAAGACACAUAUCUUAACUUAUAAGGCAAGUUUUUUAUAUGUGCACCACAUUGUUAACUUGUUCUAUAAGCUACCAAUAUGUGAUUAACUUGUUGAUUAAGUUUCUAACCUUUCUAUUAAUUAUAAAUACUUUAUUGCUUUGACUUUAUAUUGCUUUAUAAAGUCAAAGUAAUAUUGUUGUAAUAUAGUAUAAAUAAUAUAUAAAAAGAGUGAAGAAAUUAUUAUACUAUAGAAGAUUUUACUUCAAAUAUUGUAACAAAUCAUCUUAGAAAAUAGAUAAUAGUCUAAAAGAAAGUAAAACUAAAGUCGUAAAUGCUACCUUUUUGUAAAGUAGGCUUCUACUUACUUUUUAAGGCCAUAAAUAAGACAAAAUAAGGUAGAUUAGAAAAUAAAAAAUAUGAGCAUAUAUGAGAGGAAGUUAGAAGUUAAUUUUAAUAAAAAUUAAUUUAAAAAAUAAAAUUUGAUACCUAGAGAGGACCAAUUAUUAAUUAGGAUUGAAAUCAUAUCCCAAGACACAAAACCAAGUACCUAUAGCAAUUCUAGAGUUUUUUGGCAAAUCAAAGAACAAAAUUUGAGAAAAAAUUCUAUAAGGUUUUUUUAGGCAUUGAUUUUGAAAGAUUUGAAUGUAUAAUAACUCUGUAAGAGCUUUGCAAAUUCAUAGUUGUUUUGAAUGAUUCUAAAGUUUAUGAAUAAAAAAAAUAUUAUAUUUUAGAAAAUUUUAUAAAUUUAGUAGUAGAUUUAUAAUUCAAAUUUUGAGAACUUAUAUGAAUAAUUGUUUAAAAUAUAUGCUAUAAGUUUGAUCUUAAUGUAAUGGUUGAAUUGAAGAUAAUUGAAUUUUUAGUAGGUUGAGGUCUCAAAAAUUGGACUUUGAAGGGCAAAUAAGAUUUCUAAAAUCUUUAAUAAUAUACUAGUUAAAUUGGAGUGAAAUUUAUGUGUGAUAGUAUUAGACUUGAUUUACUAUAUGUAUGUGAAAUUUGAGAAUAAUUGAAUGGUUUAAAAAGAAGAUAUUGGCAUUGGAAGUUCAACAUUCAAAUUGGAGCAGGAGGCUGACCAAUACUUGAGCGGAUUUUAGGAUUUUUCUUCUCUUUGAUAAGUGCGAUUAUCUUCAAAAUUCAUGAGUUUGUUGCUAAUUUAGUUUUUGAGAAGUUUGUAAAAUUUUAAAGAAGAUCAAUGAUUUGAAUUGAUAGAUAUUGAGGUUCUAAAUUGUAUUAGGAUUAGGUUGAGUUGGUUUGAUUUUGGAUCAGUGUUGAGUUAAGAAUUAGAAUUUGGUUAAGAUUUGGUUAGGAUUUAGGAUUUGAAAUUUAAGAUUUGCUUAGGAUUUAAGAUUUAAGGUUUACUUAGGCUUUAGGAUUUGGCUUAGGAUUUGAUUAAAUUCCAUUAGGAUUUCGACAAGGAUUAGAUUGGAACUUGAUUGAGAUUUAUUUAAGAUAUAUUUGUAAUUAUUUUAAUAUUCUUUUAGAAUUUCUAAGGAAUUAUUUAAAGAUUUAUUAUGGAUUUCUUUUGAACUUUUUAAAGAUUUUCUAUCUUUUCUUUUGUAAUUUCUUUAAUUUUUUUUUUAAUUUAAUUAAAGCUUGGUUAGUAUUAUUACACUUUAAUUAAAAUUUAUUUAGUAUUCUAUUAGAAUUAGGAUUUUAUUGUGGAAAUUUUCAUUCUACUUUCUCUAACUAGGGGCUUGGUGCAUUCUUAAGCAAGACUUUAUAUAAUAUAAUAACAUCUAUGAAGCUUUGAAGCAGCUACUUUAAAAAAUAUUAUGAAAUAAAUCUACUUUUACUUAAUUUUACUUAAUCAUGUAAGAAAAUAUUAACCAUAAUCCAAUAUAUUAUCAUCUUUGAAUAUUUCAAUUAUAAUCCAAUAUAUUGUCAUCUUUGAAUAUUUUUUUUAAUCUUUUGAAUAACAUAAGAAUAUAUUGAGUUUUUUUUUCUUUAAAUUCACGUCUCUAACAAUAAGGUACAAAAUUCAUUUUAUAUUACUUUGUCAUGUCUUUAGAUACUCUAAAGGCUUUGUAAUUUAAAGUACUACAAAGACUUGCAAAUGUAGUUGAUAUAAGAAAGUAUUGAUCUGAUUGUAGCAUGAUGCAUUGGUAUUCUUUAAAGAAAUUUAUAGAGAACAAUAGUACAUGUAUAUUAUACUUUGAUUAUUACAAAAAAAAUUGGACAAUAAUAGAAUUGGUACAAAAAUAAUAAGAUGAUUUGAGGCAACAUAAAAUUACAAUAUAUAACUAUACAACAUAAAUGUUAACAAUGAGCAAAGACUUGCAUUCUUUUAAGUAUAUUUAACAAGUCUACUAACUUCAUUAAUUCCAUAAAAAGAACGUUCCAUGCAAAAAAUUCAUAAUAACUUCAAAAAAAAGCAUUUGAGACUAAUAUAAGUUUUCAUUUUAUAUGUAAAAAAAGAUCAAUUGAAAAUACACUAAUUAAAAAGAAUCAUAUAUUACAAUUUUAAGAAUCCAAAUACUUAGAUCAAGUAAAUAAACAAACGAUAGAUGUAUUGGUUGAAAGAAAUGGAAGACAAAUUGGAAUCAAAUAUGCCCCUAUUAGAAGAUAUUUUAAAUGAGGUAGAUGAGUAUGACUUUGAGAUGUUGAAUGUUGGAAGAAUAAAGUUUGUCACUAUAGUCAACACCUUUGCUUUAAAAAACAUAUACUUAGUGUUUAUUGUGAUGGUAUUUUUGGGCCAUGAAAAAAAUAAUGUUUUAAGAAAAGAAGAUGCAUAUGUAUUUAUUGAUUGAGAUGAAAUACAUUUAAGGCACUUUCUUAACUAGCUUCAUGAUAGCAUCGUCUUAUCUAAAUUAGAGAUAUCAAAAUAUUAUGAGAUUCUUCAAAAAAUAAAGUAUUAUAUUUUGACAAAUUUAAUAGACAUUGUGUUAUUGACAUCAAACAAAAAAUAUGAAACAUUUGUGUAAAGUCAAGAGCAAUCAAGAAAGAAAAGAUUUCUUUAUUAAUUAUAUCUAAGAUUGUCUAAAUGACAAAGCCUAAGUUGAAUUGCUUGGAUGUAAAUAAAUUGUAGCAAUAUGAGCUUAGUAUGUAUAUGUGAAAAAAGUAAAUCCUUUAGGACUUAUCAAAUGAACUUAUCAAAUCUAGAUUUAAGAGAGAAAUAUUUUCAUAAUGUUCAAUUGAUCAACAUUAACUUUGAAAAUAUGUACCUCAUGAAUGCAAGUUUAAAAAAUUAUAGAGUUAAUAGAUUUAGUUUCAAAAAUAAUAUAUUUUAAUAUUGUGACUUCAUAAGUGUUACGAUUAUACAUAGUUAUUUCAAUAAUUAUCUAUAUAAUUAUAUAGAAAUAGAUAAAAACAAAUUAAUUUCAUAAUAUCUUUUAGAAAAGCUUGUUAGAAGCUUCAUAGAUGCGAUUUUGACUUUAAACAUGUUUGAAGUUGAUUAAUAUGUUAAAAACGUAGUCAACAAGUUAACUUCAUAUUAUUAGGUUAAAAAAUAAGUUAAUUAUGUGGUGCAUAUAUAAAAAAAUUGCCUUGCAAGUUAAGAUACAUGUCUUACAAAGUCAACAUGUAUUGGAGGUCCUAUAGAAUAUUAUCAUAUAGCUUCUACUAAGAUAGUAUAUAUAGAAGCAAGAGUGAAGCCUUCUUCAUUCUUAUCAAUGCCUUUUUAGCCCUUAAUCUUAUUUCAAGACUUUCUAGUCUUCUUGUCUUUGGUAAUAGCCAUUUUAGUUUAAUACUAUAUCACCUUUGAGUGAUUUUUUACUCUUUUCAAGUGAUUUUUUAGAAUGUAUCAAUAAUUUUGUUAUUUGAGGUUAAUAUCCCUAAUAAUUUGAUAAAAAUAUUAAUUUAUUAUUCUUUUUUUGUUUUAGAAAUGAAUAGAUUACUCCACUUCUAUUUUUAUUUUAAAGAUUAUAGAUUAUCUACCUUGAAAUAAAUUAUAUAAUUUUAUAAUAUUAAUUUUAUUUUAAAGAGAAAAUUAUUUCUUUUUGUAGAAAUUUUUAUUUGACAUUAGAAGUUGUAAAUUAUCCUCUUCUAAUUUCACUUGUGAAUUAAUCAAGUUAUUUAAAAUGGAAGAAAAAAUCAUAGAUGCUAUACUUGGUAGAAGCUAGAAUAGAUUUAUAAUUAUUGUAGAUCUUUACAAACUUGUCAAUACUUUUAGAAUAGAAAUUUUAUGCAUCAACACUGCUAAAUACUAUAACACUAAUCAUAUGUAUAUAGAAGAAGUUCAAAAUCUAUGUCAAUAAAUUGUGCAGUUAAAAGAAACAAAUAGAUCGACUUCACAACCAAAUCUAGGAAGUUUUGCUUCUACAAGUACAAUAGAGACAUUGAUUAGUAUGCUCAAUAAGUUUGAUAGAAUGAGAUCAAAAUUUUGAGGAUUUUUGUAAUAAGGCAAGCCUUAUCUAAAGUUGCAUUUAUUCCAAUACUUUAAAGGAUUUAUAUAAGUUUGAUACAUAAAUAUACUUUUAUCUAAAAUUAACAUCUUUUUAUUUGUACCAUUAAUAGAAAAAAAAUUCAUAACUCUUUUAUAAUUUAAAUUUAUUUUUAAAAGUAUUUAUGGCUAUAUUUAAGAAAAAAUAAAUAAAAAAGAGUAGCAAAGACUAAGCUCUUAUCUUUAUGGCAAUGAUCAUUUUCAGCUAUUAUAUAUACUAUUGAAUUCCAAAACCUUGCUUAUAACAUGGACAAAAAUGAUAAAGUCUUUAUCAAUCAAUUUUAAUAUGGGUUGAAGGAUAAUAUCAAAGAUUUAUUAUUGAUAAUACUAAAAAUAAAUUUUUUUGAAUGAUUUAUUGCUCAAGUCAUUGCAUGUAAUGAUCAAUUAUUUAAAAGGUGUCAAGAAUAAAAAUUUGGCUAGAAAAGAACAACCUAAGUAAUGAUAGCAGUUUCUAUGUUUUCACAAACUUAUUUAUCAAACCAAAACUAAUGCAAAUUAUUACAAUAUAUUUUAAAUCUCUUAUAGAAUAAGAAAAGACUUUAUGUUGUUAAGAGGGUUUGUGCUUAUAUUAUAGAGAAGGUAAGCACAUUGGUCAACAUUGUCUAAAGAAGCAACUCAAUUAUAAAAUGAGGAGUACAAUUACCACACAAGAUAAUGUAUCAAAAAAUAAGUUUUCCUAGCUAUAAUUGGGACCGUGAAAUUGAAAUCAUGUGCAAAACCAAAUAAAGGUCCUAUUCUCUUCUCAAAUUCUUAACCUUAUUUUAUAAUAGAUGUAUAUUUAGGGCCUAAAAAUCACAAAGUUUUUAUAUUAUUAAAUUCAAGAGCUUGAGCCUAUUUUAUAGGUAAAGACUUUGUCAAAAAAUAAGAAAUAUCUUUAGUCAAGAAAACUAAACCCAUGCCUGCAAAAAUCAUAGAUGGUCAUUUUUUUCUCUCAUGGAGAUGUUACUUUUGAGAUUAUUUCUUUAGAUGUAGCAAUUAAAGAUCAUAAUAGUAUAGUGAUAUUUAAUAUAAUAAUUUUUCUCUAUAAUCUAAUUAUUUUAGGAUUAUUGUGAUUAAAAAAAUAUAAUCUUCAAAUAGAUUGGAUUUCUUGUAUAUAUAAUAGCUGACAAAGCACUAUCUAUAAAGCUUCUUAGAAGCUUUUUUGGAAGAUAUUAUGAAAUCAACCUACUUUUAUUUAUUCAUAUCUAAUCAUGUAGGUAUUUAUUAGAAUAAAUAUGUAUAUCCAUGACAUUACUCCUAUUUUUAGAGAGGAAUUCCAUAAAGGGCGGUCUUCAUAUGUUGAAAAAAUUCAAAAUGUGGUAAAUUAUAUUUGCCACAUACUCUAAUCUUUGUUUUCUUUGAAGAUGGUUGAUUGGUCCUCUUAGCUAUUGAUAGAGUCCUAUACCAAGGUAAAAAGAUCACCUUAUUAUUUGAUUGUUGUUGAGAUCUUUGUAACUUCUUUCAAAUAAAACAUUUAGAAUAUUGUCAGGAGUUGUUCCUACCUCUAAUAAAAUCACCAAAUAUCAAGAGUCUCUUCUAAGGUUGUGAUACCAAAUACGUUUUUGGAAUAGAAAGUGUUUGCCUCAAAAAAGCGAUGGACAUCUAGUUGCCACUAAAUGCUCAAUCAAGUCUAAAAUGUUACAGUUUCAAAUUUAUAUAUAUAAUAUAUUUUUUUUUAGGACAAUUACAUAAAAACAUAAGCCUAAGUACAAAAAUAAUAUCAAAAAAUAUGAUAAAACAUCUUCAAAUCUUUUAUAUCUUCAUGAGAAAUUUUUCUCAAAUUUCAACAAUUCAUAUCUCAAGAUCUAAUAGUCAAAACAAACUAAAAUUUUACAUAAAGUACUGAUAUACUUUCAACAACUAUCAAAACAAACUUCAACUAAAAAGUCAUUACAGAUCUUUAAAUAUUACCAAAAUCCUAAUAGUAGCUUCAAAUCUUUGUUUACAUACACUUGUAUGCACUUUUCUUCAUAUCUCACAAACUAAAUAUUUAAAUACUAUGAAACUUUGAUAUAAAGCUUUUUAAUCUAAUAACACACACUUAUAAAAAUUUUGAGCCAAAAAUUCAUCUAAAAACUCAAGAUAUGACUCCAACCAUUACUAAUAAUAAAAUAACUUACUUAUUGUCUUUGAAUUACAUGUAUUGUCUUCAAUACCUUAUAACUCCUCAUUUAGAUUUAGAAUUCAUCAAAUAAUAUAUAAAAUUAUAACUAAAAAAGUGCUUUUUUCAAUUCCAAUUGCUGAUCCUUUAUUGCUCUCUGUAAGCAUAUGUUAUGCCCCAAAGAGUGACAAUAUAUACAAAAUUGACACUUUAACUUUGAGUGCCUAUAACUCCUUCAUAAAAACUCUAAAUCAUAUAAAAUUUGCAUCCAAAAUAUAUCCAAAAAUCUAAGCUUUCUGACCUUUGUCUUCAAAGCUUGGAUGACUUCGAAAAAAAAACCCUAAUCCCUAAUAAGACCUUGGACAGCCUCCUUGAAGCCCAUUGGGUAUGACAUUCAUCCAAUUAGGAUGAAGAUCUUUACUCCUUACCUUCAUCCAACUAUACCUUGCUUUCAUCCUUUCCAAUAAGCCUUUUAAUAGUUUAAACUUUCAUCUUUAGAUUCCAAUCUUCUCUUAAGCUUUAUAAUAAAUAUCUAAAUCCUACAUAAUAUAAACACUAUAAUUAAAAUAGAUAAACCUCCAAAUAAUUUUUUUUAUAUCAACUCUCUUUAAAUUUACUUAUUAACCACUAUAAUCCACAUCAAGAUUUAUAAACAUAAUAUAUAUUUUAAUUAAUCUUUAUAUACUAUAAGCACCUACAAUACAACAAUGUUUUUUAGGAUUUUAAAGGUGGACCUGAAAUUAUUUUUGACAUUCUAUUCUCUAAUUGAUGGAUAAAUAAAGUAUAUAAAUCAAGUUUUGAAAUAGUAUUUGAAAUAUAUCAUCAACUAUCAAUAAAAUGAUUAGAAAAUUCUUUUGUCAUUAGCAAAGUUUUCUUAUAAUAAUACAAUAUAUUAUUCUAUGCAACAAACAUAUUUCUUUGCUAAUUAUGAUUAUCAUCUAUGAUUUGAUACUUUUGACUUUUUAAAAUUUGAUAUUUUUGUGGCAAAAGAUUUAAAAAAUUAUUUAUUUGAGUUAUAUAUAAUAAUAAAGGUAUAACUAAAAGAAGUUUUAAAAUAAUAAAAAAUAGCAUAAAUAUUUAUUAUAAGAAAUAAACUCAUUUUAAUAUUGGUGAUAAGAUAUGAUUAUUUUGUCAUAAUAUUAAAAUUAUUUACUCUUGUGACAAGUUGGAUUAUUAUAGAUUUGUAUUUUUAUUUUUAUUUUUCAACAAGUCAAUCUAAUUUCUUAUUAAUUACAUCUACUAGAGUGUAUAAAAAUCAAUUCCUUAUUUUACAUAUCGCUUUUAAAAAGAUAUAAAAAAUGAAUAUCUUAAAAAAUAGACAAAUACCACCAUAUCUUAUAGAAGUGGAUAAUAAUCACAAAUUUAAGGUAGAAGAAGUUUUAAACUCAAGGUAGUGCCAACUAAGGUUGAAAUAUCUUAUUUAUUAAUAUAGAUACAAUAUUAAUGAAUACACAUGGAAGCUAGCAAAAUAUUUUAUAAAUACAGCAAAGAAGGUCAAAACUUUUUAUUAAUGAUAUUUAUCAAGAUUAAGAUGAAAGAUAGCAAAACUUUGCUAUAAAAAAAUAUAAUUUAAAAAAAAUUACAUCUACCUUCUAUUUUUAUUUAUAAUUUUUGUGUAACUAUGAAAUCAAGUAGAUAAAAAACCAACAACUAGUAGAUUCAAUUCAAGAGCCAUUAUUUGUUGACUUCUUGAACAAGACAUUGAAAUUAUAUUAGUGUUUAAGACAACAUAAUAGAGGUGAAGAACUUUAAGAAUGACAUGUUCUUUUUUGAAUAGAUGGAAAAAUAUAAUGUGUUCGAUAUCACGAUUUGUGAAGAGAAUUUCAAUGUUUGGUGAUUUUAUUAAAAGUAAAAAUGACUUUGAUAGUAUCACAAAUGUUUUAUUUGAAGGAAGUUAUAAAGGUCUCAACAAUAAUCAAAUAAGGAGGUGGUCUUUCUACCUUAAAAUGAGAUAUUAUUGAUAGCUAAAAGAACUUAUUAACUACCUUCAAAAAGAAUAAAGAUCAAAAUAUAUAUCAAAUAAAAUUUUUCACGUCUUAGACUUCCUCAACUUGUGAUUAUUGCUUCUUGUGGAAUUUGUAUCUAAAAAAAGAAAUAAUAUCACAAACAUAUAUUUAUCAUAAUUAUUAUUUAAAUAAUAUGAAUAAAUAGAAAUAAAUAAAAAUAGAUUAAUUUCAUAUUAUCUUUUAGAAUAGCUUCUUAGAAGCUUCAUAGAUAUUGUUUUGAUUUUAUAUAUGUUUAUAGUUGAUUGAUAGAUUAGAAACUUGGUCAAUAAAUUAACCACAUGAUAUACAUAUUAGCAGCUUGCAGAAUAAGGUAACUAUGUGGCAUGCAUAUACAAAACUUAUCUUGUAAAUUAAGAUGCAUAUUAUAUAAAGUAAAUAUGUUUUGGCGGCCUUAUAAUACUCGCCACGUAGCUCCUAAGUAGAUAGUAUAUACUGAAGCAAGAGUAAACUUUCUUUACUCUUCUCAAUUCUUUUUUUGCUUUUAGUCUAGUUUCAAGAGUCUCUAGUUUUCUUCUUUUUUUGUCAUAGUUAUUCCAAUUUCUUUUUAAUAUGCAUACUUCCUUAUUUCUAUUUUUUCAUAUUUCUUUGAGAAAGUCUCACUUAUUUAUUUAUUUUUAUCAAGUUCUUAUCUUUGUUAAUAACAUGAAUAGGACAUCAAUUUUGUUGGCUUGUUGUUACUACUUGCCAUGUGCUAAGGAAAAAAACUUGAUAAAAGCAAAUAAAUAAAUAAAAAUCUCUCAAAGCAAUAAAAAUAGAGAAGUAUAUAUAUUAAAAGAAAAACUGAAAUAUCUAUUGCCAAAAGACAAAAAAACUAGAGAAUCUUGAAUUCAGACUAGAAAUAAAAAAAAAAAAAAAAAAAAAAAAAUUGAUAAAAAUAAAGAAGACUUUAGUCUUGCCUCUAUAUUUACUAUCUACCUAAGAUCUAUAUGGCAAUGUUCUAUAGGACCUCCAAAAACAUGUUGACUUUGCAUGAUAUAUAUUUUGACUUACAAGACAAGUUUUCUAUAUAUAGGCGCCACAUAAUUAGCUGGUUUUGUAAGCUACCAAUACAUGUGGCACAUAGAUAGCUUAUUGACCAAGUUUUUAACCUAUCAAUCAACUACAAAUAUAUAUAAAGUCAAAACAGCAUCUAGUAAGCUUCUAAGAAGCUUUUUAAAAAGGUAUUAUAAAAUUAAUAUACUUUUACUUAAUUCUACUUAUUUAUAUUAGCUAGAUAAUAACUAUAGUAGAUAUAUAUAUUCAUGACAUUACUCCCUCUUCUAUAGACAAGUUCUACAAAGAAUAAUGAUCAUAUGUUGAAGAAGUCUAAGAUGAGGCAAAUUGUAUUUGCAUCAUACUCUAAUCUUUGUUUUCUUUGAAGGUAGUUAAUAGGUCCUCUCAGCCAUUGAUAAUGUUCUAUUUUAGGGCGGAAAGACUACUCUAUGAUUUGAUCAUUGUUGAAACCUUCGUAACUUCCUUCAAACAAAAUAUUAGUAAUACCAUCAAAAAUCGUACCUACCUCCAAUAAAAUCACCAAAUAUGGAGAAUCUUUUUUCAAAUCAUGAUAUCAAAUAUAUUGUAUCCUACCAUUUAUUUAAGGAAUAAUAUUUCAUUCUUCAAGGUAUUCAUUUCUAUUAUAUCAUCUUGAAGGCUAUGAUAAUCAUAAUAUCUUAUCUGAUAAGUUAACAAAUCAUGUCUCUUGAAUUGAAUCCACUAGCUAUUGGUUCUCCAUCUCUUGAAUGCCACAAUUAUAUAAAAACUAUAAAAAAAAAGAUAAAAAGUAGAAUGAAAUCUUUUCUAAAUUGUAUUUCUUUUAUAGCAAAGAUUUAUUAUUCAUCAUCUUGAUUUUGAUAGAUGUCAUUGAUAAAAAAAACUUCCACCAUCUUUGCUGCACUCACAAGAUUUUUUACUGGCUCUCAUGUGCAUUUACUAGUAUCAUAUUCCUGCCAAUGGACAAGAUAUUUCAACUUGUUUCGAUGCCACCUUAGUCUAAAACUUUUUUUCACUUCAAAUUCUUCAUUAUUUUCUACUUCUAUACAAAGAGGGAGAACUUGUCUUUUUUUUUGGUAUGUUCACAGACUUAUAUAGUUUAAGAAGAGAAAUGUCAAAUAUAGGAUAGAUUUUUAUUGGCUCUAGUUAAUGUAAUCGAUAAACAACUGGUUGAUUUGUCUAUAAAUAAGAAAAGGUCUAAGCUUACAGUAGUUCAACUUGUCACAAGGACAAGUAAUCUUAAUAUUAUGACAAAAUAAUCAUACUUUGUAACCUACAUUGAAUUGUAGUUGUUCUUUUUGAUAGGCAUCCAAGUUGAUAUUUUUUCAUUGUUAAGCUUCUUUUAAUUGUACCUUCAUUGUUGCAUGUAGCUUUGACAAAUGAUUUGCAAAAUCUUCUACCGAAAGAUUAUUAAUUUUUGAAAAGUCAAAAGUAUCAAGUUAUAGAUGAUAAUUAUAAUUAGAAAAAAAAUAUUUUUUUUACAUAGAAGAAAGUAUUGUAAUAAUAUAAGCAAAUUUUGUCAAUGGCAAGAGGAAUUUUUAAUUGUCUUGUUAAUAAUUAAUAGUACACUUUCAGUAUUGCUCCAAAACUUAGUUUACGCAAUUUGUCUAUACGUUAGUUUAAGGAUAAAAGGCCAAAAAAAGCUUUAUGUCUACUUUUAGAAUCUAAAAAAAUAUUUUUUAAAAACUUAAUACAAAUUGAAUCUUCCUAUUUGAUAUAAUAUCUUUCGAUAAUCGAAGAUAUUUAUAGAUAUUAUCAAAGAAAAGUUUGGUAAUUUUUUUACAUAUAAUAGAUCUUAGACAAGGUAUAAAAUAAACUAUUUUGAUAAAAUAAUCUACUAUUAUAAAUAUGAAAACAUACAAAAUUGAGACUAGAACAUCGAUAAUAAGAUCCAUAGAAACAGAAAACCAUGAUUAAUUUGGAAUAGGUAAUGGCUAAAAAAGUCCAUAAAAUCAAUGACAAGGAUUUUUUGAUCUUAAACAAAUGUCACAUGAUUGAAUGAAGUCUUUUACAUCCUUUCAUAUUUGCAACCACCAAAAAUCUUUCAUUAUUAAUUCCAAAGUCUUUUUUAAUCCAAAAUAUCUUAUUGGAAUAUAUAGGUAUCUUUCAAAAUAAAGUAGGUUAUUCUUGAACUUGAACUUCAAAGUUUCACAAGACUUAAAAGAAAUAUUCUUGAUAUCAUAAACAAGAAGAUCAAAGGACAUACUUGAUUGAAUUUGAUUAAAAAAAAUUGAAUCCAUAGUCAAUGUUGAUUUCACUACUCAAAGAUGAAGUUGUUCUAGCUUCAAUAAAAUUAUCUUUUUUUGAUUAAAAGCUACAUUUUUUUUUACUUUAAGUAUAAGAUAAGAAUGAUUAGAAAUGACAAUAAACAAACCUUUUUGUUUUCUUAGUCGAUAAGUAAUAUUGAACUUGAAUCUUGACAAAGACAUGUUGCAACAAGCUUGGCAAUGAUUCAAAUCAAAUUAUUAUGAUGUAAUAUGACUAAUAAGUGAAAGGAAUGAAGAAUCUAUUAUUUUAUAAAAGAUCUUACUUCAAAUAUUAUAACAAAUUAUCUUAGAAAAUAGAUAAUAGUCCAAAAAAAAUAGAACUAAAGAUUUUAAUGCUAUCUUUUUACAAAGUAGGUUUCUACUUAUUUUAUAAGGUGGAUUAAAAAAAUAAAAAAUAUGAGCAUAUAAAGGAAAAAAAUAGAAGUUGAUUGAAAUAAAAACUAAGUAAAAAGGGCAAAAUUUGAUACCCAAAGAGGACCAAUUAUCAACUUAGAUCAAAAUCAGAUCUUGAGGUACAAAACUAGGUACAAAUGACAAUUUAGAGGUUUUUUUGGCAAAUCAGAGAGUAGGAUUUGAGAUCGAACUUGAAAAGAUUUCUUUGAAUGUUGAUUUUAAGAGAAUUGAAUGUGUAAUGAUUUUGCAAGAGCUUUGCAAAGUCACAGUUGUUUUGGAAUGACUCUAAAAUUUGUAAAAUAAAAAGGAUAUUAUGUUUUAAAAAAUUCUAUAAGUUUGAUAGUAGAUCUGUAGUUCAAAUUUUGAUAACUUAUGAAAAUAGUUGUUUGAAGUAUAUAGUGUAAGUUUGAGCUUGAUUAAAUGGUUGAAUUGAAGGCUAUUGAAUUUCAAGUAGGUUGAGGUCAUCAAAAUUGGAUUUUGAAAGGUUGAUAAGAAUUCUAAAAUAUUCAAUAAUCUACUAAUUGGAUUGAAAUAAAAUUUUUAUUUUAAGGUAAUAAACUUAAAUAUCUAUACACAUGUAGAAUUUGAGAAUAAUUAAAUGGUUUGAUAAAUAAAUAUUGAUAUUAGAAGUUUAAUAUUUAUAUUAGAAUAGAAAGCCAACCAAUAUCCAAGCAACUUUUAGGAUUUUUUUUUUAUUUGGUAAAUGCAAUUAUCUUCAAAUUUUAUAUGCUUAUUGAUAACUCAGGUGUUGAAAGGUGUGUAAAUUUUUAAGUAAGAUCAAUUAAUCAAUUGAUAGAUAUUGAAGUUCUAAAUUAUCUAGGAUUUAAUUAAGGAUUUGAUUUAGGUCUAGAGUUUCAUUUAGAAUUUGGUUUAGAAUUUAGGAUUUGUUAAAAUUUGGUUUAGGAUUUGAUUUAAGAUUUAAGAUUUGUCUAAGAUUUGAUUUAAGAUAUCCUUUAGGAUUUAGGUUUUUUCUAGGGUUUAAUCUAAUAUUUGGUUUAGGUUUUAAGAUUUAUCUAGGAUUUGGUUUAGGAUUUGAUUUAGGACUUAGGGUUUGUCUAGGAUUUGAUUUAAGAUUUGAUUUGGAAUUUAGGAUUUGAUUUGGGAUUUAAGAUUUGAUUUAGAAUUUGAUUUAGGAUCUAAGAUUUGAUUUAGGAUUUGAUUUAAAAUCUAAGAUUUAUUUAGGAUUUGAUUUAGGAUAUGAUUUAGGCUUUAAGAUUUCAUUUAGGAUUUAGAAUUUAUCUAAGAUUUGAUUUAGAAUCUAAGAUUUAAUCUAAGAUUUGGUUUAGAUUUUAGGAUUUAGAAUUUAUUAAGGAUUUGAUAUAGGAUUUAGCAUUUGUCUAAGAUUUCAUUUAUAAUUUGGUUUAGGACUUAAGAUUUGUUUAGAAUUUGAUUGAAGUCCAUUAGGGUUUCAAAUAGGAUCAGAUUAAAACUUGAUUGAAAUUUAUUUAAGAUGUAUUUGUGAUUAUUCUAAUAUUUUUUAAAGCUUAUUAAGGAUUCUUUUAAGAUUUAUUAUGGAUUUUCUUUUAAUUUUUUAAAGAUUUCUUAUUGUUUCUUUUGUAAUUUUUUUAAGGUUUGUUUUGAAUUUAAUUAAAGCUUAUUUAAAAUUAUUAAGGACUAAUUAGAAUUUAUUUAGUAUUCUAUUAGAAUUAAGAUUUUAUUGUUGCAAUAUCCAUUCUACCUUCCACAAACAAAUACUUGGUGCACUCUUGAGCAAGACUUCACAUUGUCAAGGUAGAGAGAAUUUGCUUCAAAAAAGCACUAGAUUCCUAGUUGCCACUAAUUGUUCAAUCAAGUCUUGAGAUAAAAAAGACCAAGUUUGAAUAUAUAUACAUAUAACACUUUUGGGAGCAAUCACAUCAAAUAUAUCACCUUUGUGUAAUUUUCUUCAUAUCUCACAAAUUAAGUACUCAAAUGCCAUAAAAUUUGUAUAUAUAGCUUUUUAACAUAAUAAUCUACCUUCUUCAAAAGGUUUGAGCCAAAAAUUCAUCCAAAAACUCAAGAUAUGGUUCCAACCAUUACUAAGAACAAAAUCACUUGCUUACUACAUUUGAUUUGGAUGCGCUGACUUCAACUCUCUAUAAAUUCUUUAUCUAAAAUCCAAAUUCAUCAUAAAAUAUAUGAAAAUUGUAGCCAAUUUUUUUUUUUUUUUUUUCUCUAUUCCUAGUCACCGAUCUUUUUUUUCUCUUUGUAAACAUAUGUUAUGCCCCAAAGAGAGAUAGUAGAUAUGAAAUUGAUACCUUAACUUUGAGUGCCAAUAAUUCCUUCAUAAAAACUCCAAAUCACACAAAAUUUGCAGUCAAUCCAUAUCUUAAAAUCUAAACUUACUGAUUCUAGCCUCAAAAACUUAAAUGACUUCAAAAAAAAUCCUAAUUCCUAAUAAGGCCUCAAACAGCCUCCUUGAAGUCCAUUGGCUAUGGUCUUUGACCAAUAGGAAUAAAGAUCCCCAUUCCUUACAUUCAUCUAUUUAUGCCUUGCUUUCAUCCCUCUUAAUAAGCCACCUACUAGUUAAGAUAUUCAUCUUUAGGUUCUAUCUCCUCUCAAGGCUUCAUAUUAAACAUUUAGGUCCUAUAAUGUUUUUAAAUGUUAUAAUGAAAAUAGAUAAAACUCAAAAUAAGGUUUCUUAUAUCCUUUUUUUUAAAUUAAUCUAUUAAUCAUUCUAAUAUACACCAAGAUUUAUAAAUAUAUUAUAUAUUCUAACAAAUAUUUACAUAUUAUAAGCAAUUACAAUAUAACAACAUGUUGACAUGAAAUACUUGAGUUUCUUGUGAUCCAUAGAUAAAGUAACUACACCAGAUGUCAAGGACAAGAAUAUGAUAAAGAUAAAUAAACAAGUGAGACUUCUAUCAAAGAAAUAUGAUAAAAUAGAAAUAACUUGAUGUGUAUAUUAAGAAAGAAACUAGAAUGGCUAUUGCCAAAAGCCAAGAAAACUAGAGCCCCUUGAAACUAGACUAGAAGCAAGAAAAGAGUUGACAAGAGUGAAGAAGACUUCACUCUUGUCACUAUAUAUAUUAUCUUAUUAGGAACUACGUGGCAACAUUCUAUAGGACCUCCAAUAUAUGUUGACUUUGUAAGACACAUGCCUUGACUUACAAGGCAAGUUUUUCUAUGUGUGGGCCAUACAGUUAGCUUGUUCUUCAAGCUAACAACAUGUGUGGUACAUGGCCAAUAUGUUGACCACGUUUCUAAUCUCAAAAAGUCAAUUAAAGAUACCUAUAAAGUCAAAGUAGUAUCUAUGAAGCAUCUAAGAAGCUUCCAUAUCAAAUACUAUAUAAUUAACUUACUUUUAUCUACUUUUACUUACUUCUAUCUAUUUAUACAUGUAAUUAUUGACUUACAUGCGUAUGUCUGUGACAUUACCUUCCUUCUAGGAACAAGUUCCAUGAGGAGCGGUAAUCACAUAUUGAAGAAAUCUAUAAUGUGACGAAUUGUAUUCGCCACAUACUCUGAUCUUUGUUCUCUUUGAAGAUGAUUGAUAGGGCCUUUCAACCAUCGGUAGUGUCCCAUACUAGGGCAAAAAGACCACCUAGUUAUUUGAUCAUUGUUGAGGCCUUCAUAACUUCUUUAAAAUAAAAUAUUUGGAACACCAUCGAGAGUUGUUCCUACCUAUAGUAAAAUCACCAAACAUCGAGAUUUCCUUCCAUGGUCGUGAUACCAAACGCGUUCUAUCUCGCCAUCUAUUCAAAGAAGAACAUGUCGUUCUUAAAGAUCUUCAUCUCGAUUGUAUCGUCUUGAAGGUUGUGACAAUCAUAAUGUCUCAUUUGAUAGGUCAACAAACGAAGAUUUUUGAGUCAAAUCCGCAGGUUGUUUAUUCUCCAUCUCUUGAGCGUCACAACUACAAAGAAACUAUAAACAAGGAUUGAAAGUAGAAUGUUAUCUUGCCUAGAUCUUGUUUCUUUUAUAAAGAAGGUUUUCAUAUUGAUUUUGAUGGAUAUCAUCGAUGAAAAGCCUCCACUACCUUUGCUGUAUUUGCAAGAUUCUUUACAGGCUCCUAUGUAUAUUUACUAAUAUCAUAUCCGUGUCAAUGGACAAGAUAUUCUAAUUUAUUUUGGCACCGCCUUGAAUCUAAGAUUUCUUCCAUUUCAAAUUCUUCAUUAUUGUCCACUUCUAUAAGAGGAGGUUGAACUUGUCUUCUUCUUGAUAUGUCCACUAUCUUAUAUGGUUCAAAAAGAGAUACGUGGAAUACUAGAUGGAUUUUCAUUGACUCCGGUAGGUGUAAAUGAUAUGCAACUGGAUUGAUUUGUGUAGAAAUAGAAAAUGGUCUAAGCCUUCAAUAGUCCAACUUGUCACAAGGACGAGUAGUCUUGAUAUUGCAACAAAGUAAUCAUAUCUUAUUACCAUGUAGAAUGGUGGUUGUUCCUUUCAAUAGACAUCCGCAUUGACCUUUUGUUGUUCUUGAGCUUCUUUUAAUUGUGCCUUCAUCGUUGUAUAUAGCUCUAAUAAAUGAAUUGUCAAAUCUUUCGCAGUGGGAUUAUCAACUUUUGAAAAGUCAAAAGUAUCAAGUCGUGGAUGAUAACCAUAAUUGGCAAAGAAAGGUGUUUGUUUUGUAGAAGAAUGUAUUGUGUUAUUGUAAGCAAACUCUGCCAAUGGAAAAAGAAUUAUCCAAUCAUCUUGUUGGUAAUUGAUGGUACAUCUUAAAUACUGCUCCAAAACUUGAUUAAUAUGUUCUGUUUGUCUAUCAGUUUGAGGAUGAAAUAUCGAAGAUAGUUUUAUAUCUACUUUUAGAAUCUUCAAAAAAAAUCCGCCAAAAGCUUGAUACAAACUGAGUUCCCCUAUCUGAUAUAAUAUCCUUGGAUAAUCCAUGAUAGCGAUAGAUAUUAUCAAGAAAGAACUUAGUUGUUUCUUCACCUAUGAUAGAUUUUGUACAUGAUAUAAAAUGUACCAUCUUGGUAAAAUGAUCUAUUAUCACGAAUAUAAAAUCAUAAGAACAUGAGAUUAGAAGAUCCGUGAUGAAAUCCAUAGAAAUAGAAGACCAUGGUUGUUCUAGAAUGGGUAAUGGCUAAAAAAGUCUGUAAGAUCGAUGGUGAAGAGUUUUUGAUCUUGAGCAAACAUCAUAAGAUUGUACAAAAUCUUUAACAAUUUUUUUCACAUUUGUAGCCACCAAAAGUCCCUGGAUAUUAGUUCCAAAGUUUUAUUGUACCAUAAAUGUCAUGCUGUUGGAAAGUCAUGAUGAGCUUGAAGAACAUGUAAUCGAGCGUCACCUUCUAGAACAUAUAGGUGUCCUUCAAAAUAUAGUAGAUUCUUCUUAAAUUCAAACUUAGAAGUAUCAUGAGACUUUGAAGGAUUUUCCUUAAUAUCACGAAGAAGAGGAUCAGAAGACAUACUUAACUAAACUUGCUUAAUGAAAGUUGAAUUAAUAGUUAGUGUUGAUUUCAUUCCUAAAAGAUGAAGAUACUUUAGCUUCAAGAGAAUUAUUUGUUAUUGAUGAAAAGUAGCAUCUCCUUCCUUUGGUGCAAUGUAAGAUCGUCUAGAAAGUACAUCUGACAAACCUUAUUGUUUUUUUAGUCAAUAAGUGAUCUUGAAUUCGAAUCUUGACUAAGUCAUAUUCCAAUGGACUUGGUGACGAUUCAAAACACGUGUUGACAUAAAAUAUUCAAGAUUCUUGUGAUUUGUAUAUACUGUGACUAGGUUAGAAGUACCUUUUAGAUAAUUGCGCCAUUCUUGAAACAAAUCCACGAUUGUAAAAAGUCAUUGUCGUGGAUCUCGUAGUUGAUUUUGGCUGCUGAAAAUUUUUUAGAAUGAAAAGCUAUUGGAUGAAGUUUAUUAUCUAUUUCCAUUUGUCACAAUAUGGCAUCCAAAGUAAAGUCUGAUGUGUCUGUUUCCAUAAAAAAUGGCUUAAAAAAAUAGAUGCGAUACAAGAUUGGUGUAGAAACAAAGGCUGUCUUCAAAGUUUCAAAUGCUACUUCUGCUUCUUGAUUCCAUUGAAGUUUAUCUUUGCAAGUCAAACGUGUAAGUGGAGGUACAACUUGAGAUAAGUCUUUGAUGAAGAUCCGAUAGUAGUUGGCAAAUCCCAAAAAAUAUUGGACAUCUCUUAUCAUUUUUAGAAUCUGCCAAUCCAUAAUAGUUUGAACUUCUUUAAGAUCCAUCAUAAGUCCAUCAUUUGAAAUGAUGUAUCCUAAGAAGUCAAUUUGAGUAGUGUGAAAUACACACUUUUCUAUCUUGGCAUAGAGUCCCGCAUCUCUUAAUUUUUGUAAUACUUAGUAAACAUGAAGUUCAUAUUCUUUUGAGUUCUAAAAAUAGAUUAAGAUGUUGUCUAAGUAACAGACAACAAAAUCAUCUAAAAACUCCCGAAAGACAUCAUUCAUUAAAUAUUGGAAUGCUUCUGGUGCAUUUGUAAGUCCAAAAGGCAUGACGUUGUAUUCAAAAUGUCCAUACCUUGUUCAAAAUGCAGUCUUCCAUUCAUCUCCUUCUUUGAUGCGUACCAAAUUGUAUCCUCCCUAUAGAUCUAUUUUUGUAUAGAUCUUAGCUUCAUUCAACUGAUCAAGAAGUCCAAAUAUCAAAAGUAGCGGAUACAUGUUUUUGAUAGUGAUUUUGUUGAGUCCUUGAUAAUCAACACACAUCCACAAUGAUUCAUCUUUUUUCUUCACAAAUAUAAUUGGAGCUCCUGUUAGAGAUUUAGAAUAGCGUAUGAAGUUUUUGGCCAAAUUCUCUUCAAUAUACUCCUUGAAUUCAGCCAACUCAUUUUGAGAUAAAUUGUAGAUUUGUCCAAAUGGCGAUUGUGCUCCUUCUUGAAGGUCAAUUUAGUAGUCAUAGAAAUGAUGUUCUAGAAGAGUAUCCACAUUCUUUUUCUCAAAUAUAUCUUUAAAAUCUUGAUAUUGGCUUAAAAUGCCACUUAAAGUCUUUCUACUAGUAGAAACAAGUGUGGCAUAAAUGACGUAAGGUGAUUCUUCUUUUGCAGCAUGUAAGAAAGUACUUGUAUCUACAAAUAUAGGUUUAAUUAUACUAGACUUAUGACUUUCUACUUGAUUAACUAUACUCUUAGUUAUACUUUCAGAAAAGUCAAGACUACAAGAAGUCCAAUCUAUUUUAGGGUUAUAUUUUUCUAGCCAUGAUAAACCUAAAAUGACUCGAUUAGAAGGAGAUUUAAUGAUAUUAAAUAUUACAAAGCUACUAUGACCAUUAGUUGCUAUUUCUAUAGGAACGAUUUCAUGAAUAACAUCUCUUGAAGACAACGGACGACCAUCUAUGACUUCUAUAUGAACAUGUUUAGUUUUCUUUACUAAAAAUGUACUAUAUCUUUUGGCAAAUUUUUCAUCUAAGAAACAUGCUGAGGUUCUUGAAUCUAGCAAGGCAGAGACUUUGAGAUGUUUAGGUCCUAGAAUAACAUAUAUCAUAAAACAUGGAGAAGGUUUUGAGGAGAAGAUAGGACCUUCACUAGGCAUUGUACAAGGUUCUAGCCGCACGGUCCCUAUUGUAGUUAGACAAAUUUGUUUUCCGACAUGCUAUCUCUUUUGAUCGCCGUACUCCUCAUUUUAUGGUUGCAUCAUUUUUUUGGGUAAUAUUGAGCAGUGUGCUUAAGUUCUCCACAAUAUAAGCACAAUCUUUCUUGACAACGAUGAGUCUUUUCUUGCUCAGUAAGAGGUUUAAAACGUACUGCAUCAAUUUACAUAUCCUCUACUUCCGAAUAUAUAUGUUGAAGAGAUAUUGAUAUUGCUAUUGAAUUAUAGUAACGUUGAAGUCCACUUGUAUGGUUCUUAGAUUGAAAUUCAAAAAGGUGAUUGUCACACUUCAUACCAAAGUCAAUUGCUUGACUCAAUGUUUGAAGAUGAGGUAAAUUGAGCAUUAAUUUUUUUAUCUCAUAUUAUAAUCCAUAGAAAAAUUGGCUAAUAAGUGCAGCAUCAUCUCACUUCAUAUCAGUUGUAAGUUGUCGAAAUUGUAAAGCAUAUUACGUUACUGAUCGAUUGUCUUCUUGCAAAAUAUGGAUCUCAUUGGUUGCAACAGGAAUUGCAUCAUGUUCUCCAUACAUGGAUCAAAACUCCGCCAAAAAAGCCUUUAGAUUAUCCAAUAUUGGAUCUCGUCGUUCAAAAAAAGAUGAAAACCAUGAUAAUGGUGAAUUUGAAAGAAGCGCACCAAUGAAUCUAACUUGUGAUCCUAGAAUUGAAUAGCUUUGGGAUUGAAGUUCAAUCACAAGUUAUACUUGAUUGAUAAAUCCUCUAAACUUUGAUCUAGUGCCAUCAAACUUCUUGGGUAGGGCAAUUCUUGGUUUUCUAAUAUUUAAAGGGCGUUCUACCAUAGGAGAAGGGACAUGAUUUGGUCCAGAUGUUAAAGCAGCUUCAAUCAUUUCUAAAUCUUCACUUCCUACCAAUCUUGUUACUUCUUGCGAUGAUAAAUUGAGUUGAUGCAUCUCAAGCAUUAACUCCCUCAAUUGCUUUUGCAUUUGUGCCAUUGCACUCUUUAUUUCAGCAAGUUCUACUAUAAUAACACUUAGAAAAGAGAAGAUGUCUAAUAUCGCUUAAGACAAAUAGAAGAGAGGACUUAAGAAUAAAAAAAAUACUAAGGACAAUAUCAAUUUAGAAGAGGGUAAUUCGCAACUUCUAAUAUGCUUAUAUCUUAUAAAAAAAAAGGGUAAUCCAUUCUUAAUCAAGAUUAGACAAAGCUUUGAUAUUGUAAGUGUACUCUUGUCAAUCUGUCAAGGACAAGAACAUGAUAAAGAUAAAUAAACAAGUGAGACUUUUAUCAAAGAAAGAUGACAAAAUAGAAAUAACUUCAUAUAUAUAUGAAGAAAGAAACUGGAAUGGCUAUUGCCAAAAGCCAAGAAAACUAGAGCCCCUUGAAACUAGACCAGAAGCAAGAAAAGAGUUGACAAAAGUGAAGAAGUCUUCAUUCUUGUCUCUAUAUAUACUAUCUUAUUAGGGGCUACAUGACAAUAUUCUAUAGGACCUCCAAUAUGUGUUGACUUUGUAGGACACAUGCCUUGACUUACAAAGCAAGUUUUUCUAUGUGUGGGCCACACAGUUAGCUUGGUCUUCAAGGUAACAACAUGUGUGGCACAUAGCCAACUUGUUGACCACGUUUUUAAUCCCAAAAAGUCAAUUAAAGAUACCUAUAAAGUCAAAACAGCAUCUAUGAAGCUUCUAGGAAGCUACUAUAUCAAAUAUUAUAGAACUAACUUACUUUUAUCUACUUUUACUUACUUCUAUCUAUUUAUACAUGUAAUUAUUGGCUUACAUGCGUAUGUCUAUGAUACCAGAGGUGCCUUCUAAAUAAUGAUACUAUUCUUGAAAAGAAUCCUUGAUUGCAAGAAAUUUUUUGUCAUGGAUCUCAUAGUUAAUUUCAACUGUUGAGAAUUUUUUGGGAUGAAAAGCUACUAAAUAGAGCUUAUCAUCUUCUUCUAUUUGUGACAAAAUAGCACUUAUAGCAAAAUUUGAUGCAUCUAUUUUCAUAAAAAAAGCCUUAAAAAAUUUGAUGCAAUAUGACAUUGAUGCAGUAAUAAAUAUUGACUUCAAGGCUUCAAAAGUUACUUUAAUUUCUUUGCUCCAAUAAAAUUUACCUUGCAUGUAAGACAUGUAAGAAGAAUUGUAAUUUGAAAAAAAUUCUUAAUAAAGAUCUUAUAGUAAUUGAUAAAGCCUAAAAAGCAUUACAUAGCUCUUACUGUUCUUGAAAUCUUCUAAUCUAUAAUAUUUUUGAACUUUCUUUGGAUCCAUCAUAAGUCCUUCAUUGAAAAUGAUAUAUUCUAAUAAGACAACUUAAAUAAUGUAGAAUACUCACUUUUCUAACUCGGCAUACAAUCCCACAUCUCUAAGUCUUUAUAACACAUGACAAACAUGAACUUCAUGCUUUUUAGUAUUCUUAGAAUAGAUUAAAAUAUCAUCUAAGAAACAAACAAUAAAAUCAUCUAAAAAAUCACAAAAAACAUCAUUCAUAAGAUGGUGAAAAGUAGUUGAUGUAUUUGUGAGUCCAAAAGGCAUGACAUUAUAUUCAAAGUAUCUAUACCUUAUUUAAAAUGCAAUCUUCAAUUCAUCUCGUUCUUUAACACGGACCAAGUUAUAUACUCUUUGUAGAUCUAUUUUAUAUAGAUCUUAUCUUGAUUUAAUUGAUCAAGAAGUCUAGAUAUCAAAGAUAAAGAGAACAUUUUUUUGAUGGUAAUCUUAUUGAGUCUUCAAUAAUCUAUAUACAUUCAUAGUGAUCCAUCUUUUUUCUUCACAAAUAAGAUAGAAGUUCUUGCAAAAAAUUUCAAAAAGCGUAUGAAAUUCUUGGCCAAGUUCUUGUUAAUAUAUUUUUUAAGUUCAACAAAUUUAUUUUGUGAUAAACUAUAGAUUGGACCAAAUGGUGGCUGACUUCCUUCUUAAAGGUUGAUUGAACAAUCAUAUGGAUGAUGCUUCGAGAGAACAUCUACAUUUUUCUUCUUAAAAAUAUCUUUAAAAUCUUGAUAUUGACUUUGAAUGCCACUUAAAGUCUUUUUAUCAUUAAAAAUAGAUGUGGUAUAAAUAAUAAAAGACGAUCUUUCUUUUGUAACAUAUAAAAAAGCUUUUGUACCUACAAAUAUAUAUUUGACUACACUAGACUCAUGGCUUUCUAUAAAACUCUUAAUAAUACUUUGAAAAAAAUCAAGUUUACAAAAACUCGAAUCUAUUAGACGAUUGUACUUUUCUAGCUACAAUAAAUCUAAAAUGACUUGAUUAGAAGAAGAUCUAAUUAUAUUAAAAAUUAUGUAACUAUUAUGGCCAUUUAUUGCUUAUCUAUAGGAAAUAUUUUAUGAAUAAUACCUUCCAAAGAUAACACACAAUCAUCUAUGAUUUUUACAUGAACGGAUUUGGUUUUUUGUAUUAAUGAUAUUUUAUGGUUUUUAAGAAACUCUUCAUCUAAAAAACAAGUUGAGGCUCUUGAAUCUAUCUAGGCAAAGGCUUUGUGAUUAUUAGGUCCUAAAUAAAUAUCUAUUGUAAAAGAAGUAGAGGGUUUUGAAAAAAAGUUUUACGAAUUUAGAAUACUGACUGGAAAUCUAAACAAGAAGCUCAAGAAGAAUCAACGAGAACUAUAUUAAUCAAAUGAAUACAAGAAUAACACUAGAGGAGUGAGCUAGAACUGCAAGAGGUAUGUUGUCAAGACUGAGGAUCCCCUCAGUCUCGAUUCCUAUAUAUACUACAAGCUAGGAAGCUUCUCAAGUAGCUUCCACAAACUAGGAAGCUUCUCAAGUAGCUUCUACAAACUACAAAGCUUCUCUAGAAUCUUCUAAAAUCUUCUACAACUUCUUAGUAUAUGUCCUUGACAAAAAGAUAAGACCUUCAUUUGUACAAGAUUCCAACUACACAAUCCCCAUUAUAGCUGGAUAAAUUUAUUUUCUAAUAUUUUUUCAUCUUUGACAGUUGUACUCCUCAUUUUGUAGUUUCAUUAUUUCUUUGGACAAUGUUGAACAGUGUGCUUAGCUUCUCUACAAUAAAAACAUAGUUUUCUUAAUGAUAACAAGUAUUUUCUUAUUUAGUAAAAGGUUUAAAAUAUACAGCAUCAAUUUGUACAUCUUUUAUUUUCAAAUAUUUAGAUUUAGAGGUGGUUGGUGUUGUCAUUGAAUUAUAAUAAUCUGGAGGGUCUCUUGUGCAAUUUCUAAAUUAAAACUCAAAAAGCUAAUUGUCACCUUUCACAUAAAGUCAAUUUCUUCAUUCAAUGUUUGAUGAUCAAGUAAAUUGAACAUCAAUUUCUUUACCUCAUAUUGAAAUGUGUAGAAAAAUUAGCUAAUAAGGGUAAUAUCAUCCCACUUAACAUCAAUUACUAAUUUUUGAAAUUUUAAAGCAUAUGAUGUCACUGAUCAAUUACCUUAUUGUAAGAUAAAAAUCUUAUUGGUUGCAAUAUGAAUUGCAUCAUAUUUUUCAUACAUAGAUCAAAACUCUGCCAAAAAAACCUCCAAAUUAUCUAAUAUUGAAUCUCGUUAUUUAAGAAAAGAUGAAAACCAUAAUAAUGUCAAAUCUAAAAAAAUAUAUAUUAAUGAAUCUAAUUUGUGAUCCUAGCAUUGAAUAGCUUUAGGAUUGAAGUUCAAUCGUAAGUAGUACUUGAUUGAUAAAUCUUUAAAAUUUGGAUCUUAAGUGAUGAAACUUCUUAAAUAAAGUAACUAUAGAUUUUUUAACUUUAGAAGGAUGUUUUACUAUAGAAGAAGGGAUGUUUUACUAUUCAUUAUCAUUUUCAAUAAUAGAUCUCAUUUUUAUAAUGGCUAAGUCCACAAUCACAUUUACUUUAAAGAGAUCUUGUACUUAAAAUUCAUUGUCUUUAAAUACCAAUCACUACAAAAAAUUUAAGUUUCAACAAUCAAGCUAGAACACAAAAAAUAAGACAAGAUCAAUUCUCCUUGAAAAGAUGUUUCAGUAGUCAAGAAGGCCAAACAAAAACUUUUGAAUCAAAGUUGGACAUACUUCCAUAGUACCUCAAAUCCAUCAAUAUCAUGGUAUCAAUUGAAAAUAAAAAAAUACACUUUCAAAUUAUAAUUAUAUAAGAAUGAUAUCUUUUUAGUUUUAUUAUUAUCAAUCAUGGCAUAGAGUUUUUUAGACGAAUUUUAUCAUGACAUAUGGCAAUAUUGAAUUAGUAAAAUACAACCUCCCUUCAAAUUUUGGUUGUUUCUUUUUUGUCUCAAUUCCAUUUAAAUGAUAAUAAAAGAAGUCAUGGAAAUGGGCAUCAAUGCCACAAGUUUAGUUCAAGGUUGUCUUGAGACAAAAUAAAUAAAAUGAAAAGAAAGUAAAAAUAUCUUGUAAGGCAUGAAAAUAUAACAAUCCUUGGACAAUACAAAAUGAUUCUUGUCAAUAUAACAAUAGCUUAAAAGCUAAAUAGUUUCAAAUAGUCUGGACUUGUAUUGUAUGGUCUAUAUAUAUAUAUAUAUAUAUAUAUAUUCUUAUUAAAUAUAAUUUUAAUUUAUAAUGUUAGAUUUUAAUAAAAAUUAGAUUUGUAAGUUUGAAGAAUUGUGUUAAUGAAAUAUUCUUUUGUUAUAGUUGUUAAAUUUGCUACUAUCUAGUCACUCAAGAACAUGUAUAGUUAUUGUUUUCUAUAGAUUUCUUCAUAGAAUAUCAAUCAAAACACCACUUCAUUGUAUCAAUCACAUUCACAAGACUUUGUUGUUCUUCUAACUAGAAAAGCCUUUGGAAUAUUUGCAAACACAAUAAGGUGGUGUGAAGUGAGUUUUACAUCUUAUCCUUAUUUUGCUACAAUUAUAAAUCAAGGUUUAUGCAAUUGGAAGUAGAGGAAGGGAAAGAAGAAACAAAAGAAGUCAUGAUGAGAGCUAGGAAUAAAAAAGAACUAUAGGAGGGGAGGGAGGGGGGAUAGAGGGGGCUUAGAUGAGAGUUGAAAAUGGAAGGAGUGGGAAUUAAGAAAAUUAAGGGUAAAGAUGAAGGCCAUGAUUGUGAUAAUGGUUGUAAUAGGAUGGAUCAAUUUAGUAAAUAGGUGGAUCAUUUUAACAUUCUCUUAAAUAUAAAUAUAUAUAUAUAUGUAUAUAUAUAUAUAUAUAUAAUUUUAGAAGUUUUAGUAUACAAGUACACAUAUUCAUACAAACAUGCUCAUUUGAAACAAAUAAUGCAUUUACUGCAGCUUGCGGUAAUCAAUUGACUGCAAUCAGACAACAGAAAAUGGAUGUAAACAGACAAAUCCAUGGACAGUUUCAAGGGAACGUGGAACAAGGGAUGGGCUUGACGAGGGUUCCCAAGGGUGGAGAGUUGCGGGAACAUGUGGCGGAUUAGGGUUUGUGUCUUCAGCGGGGUGAGUGGCGCCGAAACCCUAUAAGUUGUGCCAUUGGCAGGCCCAGCGAACCACAGCGGGAGUGUGUGAUUCUCAAUCUCGGCACCGGACCGGGUGUACGUAGAGUGGCACCGGUGUUUGGCUGAUGUUGGUAUGGUUAGCCCAGGGUUGAUUGUUGAUUGUUGUGUGGGCCCAUGUUUCCUUGAGUCGGAGCUGCGGUUUUUCUUCGCCCCGGAGCGCCUACAGGGUGGGGCGUGCAUUGUGGAUGUGGAGGUUGGAUGUGUGAGAUAAUUUUUUUUAUCUCAUAUUAUAAUCCAUUAAAGAAUUGGCUGAUGAAUGCAAUAUCAUCCUACUUGAUAUCAAUUUUAAGUUGUUUAAAUUAAAAAGUAUUUAAUAUUCUAUUUUUAUAUAUAAAUUAUGGAUCUUAUUUAUUAUUACACAAACUACAUCAUUUUUUUGAUACAUAGAUCAAAAUUCUACCAAAAAAGCUUUGAAAUUGUCCAAUAUUGGAUCACAUCAUUUAAGAAUAGAUGAAAACCAUGAUAAUGCAAAAUUUAAAUACAAUGUUCUAAUAAAUCUAACAUGAUCUUGAAAUUGGAUAGCUUUAGAGUUGAAGUUCAAUUGCUAAUUGUAGUUGAUUGAUGAAUCCUUGAAACUUUGAUAUUGUACCAUCAAACUUCUUAAGUAAGGCAAUUCUUGGUUCUCUAGUACUUAAAUGAUGUUCUACCAUAGGAUAAGGGAUAUGAUUUGGUACAGAUGUUGAAGCACCUCCAAUCAUCUCUAUAUCUCUACUUUUUUCCAUUCUUAUUCUUUUUUAUAAUUAUAAAUUGAAUUGAUACAUUGCAAGUAUUAACUCCCGUAAUUGUUCUUGUAUUUAUGCCAUUGCAUUCAUCAUUUCAACAAAAUCUACCAUAAUAACACUUAAAAGAAGAAAAAAAAAAUAUCUAAUAUUGCUCAAGAUAAGUAAAAAAAAGAACUUGAGAAUAAAAAAGAUAUUAAAAAUAAUGUCAAUUUAGAAGAGGAUAAUUUGCAACUUUUAAUACACUAAUGUCCUAUGAAGAGAAAGAAAUAAUCCACUCUUAAUGAAGAAAAGUCAAAGCUUUAAUUUUAUAAAUGUACUCUUGAUAAUUUGUCAAAGACAAGAACUCAAUGAAAGCAAAUAAUCAAAUAAGACUUUUAUAAAGAAAUAUGAUAAAAUUAAACUAAAAAAGUAUGUAUAUUAAAAAGAAAUCGGAAUGGAAAUUAUUAAAAAGAAAUCAGAAUGGAAAUUAUCAAAAAAAAAAAAAAAAAAAAAAAAAAAAUUAGAGACUCUUGAAACUAGACUAAAAGCAAGAAAGGAAUUAACAAGAGUGAAGAAGGCUUUAGUAUUGCUCAUAUAUAUACUAUCUACCUAAGAGCUAUGUGAUACAUUCUGUAGGACCUCCAAAAUGUAUUUUUGCACAACAUGUAUCUUAACUUGUAAAGUAAGUUUUCUAUAUGUACACCACAUAGUUAACUUGUUAUACAAGUUACUAAUAUGCAUGGCAUGUGGUUAACUUGUUGACUAAGAUUCUAAUAUACUAAACAAUUACAAACACAUGUAAAGUCAAAAUAGCAUCUAUGAAGCUUUUAAGAAGCUAUCCUAGAAGAUAAUAUGAAAUAAAUAUAUUUUUAACUACUUCUACUUAUUCAUAUUAUUUAGGUAAUAAUUAUAAUAAAUAUAUAUAAACCUCGUCAUGACAAAUAUAGAUGUCAAGUAAGUAGUGAUUGAAGAAGUAUGUGGUAACAAUUAAGUAAUUUUUCACAAUGUUAUUAAGUAUCACAAUAGGUUGCAAAUUAGAAUGUGCCCUAAGUAAUUUUAAAUUAUCAAUACUUGUGAGAAUAGAUUUUUUUUGUUAUAAGAAAUACUCUAAAUUAGCCAUUUAAGUGAUUUAUAUGACAUACUUUAUAAAAAAGAAAAAUUUGUUUAGGUGUGAUACAUCUUCACAAUAUGUUGUCAAUGUUGAAAUCAUAUAAGGUCUUAUUGACAAACAUAUAAGAGAUAGUGGUGUAACAAAAUGACUUAAGGAAAACAAAAAAAAAGAAAUGUCAACUAGACACUAUUUGGUGUAGUGAUAGUGCAUGAUUUGGUUGCAAAAGAUAGAAACAAAAAAGAAGACUAUUAAGGCAAAGUUUGUGGCAAUCAAUUUCAAUAAAAAUAGGCUCUUGUAUGCAAGACAAGAUAUCCUUAUUGCAAUAAGAUUUCUCUGAUCAAUAUUCAACAUUGAAGGAAAAUUCUUCAAGCACAAGUAACCACCAUGCAAGUUGUCUCAAGCAUAUGGAUGUGUUCUGCAAAAACUUUAAGGCUUUGCCAUUGAUAUGGAUGGUGAAUUAUUACCCAAAAUAUAAAGCUUGAAUUCUUAUGUAGGGUGCCAUGUAGAAUGACAGAAACAUUGGCAUCCUGUUUGGAAAGUUUCCCUAGCUGUAGGGGGAUUGUUGCUACAUGGAUCCAAAUAAGAAAGAUCUCCGUAAACAUUUAAUUUAGAAAAAAAAGAAGAAGAUGUUCAGUCACCGAUCCCCGUUGGCAACGGUGACAAGCUUUCAAGCGGGUGCAGGAGAGCCUGGGGGAGAGGGCGGAGGGGUGACGUUCCCAAGGGUGGGGAGUUGCGGGAACAUGUGGCGGAUUAGGGUUUGUGUCUUCAGCGGGGUGAGUGGCGCCGAAACCCUAUAAGUUGUGCCAUCGGCAGGCCCAGCGAACCACAGCGGGAGUGUGUGAUUCUCAAUCUCGGCACCGGACCGGGUGUACGUAGAGUGGCACCGGUGUUUGGCUGGUGUUGGUAUGGUUAGCCCAGGGUUGAUUGUUGAUUGUUGUGUGGCGCCCAUGUUUCCUUGAGUCGGAGCUGCGGUUUUUCUUGGCCCCGGAGCGCCUACAGGGUGGGGCGUGCGUUGUGGAUGUGGAGGUUGGAUGUGUGGUCGGGUCAUUGUGCGCUGGUGUCUGUGUGGACAUAAUGUGUUGGAGGACCGCAAUGAUUAGAAUUGGUAAUCAGCCGGCUGGCUGAAACUUCCAUAAAAAAACAUACAGAACAUCUAAGGGUCUGAGCGGAUGUGGGUGUUGCGAAGGAUGGUUAGGAGGCAAUCUGACUAGAGUCACUCGUGUGCUGGUGAUCAAUAGCACAUAGAGCGCUGAAAGUUGCCGAGAACGAUGUCACGGGCAGCUGUUCGACCUGACCCUGAAGAAUCUACCUGCGCAGGAAGAAGCUUCCGUGAACAGCGUGAAAAUGAAGUGUGUGAGGGUGAGUGUGGGGGGAGGGAAAUUGUGUCGGUGAGGAGAUUGAUGUCAUGCACCACACUGAGUUAACUGUGCUGAGAUGACAAUAACACCAUAAGAAUCACUGAGACAUGGACUUCUGGGCAGUAGGGGGGUUUUAGGAGUUUCGUUUUGCGGGGUGUGGGAGCGGUAGGUGCAGAAGGUUGUGAGGAAGAGUUGGGCGUGGAAUGAUGGACGGGCAGGUGCGGAGGCAUGUGUGGGGCUGGAAUUAGGGUCGGAUGGAUGGGGGUUGCUGUGAUGAUACCAAAGUGUUUCGGACUAGAGUUUCUGAUCUGGGGUAGUAGCCAGCAUUGAAGAAACCACUCUUGGCUGUCUGAGCAUUGGGGUUGUCGUGUAUGAGGGUGGUUGGCAUCGCGAAGCUGCGUGUGCAAAUCUUAAGUAUGCCGACAGUGAGGGCGGCUGAUGUGUAGUUUAUAUGUGUGGCGAAAGGGUGAACUGUAUUGUGACGAGGUUGGAGGAGAGAAUCUUUUGGUCUAUUUCACUGCAGCCUAACACAUGAACGGAGGUGUGGAGGAAUAGCACCCCCAAGACAACCCUGAAACUAACAACAUGUAGCAGUAACACAAGGAUUCAUCGAAUGGUUCCAAUAAAUCUGAACCAUAACCUACAUGAGUGCAAUCUGAUUAAUCCACUGGAUUGGUAUGGCACACGUAACGAUUGACCAAUGAGAAUCUUCUACGUACUUGCUAUGCAAUGUGGGGAUUUGAUUUUACAGCUGAGCUUGUGCGUGCAUUGUUCACAUGUGGGUGCGCAGAUCCGUUAAGAUUGCCUGUUUUCAGAUGGAUUGCCUUUUUAAAUCUCGAGAGUUAAGCAUGGCCCACAUGCUAAACCUUGUUAUUUAGAAAUAAACAAUGCCCGUCAUUCAUGAAGAAAUGAGUGCAGAUUGUGGGCGGGAGACGUUCUAGGAAUUUACGUCGUUUUGUGAUGUUCUGAAUGAGUUAAUCGGAGUGUAAUGUCGGAAGAUCGAUUCAAAGAGUUGAACCCUACCGGGGUCGGCAUUGGAAUGUCUGAGACUGUGCUGAGAGGAUUAUACGGGAUUCAUUAAAUGACUUGAUUAGUAAUGGAACUUGUCACACUUAGUCAAAGCAACGUCAGCUAAGUGCAUAGUCUUAAAUGUGUGUAAAUCGGUCCUAAAAACGGUUCAUAUCUUCAUAUAUGUUAAUUGACUUCUCGGGUAGAAGAUCUAGUAUGUAUGCAUUUUCAAGAAGCAUUCUCAUCAAUCAUACUUCGCCAAAUGUACAAUUUUCAAACAUAUAUGAACUAUGAUUAAUCCAAUUAUUCUUCCAAUGAUGUUAUAAUGAAAAAUUACAGCUCUUCAAUAUACUUUUUGAUUUUCUAUUCACAUGCAUAUUGUAGUAAUAAAAUAAUGAUACACUUUUAAACAAAUUUCUUAAUAGGUGUCUUUAAUGUAUUGCUAGUGGCAUUGAAUUAAUACUCUUUCCUGUAUUAUAUUUUAAUAUAUUUUUUUAUAAAGAAGAGUAUGAUAUUAUAAAUACCAUAUUAGUCAUAUUAAUUGAUUUAUAUAUAUAUAUAUAUAUAUAUAUAUAUAUAUAUAAUAUACAGUAUUAAAUUAAUAACAAAGUGAUCAGAUUUUUUUACUACAUCAACCCACUCUAUUGUAACCAAUAUUACAACCAUGGACAUUCUCACUACCUUCCUUUGUUUCUUCUCUUUCAAUUCUUAUCCUAAUCUCUUUUAUUCCUCUUCUCUUCCAAUUUCCAAUUGUAUGAACUUCGAUUGAGAGUUAUAGCAAAACAAGGAUAAACUUCAAAUUUUACUUUACAUUAUCUUAUUUUAUUUGUCAAUAUUCAAGACUUGCCAUUAUUGAAUUCCUCAACAUGCCAAAAUAUCAUAACAAACUCCAAAUGUGUGCAAUAUAUCAUUGUGCUUUGGUAAAACAAAUAUAGUUGAAAAAACAAAUCUAUAUAUAUUAAUUUAUAAGUACACUACUAAGAGCAUAAUCCACUUAUGGAGUUUUGGAGAUUUUAAUUGUUGCUUAUGUAUUAGUCAUGAGGCUAUGAAUUCAAAUAUGAGGUCAUUUAGAUAAAAAUUGCAUGAUCAUACUUAUUGUUUGGGACAUGAACCUUAAAGAACUAAAAUAUGAAUAUAUUCUUGUGUCACUUGAAAAGUCUAGAAAGUCACUCAAAGAUGAUAUGAUAUUAAAUUAGAAUGGCUAUUGCCAAAAAUGAGAAGAUUAAAAAGUCUUAAAAAAGAUUAAGGACUAAAAAAACAUUGACAAGAAGAAAGAAGACUUCAAUCUUACCUCUAUAUAUACUAUCUAAUUAGAAGUUGUAUGACAAUGUUUUAUUGGACCUCUAAUACAUGUUGACUUUGCAAGAUAUGUAUUUUAAUUUAGAAAGCAAGUUUUUUACAUAUGUACUACAUAAUUAAUUUAUUUUGUAAGCUAUUAAUAUAUGAUUAACUUGUUGACUAAGUUUCUAACAUAUUAAUCAACUUCAAAUAUAUUAAAAGUCAAAACCACCUCUGUAAAGCUUCUAGAAAGCUUCUCUAAAAGUUAUUUUAAAAUCAAUCCACUUUUAUUUAUUUUUACUUAAUUAUAUGGGCAAUUAUUAGAGUAACUACAUAUGCUUGUGACAUUAUCUUCUCUUUUAGAGACAAGUUGCUUAAGGAGCAAUUGUUAUUUGUUGAAAAAAAUCUAAUAUGAAAUAAAUUAUAUUUGUCACAUACUUUGAUCUUUGCUUUCUUUGAAGAUAGUUGAUAGGUUCUCUCAACCAUCAAUAGUGUCUCUUACAAGGUUGAGAAGACUACCAUGUUAUUUAAACGUUGUUAAGGCCUUCAUAGCUUCCUUCAAAUAAAAUAUUUGGAGUAUUGUUAGGAGUCAUUUCUACUUCUAAUAAAAUCAUUAAACAGUGGAAGUCUCUUCCAAGGUCGUGAUAUUAAACACAUUGUAUCUUGCCAUCUAUUCAAAAGAAGGCAUGUCAUUCAUAAUGAUCUCUAUUUUGAUUGUAUUGUCUUGAAGGUUAUGACAAUUGCAAUGUUUCAUCUAAUAAGUCAACAAAUAAUGGCUUUUAGAUUGAAUCUACUGAUUGUUGGUUUUCUGUUUUAUUAGUAUCACAAAUACAUAGAAGCUACAAACAAAGAUAGAAAGAAGAAUACUAUCUUCUUUGGAUAUUGUUUCUUUAAUAGUAAAGAUUUUCUUUUUUUAUUUUAGUUUUAAUAAAUGUCAUCAAUAAAAUAUCUCAACUUUCUUUGUAAUAUUUAUAAGAUUCUUCUAAAUAUUUUAAAGCUUCAAAAUGUAAUUUUCAAGCUGAGAUUAGAAGAUCCAUGAUAAAAUCCAUAGCAAUAGAAGACCAUGGUCAUUUUAGAAUAGAUAAUGGCUAAAAAAGUCUAUAAGGUCAAUAGCAAGGAGUUUUGAAUCUUGAACAAAUAUCACAUGAUUGUAUAAAGUCUUUGACUGCCUUUUAUAUUUGAGGCCACUAAAAAUCUCUUAAUGUUAGCUCUAAAAUUUUGUUGCAUCUUAAAUGUCUGGUUGUUGAAAAGUCAUGACAAGCUUGAAGAACAUAUAAUUAUGCCUCGCCUUUUGAAAUAUAUAAUCAUCCUUCGAAAUUGAAUAGGUUGUUUUUGGAUUUGAAUUUGGAAGUAUUAUAAAACUUAGAAGAAUUAUUCUUGAUAUUAUGAAUAAGAGAAUCAAAAGAUAUACUUGAUUGAUUUUUCUUAACAAAGGUUGAAUCAGCAAUUAAUGUUGAUUUUAUUGCUCAAAUGUGAAAAUGCUCUGGCUUCAAAAGGAUUGUUCUUCGUUGAUCAAUAGUUACAUCUCUUUCUUUUGAUUCAAAGUAAAAACAUCUAGAAAAGGCAUCUAAUAAAUCUUAUUAUUUUUUGUAUCAAUAAGUGAUCUUUAAAUCAAAUCUUAAUAAAAACAUAUUUUAACCAGCUUGGCAAUGAUUCAAAAUACAUGUUGACAUGAAGUACUUGAGAUUCUUGUGAUUCAUAUAUACAGUAAUUGGAUUAAAAAUGCCUUCUAGUAAAUGACACCAUUCUUGAAAUGAAUCCACAAUUGCAAGAAGUUCUUUGUCAUAGAUCUUAUAAUAAAUCUUGGUUGUUGAAAUUUUUUUGGAAUGAAAAGAUAUCAGAUGGAGGUUAUUAUAUAAUUCCAUUUGUGAUAAAACAACAUCUAUAGCAAAGUCUAAUGCAUUUGUUUCUAUGAAGAAUACCUUGAAAUAAUUGACGUAGUAUAAAAUUGAUAUAAAAAUAAAUGUUAACUUUAAGGAUUCAAAAGAUACUUCAACUUCUUUGUUCUAUUCAAGUUUGUCUUUAUAUGCUAGAUGUGUAAGAGGAGCUACAACUUGAAAUUAUUUUUUGAUAAAUAUUUGAUUAAAUUGACAAAUGUCAAAAAUUAUUGUACAUCUUUGAUUUUUUUUGGGACCUUCCAAACUAUGAUAGUUCGGACCUUCUUAGGAUUCAUUAUUAUUCCUUCAUUAAAAAUAAAUAAUCCUAAAAAAUCAACUUGAAUAGUAUAGAAUAGACACUUUUUCAUCUUGGCAUAUAAUCUUGCAUCUCUAAGUUUUUGUUAUACAUGACAAAUAUAAAAUUCAUAUUUUUUAUAUUUUUAGAAUAACUUAAUAUGUCAUUGUCACGGCCAUAAUCAUGUAAGCUAAUAAUUACAUAUAGAAAUAGGUAGAAGUAAGUAAAAGUAGAUAAAAGUAAGUUAAUUCUAUAAUAUUUAAUAUAGAAGCUUUCUAGAAACUUCCUAGACGCUGCUUUGACUUCAUAGGUGUCUUUAAUUGACUUUUUGGAUUAGAAACGUGGUCAACAAGUUGGCCAUGUGCCACACAUGUUGUUAGCUUGAAGAUCAAGCUAACUAUGUGGCCCACACGUAGAAAAACUUGCCUUGUAAGUCAAGGCAUGUAUCCUACAAAGUCAACACAUAUUGGAGGUCCUAUAGAACGUCGCCACGUAGCUCCUAGUUAGAUAGUAUAUAUAGAGAUAAGAGUGAAGGCUUCUUCACUCUUGUCAACUCCUUUCUUGCUUCUAGUCCAGGUUCAAGAGUCUUUAAUUUCUUGUCUUGUGGCAAUAGCCAUUCCAGUUUCCUUUUAAUAUACCUACUUCUUUAUACUUUGACUUAUUAUAUCGAGAUAGCCUUUUUGUGUAUAUUUUCCCUCAUCGAGUCUUUGUCCUUGAUAGAUUGACAAGAGUACACUUACAAUAUCAAAGCUUUGUUUUUCUUGAGUGAGAGUGGAUUUUCCCUUUCUGUUGACAAGACAUAAGCGUAUUAGAAGUUUACGGAUUACCCACUUCUAAAUUGAUAUUGUUCUUAGUAUCUUCUUUGUUAUCAAGUCUUUCUUUUCUUUUGUCUUGAGCAGUAUCAAACAAAUUUUUCUUAGUAUCAUUAUGGCAGAGCUUGUUGAAAUGAAGAGUGCAAUGACACAAAUGCAAGAGCAAAUGAGGGAGUUAAUGCUUGCGAUGCAUCAACUCAAUUCACCAACACAUGAAAGAACAAGAAUAGCAGAAAGUGGGGAUAUAGAGAUGAUCGGAGCUGCUUCAACAUCUACAACAAAUCACGUUUCUUCUCCAAUUGUACAACACCCUGUAAGCACUAGAGAACCAAGAAUUGCCUUAUCCGAGAAAUUUGAUGGUACGAGAUCUAAGUUUCGAGGGUUCAUCAAUCAAGUACAAUUGGCAAUUGAACUUCAACCGCAAAGCUAUCCAACUCCAGGAUCACAAGUCAGGUUUAUUGGCACUUUACUUUCUAGUUCUGCAUUAUCGUGGUUUUCGUCUUUUUUUGAACAACGAAAUCCAAUAUUGGACAAUUUGAAAGCUUUUUUGGCGGAGUUUCGAUCUAUGUAUGGUGAACACGAUGCAACUCGUGUUGCAACAAAUAAGAUCCGAAUUCUGCGGCAAGAAAAUCGCUCAGUAACAGUGUAUGCUUCACAAUUUCGACAACUUGUAAUUGACAUCAAGUGGGAUGAUGCUGCACUCAUCAGUCAAUUUCUUUAUGGAUUGCAAUACAAAGUAAAGAAAUUGAUGCUCAACUUACCUGAUCCUCAAACUUUGAGUCAAGCAAUCGAUUUUGCGAUAAAAUAUGAUAAUCGACUUUUCAAAUUUUGAUCUGAGAAUCAUUCACGGGAACCUCAACGUUAUUACUCAAUGGCAACAUCAACAUCUUUGCCAAACGUACAUUCGGAAGUAGAAGACAUGCAAAUUGACGCGGUACGUUUUAAACCCCUAACUGAGCAAGAAAAGAUUCGUCGUCGUCAAGAAGGAUUAUGUUUAUAUUACGGAGAACUUAAGCACACUGCUCAACAUUGCCCAAAGAAGCGACGCAACUAUAAAAUGAGGGGUAAGACGGUCAAAGAAAACAACAUGUCGGAAAACGGAUUCGUCCAGCUACAAUAGGGACCAUGUAGCUGGAACCUUGUACAAUUCCUAAUGAAGGUCCUAUCUUCUUCUCAGAACCCUCUCCUUGUUUUAUAAUAGACUUAUAUUUAGGACCUAAGAAUUACAAAGCCUCUGCUUUAUUAGAUUCAAGAGCCUCAGCAUGUUUUUUAGAUGAACAAUUUGUUAAAAGUCGUAAAAUACCUUUUGUACAGAAACCUAAACCAGUACAUGUAGAAGUCAUAGAUGGUCGUCCCUUGUCUUCUGAAGAUGUCACUCAUGAAACUCAUCCUUUAAAAGUAACAAUAGACGGUCAUGAUAGCUACAUAGCUUUUAACAUAAUUAAAUCCCCGUCCAAUCCAGUUAUUUUAGGUUUAUCCUGGCUAGAAAAAUAUAACCCUCGAAUAGAUUGGAAUUCGCGUAAACUUGACUUUUCCUAGAGCGUUAUUCAUAGUUCUACUAACCAAGUAAAAAAUUAUAAGUCUAAUAUAGUAAAAUUCGUACUGAUAGGUGCAAAAACAUUUAUACACGCAGCAAAAGAAGGAUCAACUUUUGCUAUUUAUGCUGCACCUAUUUCUGAAAACGUAAAGACUUCAAGUGGCAUUCCAAGUCAAUAUCAGGAGUAUCAAGACGUUUUUGAAAAAAAGAAUGCAGAUAUUCUUCCUGAGCAUCGCCCAUAUGAUUGUUCAAUCGACCUCAAGGAAGGAACUUAGCCACCAUUUGGAUCAAUUUACAGUUUAUCGCAAGAUGAGAUGGCUGAACUCAAGACAUAUAUUGACGAGAAUUUAGCAAAGAAUUUCAUACGCCAUUCAAAAUCUCCAGUAGGAGCUCCAAUUCUAUUCGUAAAGAAAAAAGAUGGAUCUUUACGAAUGUGUGUUGAUUAUCAAGGACUCAACAAGAUCACAAUCAAGAACAGGUAUCCAUUACCUUUGAUAUCAGGACUCCUUGACCAGUUGAAUCAAGCUAAGAUCUAUACAAAAAUAGAUCUAAGAGGAGCAUAUAAUCUAAUACGGAUCAAAGAAGGAGAUGAAUGGAAGAUUGCGUUUCGAACCAGGUAUAGACAUUUCGAAUAUAAUGUCAUGCCCUUUGGACUCACGAAUGCACCAGCUACUUUUCAACAUCUCAUGAAUGAUGUAUUUCGUGAAUUCUUAGACAAUUUUGUCGUCUGCUAUUUAGACGAUAUCCUGAUCUAUUCUAAGAACGUCGAAGAACAUGAAAUACAUGUUCGUCAAGUAUUAUAAAAACUUAGAGAUGCAGGAUUGUACGUUAAGAUGGAAAAGUGUGUAUUUCACACUACUUAAGUUGACUUUUUAGAAUACAUCAUUUCAAAUGAUGGUCUCAUGAUGGAUUCUAAGAAAGUCCAAACAAUCAUGGAUUGGAAGAUUCUAAGGAUGGUAAGAGAUGUCCAAUGUUUCUUGGGAUUUGCCUAUUACUAUCGGAUCUUCAUCAAAGAUUUCUCACGAGUUGCAGCUCCACUUACACGCUUGACUAGUAAAGAUAAAUUUCAAUGGAAUCAAGAAGCGGAAGCAGCAUUUGAAGCCUUGAAGACAUCGUUUGUCUCUUCACCAGUCUUAUAUCGUGUUGACUUUUCCAAGCCAUUUUUUAUGGAAACAGAUGCAUCAGAUUUUGCCUUGGGUGCAGUUUUAUCACAAAUGGGAACAGAUGACAAACUUCAUCCGAUAGCUUUUCAUUCAAGAAAAUUCUCAGCAGCCGAGAUCAAUUAUGAGAUCCACGACAAAGAACUUCUUGCGAUCAUGGAUUCCUUUCAAGAAUGGCGUCAUUAUCUAGAAGGCGCUUCUAGUCCAGUCACUAUGUAUACAGUUCAUAAGAACCUCGAGUAUUUUAUGUCAGCAUGCGUGUUGAAUCGUCGUCAAGCUCGUUGGAGUAUGUCUUUGUCAAGAUUCGAGUUCAUUAUCACUUAUCUGCCAGAAAAACAACAAGGUUUGUCCGAUGCCCUAUCUAGACGUUCUUAUUUUGCACCAAAAGAAGGAGAUGCAGCUUUUGAGCAACAAAGAACGGUCCUCUUGAAACUGGAGCAAUUUCAUCUCCGAGCAAUGAAAUCAACAUUGACUGUUGAUUCAACUUUUCUCAAGCAAAUCCAGUCCAGUAUGUCCUCAGACCCUCUUGUUCAUGAUAUCGAGAAUAAUUCUUCCAAGUCUCAUGAUCCUUCUAAGUUCGAGUUCAAGAAUAAUCUAUUAUAUUUUGAAGGACGCCUAUAUGUUCCAGAAGGAGAAGCACGUUUACGUGUUCUUCAAGCACGUCAUGACUUUCUAACAGCAGGGCACUUUGGAUAUAAUCAGACUUUGGAACUCAUAUCAAGAGAUUUUUGGUGGCCACAAAUGUGGAAGUCAGUCAAAGACUUUGUACAAUCAUGUGAUAUUUGUUCAAGAUCAAAAAUUCCUCGUCAUCGACCUUACGGACUUCUUCAGCCAUUACCUAUCCCAGAACAACCAUGGUCUUCUGUUUCUAUGGAUUUCAUCACAGAUCUUCCAAGCUCAAGAUCUUAUGAUUCUAUAUUUGUGAUAGUAGAUCAUUUCACCAAGAUGGCACAUUUUGUGCCAUGUACAAAAUCUAUCACAGGUGAAGAAACAGCUAAGCUUUUCAUUGAUAAUAUCUAUCGCUAUCAUGGAUUACCUAAAGAUAUCAUAUCGGAUAGGGGAACUCAAUUUGUGUCAAGAUUUUGGAGGACCCUUUUCAAGAUUUUAAAAGUGGACAUAAAGCUAUCUUCGGCUUUCCAUCCUCAAACUGAUGGACAAACAGAGCGCGUAAACCAAGUCUUGGAGCAAUAUUUAAGGUGUACUAUCAACUAACAACAAGAUGAUUGGACAACCUUUCUGCCAUUGGUAGAGUUUGCUUAUAAUAAUACGGUACAUUCUUCCACGCAACAAACACCUUUCUUUGCCAAUUAUGGCUAUCAUCCACGACUUGAUACUUUUGAUUUUUCAAAAGUUGAUAAUCCUGCAACAGAAGAUAUGGCAAAUCGGUUGUCAGAGUUACAUGCAAUAAUGAAGACACAAUUGAAGGAAGCUCAAGAACGACAAAAAAUAAACGCAGAUCUAUAUCGUAAGGAGCAACCACAAAUCAACGUGGGUGAUAAGGUAUGGCUACUUCGUCGCAAUAUCAAGACUACUCGACCUUGUGACAAGUUGGACUAUCGUAGGCUUGGCCCCUUUUCUGUUUCUGAACAGAUCAACCCAGUUGCAUAUCGGUUACAUCUACCGGAGUCAAUGAAGAUCCAUCCUAUAUUCCACGUGUCUCUUCUUGAACCAUAUAAGACAGUGGAUAUACAAGGAAGAAGACAAAUGCCACCGCCUCCUAUAGAAGUAGAUAAUAAUGAAGAAUUUGAGGUGGAAGAGAUAUUAGACUCAAGGCGACGCCGAAAUAAGCUGGAAUAUCUUGUUCAUUGGCGCGGAUAUGAUAUUAGUGAAUGCACAUGGGAGCCAUCCAGGAAUCUAGCAAAUGCAUCAGCUAAAGUCAAGUUUUUCAUCAACGACAUCCAUCAAAACCAAGAUGAAAAUCUCUCUUAUAAAAGAGACAAGAUUGAGGCAAGAUAACAUUCAAUUUCCUAUCCUUGUUUGUAAUUUCUUUACAUUUGUGACGCUAAUUAGAUGGAGAGCCAACAACCAGCGGAUUCAACUCAAGAACCUUUGUUUGCUGACCUGCCGGAUGAGACAUUACGAUUGUCACAACCUUCAAGACGACGCAAUCGAGAUGAAGAUCUUCAAGAAUGACAUGUUCUUCCUCGAACAGAUGGUGAGAUACAACGCGUUUGGUAUUACGAUUUGGGAAGGGACUCCCGAUGUUUGGUGAUUUUACUAGAGGUAGGAACAACUCCUGAUGGUGUUCUGAAUAUUCUAUUCGAAGGAAGUUAUGAAGGCCUCAAUAAUGAUCAAAUAACUGGGUGGUCUUCCCGCCCUGGUAUGGGACACUACUGAUGGUUGAGAGGUCCUAUCAAUCAUCUUCGAGGAGAACAGAGAUCAGAGUAUGUGGCGAAUACAAUUUGUCGCAUCAUAGAUUUCUUCAACAUAUGAUGACCGCUCCUCGUAGAACUCAUCUCUAGAAAGGGGGAUAAUAUCACGGCCAUAAUCAUGUAAGCUAAUAAUUACAUAUAGAAAUAGGUAGAAGUAAGUAAAAGUAGAUAAAAGUAAGUUAAUUCUAUAAUAUUUAAUAUAGAAGCUUCUUAGAAACUUCCUAGAUGCUGCUUUGACUUCAUAGGUGUCUUUAAUUGACUUUUUGGAUUAGAAACGUGGUCAACAAGUUGGCCAUGUGCCACACAUGUUGUUAGCUUGAAGAUCAAGCUAACUAUGUGGCCCACACGUAGAAAAACUUGCCUUGUAAGUCAAGGCAUGUAUCCUACAAAGUCAACACAUAUUGGAGGUCCUAUAGAACGUCGCCACAUAGCCCCUAGUUAGAUAGUAUAUAUAGAGAUAAGAGUGAAGGCUUCUUCACUCUUGUCAACUCCUUUCUUGCUUCUAGUCCAGGUUCAAGAGUCUUUAAUUUCUUGUCUUGUGGCAAUAGCCAUUCCCGUUUCCUUUUAAUAUACCUACUUCUUUAUAUUUUGACUUAUUAUAUCGAGAUAGCCUUUUUGUGUAUAUUUUCCCUCAUCGAGUCUUUGUCCUUGACAGUCAUCUACAUUCCAAAUAAUAAAAUGAUUAAGAAAUUCAAGAAAUAUAUCAUUUAUGAGAUAUUAAAAAUGAGCUAGUGCAUUCAUGAGUCCAAAAGGCAUAACAUUAUAUUCAAAAUAUCCAUUCCUAGUUUGAAAAAUAAUUUUUUAUUCAUUUCUUUUUUUAAUAGAAAUCAAAUUGUAUACUUUUUAUAGAUCUAUUUUUGUAUAGAUCUUUAUUUGAUUGAAUUAUUUAAGAGGUCUUGAAAUCAAAGAUAGGGAAUAUCUAUUCUUGAUAGUGAUCUUAUUAAGUCCUUAAUAGUUUAUGCACAUCUACAAAGAUCUAUCUUUUUUCUUCACAAAUAAGAUAGAAGCUCCUAUUGGAGAUUUUGAAUAGGAUAUAAAUUUUUUAAGUAAGUUCUCAUUAAUGUACUCCUUUGGUACAAUCAAUUCAUUUUGCAAUAAUAUGAAGAUUGGUUCAAAUGGUAAUUGAGUUCUUUCUUAUAGAUCAAUUGAAUAAUCAUAAGAUCAAUGCUUUAGAAGAAUAUCAAUAUUUUUAUUUUCAAAAAUAUCCUAGAAAUCUUAAUAUUAGCUAAAAAUAUUACUUGUACUAUAGAUAUACAUACAUAUUCUAAUAAAUACCUAUACGAUUAGAUAGAAGUAGAUAAAAAUAGAUUAAUUUCAUAAUAUCUUUUAGAGAAGCUUCCUAGAAGCUUUGUAGAUGUUGCUUUGAUUUUAUAUGUAUUUUUAGUUUAUUGAUAGAUUAAAAACUUAAUCAACAAAUUAUCUACAUAUUGAUAGCUUGUUGAAUAAGCUAACUAUAUGGCGCUCAUAUAAAAAACUUGCCUUACAAAUUAAAAUAUGUGGCUUACAAAGUCAACAUGUUUUGGAGGUCUUAUAGGAUAUUCCUAUGUAGCUUUUAGUUAAGCAUAUAUAUAGAGGCAAGAGUGAAGCCUUCUUCACUCUUGUCAAUACCUUUCUAGUCCUUAGUCUUAUUUCAAGACUUUUUAGUCUUCUUAUUUUUGGCAAUAGCCAUUCUAGUUUGAUAUUAUAUCAUCUUUGAGUGAUUUUUUAGUUUCAUUCAAUGACACAAGACUCUAUAGAGGAUUUUCUUUCUCCAAGAUUCAUCUCCUUCACACUUUGACAAGAGUACUAACUUACUAUUUCUAUCUUAUUUUAAAAGUGAGUGAGUUAUCUCACUUCUAUUGUUGUAUUUUGAAGGUUGUAGACUAUCCACUUUUAAACAAAAAAAUCUUAUUUUCUAACACUAAUUUUUUUUUAAAGAGAGUGAAUUAUCCUUCUUUGUAAAAAAAAUCAUUUGAUAUUAGUGGUUGUUGAUUGUCUUCCUCUAAUUUAAGUUUUUGAAUUUGUUUGAGUUGUCUAUAGAAAGAAAGGUUAUGGAUGCUACUCUUAGCAAAAGUAAGAAUAGAUUUACAACUAUUACAAAUCUUCAUGUCCUUAUUAACAUCCUAAGAGUGGAAAUUUCAUAUGUUUUAAGGUAAAUCAUAGAAGUACUAUGCCAACGACUAUGGAAGAAGUUCAGAGUUUGAGACAAGAAGUCGUGCAAUUGAAGGAAGCAAGUAGAUUGACCUUGCAACUAAAUCUAAGGACUUUUGCUUCUAUAAGUAUAAUGGGAACAAAGAUCAGUAUAUAUAAGAAGUUUGAUAGAAGAAGAUAAAAAAUUUGAAGUUUUUUGCAACAAAUCAAGCUCUAUUUAAAAUUGCAUCUUUUCUAAUACUCAAAUGGAUUGACUCAAGAUAAAUUCAUAGGCGCACUUCUAUCAUGAAGUGCUCUCUCUUUAUUUUUACUUUUUAUAGAAAAAGAUUUAUAAUUCUUUUACGAUUUGAAUUCAUUCUUAGAAGUAUUUACAACGACAUUGGAAGAAAGUGAUCAAGAAAGAAUAGUAGAAAUCAAACUCUUAUCUUCAUGGCAAGGAUCACAGUCAUCCACCAUAUAUGCUGCUGAAUUCCAAAACUUUGCUUGUGACAUGGAUUGGAAUGACAAAGCCAUUAACAAUCAAUUUUGAUAUGGAUUAAAGAAUAAUUUCAAAGAUUUGUUACUAAUAAUACCUAAGGUAAAAUCUUUGGAACAAUUUAUUACUGAAGCCAUUGCAUGCGAUAAUCAAUUAUUUGAAAGAUAUCAAAAAUAAAGAUUUGGCUGAAAAGGAAGAAAUCAAAUAAUAGCAGCAGCUUUCAAGUUUUCAAAAACUUAUUCAUCAAGGCCAAAAUAAAUGUAAAUUAAUACAAUAUAUUUUAAAUCUAUCAUAGAGUAAGAAAAGACUUGACAAUGUCAAGAGAACUUAUGCUUAUAUUGUGGAAAAGCUAAACAUAUUGCUUAAUAUUGUCUAAAAAAAAUACAAUCACAAAAUGAGAAGCAUGGUUGUCAAAGAAGACGAGGUAUCAGAAAACAAGUUUUUUCAGCUACAAUAGGGACCAUGCAACUAGAAUCUUACAUAACUCCUAGUAAAGGUCCUAUUUUGUCCUCAAAUCCUUCACCUUAUUAUAUAAUAAAAGUUUAUUUAGGACUAAAAAAUCACAAAGUAUUAGCUUUGUUAGAUUCAAGAGCCUUAGCCUAAUUUAUAGACAAAUAUUUUGUCAAAAAAUAAGAGAUAUUGUUAAUCAAAAAACUAAACAUGUACAUGUAGAAGUUAUAGAUGGUCAUUCAAUAUCUUCUUGACAUGUCAUACAUGAGACUAUUUUUUUAAAUGUAGCAAUUUAAAAUCAUAAUAAUAUAGUAAUAUUUAAUAAAAUAAGAUCUCUAUCUAAUCUAAUUAUUUUAAGAUUAUCUUUGAUAGAAAAAUAUAAUUCUUAGAUAGAUUGGAUAUCUCAUAACCUUAAUUUUUUGAAUAGUUUAAUCCAAAAUCUUGUUAGUUAAAGAAAAAUACAUAAGUCUAGUACAUCCAAAUCUUUACUGAUAAAUGCAAAAGCUUUUAUGCACGCCACAAUAUAAAGAUUUUUUUUGUAUUAUAUGCCACAUCCAUUUUUUAUUGUAAAAAGACGUCAAGAGAUAUUCUUAGCUAAUAUCAAGAUUUUUAGGAAGUUUUUGAAAAAAAUAACACAAAUAUUCUUCCAGAGUAUCGUUCUUAUGAGUAUUCCAUUGAUCUUCAUGAAGAAGCUUAACUAUCAUUUAAACCAAUUUAUAGCCUAUCAUAAAAUAAGUUGAUUGCACUCAAAAAAUAUAUUGAAUAAAACUUGGGUAAGAAUUUCAUUCGUCAUUCUAAAUCUCCAAUUGAUGCUUCUGUCUUAUUUCUAAAGAAAAAAGAUGGAUCUCUAUGGAGUUGUGUGGACUAUUGAGGAUUCAAUAAGAUCACAAUCAACAAUAGGUAUCUUCUAUCUUUGAUUUUAAGAUUUCUUGAUCAACUAAAUGAAAUAAAAAUCUAUACAAAAAUUGAUUUAAGAGGAGUAUAUAAUUUAAUAUGCAUUAAAAAAAGAGAUGAAUGAAAAAUUGUAGUUUGAGUAUAAUUUUAUGCCUUUUGGAUUUACAAAUGUAUCAACUAUUUUUUAACAUAUAAUAAAUGAUGUCUUUUAUGAGUUACUUUAUGAUUUUUUUUGUCUCUUAUUUGGAUGACAUCUUAAUCUACUUUAAGAACACAUAAGAACAUGGAAUUCAUGUUUGACAUAUAUUACAAAAAUUUAAAAAUGCAUGAUUGUUUGCCAAGUUAAAAAAGUAUAUAUUCUACACUACUCAAGUUGACUUUUUAGAAUACAUUAUUUCUAAUGAAGGGCAAAUAAUGGAUCUGAAGAAAGUCCAACUAUCAUAGAUUAGAAGAUUUCAAGAAUAAUAAGAAAUGUACAAUAUUUUUUUAGACUUUGUUAAUUACUAUCAAAUCUUCAUUAAGAAUUUUUUUUAAGUUGUAGCUCUAUUUACACAUUUGACUUGUAAAGACAAACUUAAGUAGAAUAAAGAAGCCAAAACAUUGUUUGAUGCUUUAAAAAAAGAAUUUAUUUUUGCACUAAUCUUAUAUCUUAUUAACUUAUCUAAGGUAUUUUUUUAUCAACAGAAAUACAUCAGACUUUGCCUUGGAUGUAGUAUUAUAAAAAAUGAGAGUAGAUGACAAAUUCCAUCUAGUAGCUUUCUAUUCAAAAACAAUUCAGCAACUAAGAUUAAUUAUGAGAUCCAUGAUAAAGAACUCUUUACAAUUGUAGAUUCACUUUAAGAAUGACAUCAUUAUUUAGAAGGAAACUUGAGUCAAAUUAGUGUAUACACACAUUACAAGAACCUCAAGUAUUUCAUAUCAACACAUUGUCAUAUAACAUGAUUUAUAAUCUGAAAAUAUAUAGGAUAUCUAGAUGUAGAGAGUUUAAUUUUAACUUAUUAACUAAGCUCCAAUAAGUGAUUUAUUCCACCUUUAACUUAUAUACAAAGUCUUGGCUCCUAAAAUCUCUUCACUUUAUAUACAAUGUCUAAAUUGUAGCAAAAUCCUUUAUAAUAUAUUUAUCCUACAAAGGAUUUCUUUUACUUGUACUUUAGAAAUUCAUAUCUUUUGAUCUAACUCUUCAAUUUUUUUCAAAUUUUUAUAUAAUAUAGCUAUUUUUUAAGCUUUAUUAUAAAAUAAAUAAACUAUAAAUUUUCUAUCAAUCUUCUAGCAUCUUAGAAAUCCUAGCAAGUACUCUAAAUCCUAAAUUAUAAGUAUCUGAGUACUAUUUUCUUCAUAUCUCAAAAACACAAAAACCAAAUGCUAUAAAAUUUAUAUAAAAAUUUAUGAAUGGAUCAUAUAUAUUUUUAGAAAAUUUGAGCUAAAAUUUCAUCAAAUUGCUUAAGAUAUUGUUCAAAACACAAUGACUAGUGAAUCGGGUCAAUUUCUACCUUUAGAUUUUAAUUGUUGACUUCAACUUCUAAUAUCUCUUUUAUCUCAACUUAGAAUUCAUCGAGCAAUAUACAAAAAAUGAAGUUAAAAAAGUGUUUUCUCUAAUUUUGAUCAUUGAUUCUUGAUUUCUUUUUAUGUACAUGUAUUAUAUUCAAAAGAGGGACAAUAGGUACAAAAUCAUCACUUUAAUUUUGAGUACUCAUAUUUCUUUCAUAUAAAUUCCAAAUCACACAAAAUUUAUACCAAAACUAUAGCCAAAAUCCUAAACUUACUUAAAUUAGCCUUCAAAGCUCAAAUUACUUGAGAAUAAUAAUCCUAAUCCCUAAGAAGGCCUUAGACAUUCUUCUUGAAGCCCAUUAGGUAUAAUUUUUGGCCAAUAGGAAUAGAGAUUUUCAUCACCUAUCUCUAUUUAUCUAUAUGGAUGCCCUAACUUCUCUUUUUGCUACCAAGACUCCUCUCCAAAUCUUUGUAAUAAGAUUUAUAUUAUAUAUAUCUAUAACAUCAAAUAAUAGAAAUAAAAUUAGACUUCAAGGGUCACGAAUGUCUAAUAAAGAUGACUUUAAAUAUAUAAAAGUUACUAUCAAUCAAAAUUAAUCUUAAAAGCCAUUAUCAAAAUAUAUAUAUAUAUAUAUAUAUAUAUAUAUAUAUAUAUUUAAAUUAUAAGAGUAGUUCUUUUAAACAACUUCUUUUUAAAGUAGUAAUCUAACUACAUUCUACAAUCAAUUAAAAUCCACUAAUGUGGCUUUUACUAUAUUACUUAGUAAAUUAUAUAUCAAACAUAUAAACAUAAUAUUUUUAUAAGAUAGCCAAACCACAAUAUAACAACGUGUUUUAAAUUAUUACCAAGUUUGUUGGAGCAUGUACUUAUAAAGAUUUGAUUUUAAGAUUACUUAUCGAUCCAAAAAAUAACAUGGUUCAUUAGACGCCCUUUCUAAACAUUCUUAUCUUGCAUCAAAAGAAAGAGAUGCAUCUUUUGAUCAAUAAAGAAUAAUUCUCUUGAAGCUAGAGCAUUUUCACCUUCAAACAACAAUAUCAAUAUUGAUUGUUGACUCAACAUUUUUCAAGCAAAUUCAAUCAAGUAUAUUCCCUUAUCUUCUUAUUCAUAAUAUCAAGAAUAAUUCUUCUAAGUCUUAUGAUACUUCUAAGUUCAAGUUCAAGAACAACCUACUCUAUUUCAAGGGACAAUUUAUAUUUUAGAAUGUGGGACAUGAUUACGUAUUUUCCAAACUUGUCAUAAUUUUUUAGUAGCCAAAUAUAUUAGAUAUAACAAGACUUUGGAGCUAAUAUCAAGAGAUUUUUAGUAGCCUCAAAUGUAGAAGGUAGUCAAAGACUUUGUACAAUCAUGUGAUAUUUGAUUAAGAUCCAAAACUCUUUACUAUUAUCUUUAUGGACUUCUUCAGCCAUUACCUAUUCUAAAACAAUCAUGGUCUUAUGUUUCUAUGGAUUUUAUUAUACAUCUUUAAAUUUCACGUUUUUAUGAUUCUAUAUUUAUAGUAGUAGAUUAUUUUACCAACAUGGCAUAUUUUGUACCAUAUACAAAAUCUAUCACAAGCGAAGAAAUAACUAAGAUAUUUUUAACAACAUCUAUCAUUAUUACAAAUUGCUUAAAGAUAUUAUACUAGGUAGGAAGACUCAAUUUAUAUGAAGAUUUUGUAAAAUCCUUUUUAAGUUUUUAAAGGUGGAUAUAAAAUUCUCUUCAGCUUUUCAUCAUCAAACUGAUAGAUAAAUAUAAUAAGUAAAUUAAGUUUGAGAGCAGUACUUGAGGUGUACUUUAAACUAUCAUCAAGAUGAUUGAACAACUCUUUUACCAUUGGCAGAGUUUGCAUACAAUAUUUUAAUACAUUUUUCUAUUCAAUAAAUAUAUUUCUUUGCCAAUUAUGGUUAUCAUCUUCAACUUGAUACUUUUAACUUUUCAAAAUUUAAUAAUCUUACAAUAGAAGAUUUGGCAAAUUAUUUGUUGAGCUAUAUGUAAUAAUAAAGGUGUAGUUAAAGGGAGCUCAAGAAUGAAAAAAAAAAUAAUACAGAUGCUUAUUGCAAGAAACAAUUACAAUUCAACAUAGGUGACAAGGUAUGAUUACUUCAUCGUAAUAUGAAAACUACUUAUUUAUCAAUUAUAUCUAUCAGAGUUCAUGAAGAUCCAUUGUGUAUUUCACGUGUCAUUUGUUUUUAUAAAAGUGGAUAAUAAUCAAGAAUUCAAGGUAGAAGAAGUCUUAAAUUCAAGGUGGUACCAAAAUAGGUUGAAAUAUCUUAUUCAUUGGUAUAGAUAUAUGUCACAAACAUAUAUUUAUUAUAAUUUUUAACUAUGUAAUAUGAAUAUGUAGAAGUAGAUAAAAGUAGAUUAAUUUCAUAAUAUCUUCUAGACAAGUUCUCUAGAAGCUUCAUAGAUGCUACUUUGACUUUACAUGUGUUUAUACUUGAAUGAUAGAUUAGAAACUUGGUCAAAAAAUUAACCACGUACAACACAUGUUGGUAGCUUGCGGAUCAAGCUAACUAUACGGCACCCACAUAGAAAACUUGCCUUGUAGAUUAAGAUACGUAUUGUGCAAAGUCAACACAUUUUUGGCGGUCCUAUAGAAUGUCACAACAUAACUCCUAUGUAGAUAAUAUAUAUAGAAGUAAAAGUGAAGCCUUCUUCACUCUUGUCAACUCCUUUAUUACUUGUAGUCUAAUUUCAAGGAUUUCUAGUUUUCUUGUCUUUUGGCAAUAGCAAUUCUAUUUUUUUUAAUAUAUAUAUUUAAUUAUUUCUAUUUUAUCAUCUUUCUUUAAAAAAAAGUUUUACUUAUUUACUUAUUUUUAUCAAGUUCUUGUCCUUAAUAUAUUGAUAAGUGUGCACUUACAAUAUCAAAGCUUUGUCUAAUCUUGAUUAAGAAUGGAUUAUCUCUUUUUCUUGAUAAGACAUAAGCAUAUUAAAAGUUGCAGAUUACCCUCUUCUAAACUGAUAUUGUUCUUAGUAUUUUUUUUGUUCUCAAGUCCUUUCUUGUGUUUGUCUUGAGCGAUAUUAGACAUCUUCUCUUUUUUAAGUGUUAUCAUCGUAGAACUUACUGAAAUAAAGAGUGCAAUGGCACAAAUGUAAGAACAAUUAAGGGAGUUAAUGCUUGCGAUGCAUCAAUUCAAUUUACCACCACAAGGAGCAAUAAGUUUGGCGAGAAGUGAAGAUACAGAAAUGAUUGGAGCUGCUUCAAUAUCUACACUAAAUCAUGUUCUUUCUUCUAUGGUGGAACACCCUUUCAAUAUUAGAGAACUAAGAAUUGCUCUACUCAAGAAGUUUGAUGGCACCAGAUCGAAGUUUAGAGGAUUUAUUAAACAAGUAUAACUUGUGAUUGAACUUCAACUCCAAAUUUAUCCAACUCUAGGAUCAUAAGUUAGAUUCAUGGGUACGCUUCUUUCAAGUUCAACAUUAUCAUGGUUUUCAUCUUUUUUUGAACGACAAGAUCAAAUAUUGGAUAAUCUAGAGAUUUUUUUAGCAAAGUUUUUAUCCAUAUAUGGAAAAUAUGAUACAAUUUGUAUUGCAACCAACAAGAUCCAUAUUUUGCAAUAAGGCGAUCGAUCAGUAACGUUAUAUGCUUCACAGUUUCGACAACUUACAACUGAUAUCAAGUGGGAUGAUGUUGCACUUGUUAGCAAAUUUCUCUACAGAUUACAAUAUGAGGUGAAAAAUUAAUGUUCAACUUACGUGAUCCUUAAACAUUGAGUCAAGCAAUUGACUUUGUUGUGAAGAGCGACAAUCAUCUUUUUGAAUUUCAAUCUAAGAACCUAUAGAAUAGAUAUUAAUUCAUUUUUAAAAGAUAUUGAUAAAAUAUAUUAAUAGUCCAUAUAAUAGGAAAUUUAGGAGGACGGAUGAGUGAUUUAGUUCUUAAAAGCGGUUAAUUACAGAAUUACGAUUAGAAUUUGGAGAAUUGAGGGAAAGUAUAUAGGAGUUGUAGAAGUUAAUUAGGGUGCCAGACUGUGAUAGUCAUGAGCCGAGGGCCAUCGCUGUGAUAGUUGUGAACUGUGGUAAGCUUGGUGCUACCUCUUUUCUUUUGUUUGUUAUUUUCUUUGAAUAAGAGGACUGAGAAUUUCUGAAAAUUGUGAAGUGAAUUAUGGAAUGGAAAUGUGAUUGGUAUUAUUUGAAAAGAACAAAGAUUGAAUGCUGAAAUCUGUUUGUAGUUCAGCAAAGAGAAUGAGUCUAUAUUUGUAUGAAACACCGUAAUGUGAAUGGCAAUUCUGUGUGAAGAAUUCCAGUGAUUGGAAUGAGGGUAAUUUUGUGCUAAAAGCUGUGAGGGCGAAGUAUUACAGUUGGAGAUUAUGAGGGUGAAUAUAUUGGUAGAAAUAGCAGUUAUUGGUAUGACUGAAUUGUUGUAAGGAAGAGACCGAUAAGGUGAAGGAGGAGAUUAUAGUUUCUUUGUGUGUUCAAAUAUUGGAAAUAGAGACGAUACAUUCAGGAGGUAAUUGAUUGUGUGACCCUAACGUGAACACUUAAGCAACUAGUCAUUUUCCAUGUUCAAAUCUCUUUAUAUGGGUUUAUUCCCAUUAGAUUAAUUUGGAAUAAAUAAAAUGAGCAACCACAGAACCAUACAAGUGGACCUCAAUAUUAUUAUAAUUCAAUGGCAAUACCAAAAUCUCUUCAACACAUACAUUUGGAAGUAGAGGAUAUACAAAUUGAUGUGGUAUGUUUCAAACUUCUUAUUGAGCAAGAAAAGACUCAUUGUCGUCAGGAAGGAUUAUACUUAUAUUGUGGAAAACUUAAAUAGAUUGCUCAACAUUAUCCAAAAAAGUGACACAUCCAUAAAAUAAGGAGUACGGCUAUUAAAGAAGAUAGUAUGUCGAAAAAUGAAUUUCUCCAGCUACAAUAAGAACCGUGCGGUUGGAACCUUGUACAAAACCUACUGAAGGUCUUAUUCUCUCUUCAAAAUCUUUUCUUUGUUUUAUGAUAAAUAUUAUUUUAGGACCUAAACAUCAUAAAGCCUCUACCUUAUUAGAUUCAAUAGCCUCAGCAUGUUUCUUAGAUGAAGAAUUUGCUAAAAGAUAUAGUAUACUUUUAGUGAAGAAAACUAAACUUAUUCAUGUAGAAGUCAUAGAUGGUUGUUCGUUGUCUUCAGGAGAUGUUACUCAUAAAAACCUUCCUAUAGAAGUAGCAACCAAUGGUCAUAGUAGCUUUGUAAUAUAUAAUAUUAUUAGAUCUCUUUUUAAUCAAGUCAUUUUAGGUUUAUUAUGGCUAAAAAAAUAUAAUCUUAAAAUAGUUUGGACUUUUCGUAGUCUUUUCUCAAGGUAUAACUAAGGGCGUAGUUAAUCAAGUAGAAAGUCAUAAGUUUAGUACAAUUAAACAUGUAUUGAUAGGUGCAAGAGCUUUCUUGCAUGAUAUAAAAGAAGAAUCACCUUAUGUCAUUUAUACCGCACUUGUUUCUACUAGUCAAAAGAUUUUAAGUGGCAUUUCAAGCCAAUAUCAAGAUUUUAAAGAUGUAUUUGAGAAGAAGAAUGCGGAUAUUCUUUUGAAACAUUGUUCCUAUGACUACUCAAUUGACCUUUAAGAAGCAGUACAACCGCCAUUCGGACCAAUCUAUAAUUUAUCACAAAAUAAAAUACCUAAAUUCAAGGAGUAUAUUGAAGAGAAUCUGGCCAAGAACUUCAUAGGCCAUUCCAAAUCUCUAGUAGGAGCUCAAAUUUUAUUUGUAAAGAAAAAAGAUGGAUCAUUAUAGAUGUAUGUCAAUUAUCAAGGACUCAACAAAAUCACCAUCAAAAAUAGGUACUUGCUACUUUUGAUAUCUAGACUCCUUGAUCAGUUGAAUUAAGCUAAGAUCUAUACAAAAAUAAAUCUACAAAGAGCAUACAAUCUAGUACGCAUUAAACAAAGAGAUGAAUGGAAGACUGCAUUUUGAACAAGGUAUGGACAUUUCGAACACAACAUCAUGCCUUUUAGACUUAUAAAUGCACCAACAGUAUUCCUAUAUCUAAUGAAUGAUGUCUUUGGAGAGUUUUUAGAUGAUUUUAUUGUUUAUUACCUAGAUGACAUCUUAAUCUAUUAUAAGAACAUAGAAAAAUAUGAACUUCAUUUUUGUCGUAUAUUACAAAAAUUAAGAGAUACGAGACUCUAUGCCAAGAUAGAAAAAUAUGUAUUUUAUACUACUCAAGUCGACUUCUUAAAGUACAUCAUUUUAAAUGAUAGUCUUAUCAUAGAUCCUAAAGAAGUUCAAGCUAUUAUAGAUUGAAAGAUUCUAAAAACAGUAAAAGAUGUCUAAUGCUUUUUGGGAUUUGCCAACUACUAUCGAAUCUUCAUCAAAGACUUCUCUCAAGUUGCAGCUCCAUUUACACAUUUGACUUGUAAAGACAAACUUCAAUGGAAUCAAAAAGUAGAAAUAACAUUUGAAGCUUUGAAGACAACCUUUGUUUUUGCACCAAUCUUGUAUCGCAUCAAUUUUUCUAAGCCAGUUUUUAUGGAAACAAACACAUCAAACUUUGCUUUGGAUGUCAUAUUAUUAUAAAUAGAAACAAAUGAUAAACUUCAUCCAAUAGCUUUUCAUUCUAAAAAUAUUUUAGCAGCUGAGAUCAACUACAAGAUCCACAACAAAAAACUUCAUGCAAUCGUGGAUUCGUUUCAAGAAUGGCGCCAUUAUCUAGAAGGUGCUCUUAGUCUAGUCACCAUAUAUAUGGAUCACAAGAACUUUGAAUAUUUUAUGUAAGGACAUCUUUUGAAUCAUCGCCAAGCGUGUUGGAGUAUGUCCUUGUCAAGAUUUGAAUUCAAGAUCACUUAUUGAUGGAAAAAACAAAAAGGUUUGUCAGAUGUACUCUUUGAACGAUCUUAUCUUGUACCAAAGUAAAGAGAUGUUGCUUUUGAUCAGCAACGGAUAAUUUUCUUGAAGCUAGAGCAUCUUCAUCUUUAAGUAAUAAAAUCAACACUAACUAUUGAUUCAACUUUUAUUAAGCAAGUUCAGUCAAGUAUGUCUUCUGAUUCUUUUAUUCGUGAUAUUAAGAAAAACCCUUCAAAGUCUCAUGUUACUUCCAAGUUUGAAUUUAAAAACAAUCUACUAUAUUUUGAGGGAUGCCUAUAUGUUCGAGAAAGUGAAGCUCGAUUACGUGUUCUUUUAGCUCAUCAUGACUUUCUAGCAGGAGGAUAUUUUGGGUACAAUAAAACUUUGGAAAUAAUAUCCAGUGAUUUUUGGUGGCACCAAAUGUGGAAGGCAGUCAAAGAUUUUGUACAAUCUUAUGAUGUUUGCUUAAGAUCAAAAACUCCUCGUCAUUGACCUUACAGACUUCUUCAACCAUUAUUCAUUUUAAAAUAACCAUGGUCUUCUGUUUCUAUAGAUUUCAUCAUGAAUCUUUCAAUCUCAUGUUCUUAUGAUUCUAUAUUUGUGAUAGUAGAUCAUUUUAUAAAGAUUGCACAUCUUGUACCAUGUACAAAAUCUAUCACUUGUGAAGAAACAGCUAAGCUCUUUCUUGAUAAUAUCUAUCGCUAUCAUGGAUUAUCCAAAGAUAUUAUAUCAGAUAGGGGAACUCAGUUUGUAUCAAGCUUUUGGCAAACUUUUUUUGAAGAUUCUAAAAGUGGAUAUAAAACUAUCUUCGACAUUCCAUCCUUAAACUAAUAGACAAACGGAGCAUAUUAAUCAAGUUUUUGGACAUUAUUUAAGAUGUACCAUCAACUACCAACAAGAUGAUUGGACAAUUCUUUUGCCAUUGGCAGAGUUUGCUUAUAAUAAUAUGGUAAAUUUUUCUACAAAACAAACACCUUUUUUUGCUAAUUAUGAUUAUCAUCCACGACUUGAUACUUUUGAUUUUUUAAAAGCUGAUAAUCUUGCGAGAAAAGAUUUGGCAAAUCAUUUGUCAAAGCCACAUGCAACAAUGAAGGUUUAAUGAAAAGAAUCUCAAGAACAACAAAACUUCAAUACAGAUGUUUGUCAAAAGGAACAACCACCAUUCCACAUGGAUGACAAGGUAUGAUUACUUUGUCACAAUAUUAAGACCACUCGUCCUUGUGACAAGUUUGACUAUCGAAGGCUUCGACCAUUUUCUAUUUCUGCACAAAUCAAUCCAGUUGCAUAUGAUUUAUACCUACUAGAGUUAAUAAAAAUCCAUACUGUAUUCCAUGUAUCUCUUCUUGAAUCAUACAAGACAAUGGAUAUACCAAGAAGAAAACAAGGUCCACCUCCUCUUAUAGAAGUAGAUAAUAAUGAAGAGUUCAAAGUGGAAGAAGUCUUAGAUUCAAGGCGGCACCAAAAUAAAUUAGAAUAUCUUGUCCAUAGGCAUGGAUAUGAUAUUAGUGAAUACACAUGGGAGCCAAUAAAAAAUCUUGCAAAUGCAAAAAAAGUGGUGGAGGAUUUUCAUCGAUGAAAUCCAUCAAAAUCAAGAUGAAAACCUUCAUUAUAAAAGAAAUAAGAUCUAAGCAAGAUAACAUUCUACUUUCAAUCCUUAUUUGUAGCUUCUUUGUAGUUUUGAUACUGAAGAGAUGGAGAACCAACAACCAAUGGAUUCGACUCAAGAGCCUUUAUUUGUUGACCUAUCAGAUAAGACAUUACGAUUGUCACAACCUUCAAGAUGAUGCAAUCGAGAUGAUAAUUUCAAAGAUCUUUAAUUUUCUUAUCUUUUGGUAAUAGCCAUUCUAGUUUCUUUCUUAAUAUACAUAUUUAGUUAUUUCUAUUUUAUCAUCUUUCUUUGAAAAAAGUCUCACUUAUUUAGUUAUUUUUAUCAAAUUCUUGUCCUUGAUAGUAUAUUAUUAGUAAAUGUAUAUGGAACCUAGUAAAGAAUCUUGUAAAUGUAGCAAAGAGAGUUGAAGCUUUUUAUUGAUGACAUCCAUUAAAAUCAAGAUGAAGAAUAACAAAUCUUUGUUAUAAAAGAAAGAAGAUCAAAGGAACAUAGUACUCUACUUUCUAUCCUUCUUUGUAGCUUAUGUAUAAUUUUGAUACUAAUGAGAUGGAGAAUCAAUACCAAUAGAUUCAACUCAAGAGCUUUUAUUUGCGGACUUACUAGAUGAGAUAUUGCAAUUGUCACAACCUUAGAGAUGACAAAAUUGACAUGAAGAUCCUCAAGAAUGAUAUGUCCUUCGUCAAAUAGAUGGCAAGAUACAACGUUCUCAUAUUGUACUUGCUUAUAGUAUAUAAAAAAUUAAUUAAAAUAUAUGUUAUGUUUAUAAGUCUUGAUGUAGAUUACAAUAGUUAAUAAGUAAUUUUAAAGAGAUUUAAUACAAGAAAAUUUAUUUGGAGAUUUAUCUAUUUUGAUUAUAAUGUUUAUAUUAUGUAAGAUUUAGAUAUUUAGUAUAAAGCUUAAGAGAAGGUUGAAGUCUAAAGAUGAAAGUCUAAAUUAUUAAGAAGCUUAUUAAAAACAAUGAAAGCAAGGUAUGGUUGGAUGAAGGCAAGGAGUGAAGAUCUUCAUAUCAAUUGGACGAAUGUCAUACCCAAUAGGCUUCAAGGAGGCUGCUCGAGGUCUAAUUAGGAAAUAGAGUUUCUUUUUUGAAGUCAAUUAAGCUUUGCAAGCUAGGAUCAGUAAGUUUAGGUUUUUAGAUAUAGUUUGGAUGCAAAUUUUGUAUGAUUUGGAGUUUUUAUGAAGGAGUUAUAGGUGCUUAAAGUUAAGGUGUCAAUUUUGUACCUAUUGUUACUCUUUGGAGCAUAAUAUAUGCUUAUAGAGAGCAAUAAAGGAUCGGCAAUUGAGAUUGAAAAGAAAACUUUUUUAAUUAUACUUUUUAUAUACUAUUUGAUGAAUUCUAAGUUUAAAAGAAGGAAUUGUAAGGUGUUGAAGACAACACAUGUAAUUUAAAGAUAAUAAAUUAGUUGUUUGCAUUACUUAGGCAGAAUCAAAAAAUAUUAUAAAAAAACAAAAAUUAUACAUAUAAACUUGGAACUUUAAUAUCUUAAAAUUAAUUGAAUAUUUAGUGGCAGCUAGAAGUCCAACACUUUCUUGAGGCAAACUCUCUCCUUUCCAUCAUAUUAGUACUUCCAUUGAGAGAGCUUUAAGGCACUAAAUUUUUCAACAAGUUAAAAUGGGAGAUCAAAUUCUAUGGUUUGCAUUACUAGAUAGAACGGAUGUCGAAGAUUUGUUUAAGGCAUUUGCUUAAUUUAUAGAAAAAAAGCAACAAGUUACAUGGAAAGGAUAGGAAUACCAUCAAAGCUUUUUCAAUAGUGGUAGAUAAAGUUAGAAGAUUUGAUGAGAGAAACAUCACUAAGUUCUUCAAGAUUUAUACAUGUGCAAUAGAGAUGCAUCAAGUUUUGGAAAUAAAGAUGAUUACCACCUUUGAUUUGGUAGUGGUACUAGAAAUCAGAGAAAGUGCAAGAGAUACAUAAUGAGACUAUAUCAUAGAAGAAAUUUGAAGAAUUCAUCAAAGAUGAACUUUUUGAAGAAAACUCAAAAAGACUAAUAAAAAAAACUUUUUUUUGGAGUAAAUUGAGCUAAGGCUAAGGAAUCAAAUGAAUCUAAAUAAAUUUAUUAGGAAAUUUGAGACUAAGUUUGGAUAAUUACUAUAGCAAGAGAAGCAACUAUUAAAAACAAGGAAUAUAAGGCUAUUCUUAAAAGUAGCUAAUAAAUACUUAGAAGACAAGUUGCUCUUUUAGCUAGCAAAUAAGAUAUCUAAGAGUGGUUUUAUUAACAAUUGGAGGCUAGAAACUGAAACUAUAAGUCAUUAAAAUGACUUUCUUGUUAUUUUAGGAUAAAAUUAUGCAUUAAGAAUGCUUUAAAUCAUAAUAUAUAGGUGAGUAGUAUAGAAAUCUUUAUAGAAAUAGAAAAUUAGAAUGUUAGUGGUGGAAAUGGAGUCUUAGUAAGUCUUUGAAGCAAUUAUCUUUGUUGGUUUAUUAUUUUUUAUUCAUUAUUAUAUAUAUAGGAUUAUUUGUUAAAACCAAUAUUUAUAUUGGUCUUCUAUCUAUAUGUAAUACUUAUAAUAACUAUAAAUAUUAGUAGUUAGAAAAAGCAUGAAAAAGAACCUCAUAUCAUUUUAGUUAUUGAUAUAAAAAAAUAAGUUUUAUAAUGGAUUUAAAUUAAUUUUUAUUAUUAUAAAAAUAUUAAAAGUAGGAAAAUGUAGCCUUAGAUGGAUAAUAGCAUUAUAGAAACAUUAUAAAAAUUUUCAAAAUUUAUUUAUAAUUUAUAUGGUAUUUUUUAGGAAUUUUUAGAGUAAUUUUUAAGAUCUUGAUAAAAAUGAGUUUUACAACUUUGGGAGCCUUUAUGAAGAAAUGAAGUAAGAAUUGAAGGCCACCAAAGGUUCUUGAGCUAAUUGGGUGUUUUUGAACACUAUGGUGAGGUCAAAAAUACAAAAAUGUUGGUCCUUCUAGUAGAAAAUAGGAGGACCAGCAGCUAGUGUAGUCCUUGUAGAAAGGUAGGUGCACAAGUCCCAUAUGGUUUGUAGCACCUUGAAGGUAGUUAGGAGGAUAAGACUAAGGCCUCGUGGCCUUUCUUAGACACCUUUAUACACUAUAUGUGAGCCUUGGUGAGGCUCAAAUCCUUGAUCUAUAUGCAAGUUAUCCUUGAAAAAAAAUAUUUUUUCUUCACUUUUUAAUUAUUUACUUCUUAUCUUUAAAACUUCAUAACUUACUAAUAGUAAUUUGGAUUUACAUGUUUCUCAUGUCAUUGGAAAGAUAAUAAAAUUAAUUAUUUAAAAUUAUACUUUUUAUUGGGUAGAAACGUAUUGAACAGAUUGUAACUUAGUUUUGGAUGUUGUAAUUACUUGAUUUCAUUUCUUUCACUUGUAUUGUGGUUGUCCUUCUUUGAUUUUUUGCCAAUUUUAUACUUCACUUCACACUACCAAUUAUAGGAAAUUCUUAAUUGAAGCCAUCUUAUAAUUGGGAUUGAGUAGUGAAUUUUAUACUCACUACUUUUAUACAAAUAAAUUUUAUUUUCUUUACUAAAUGUAUGUUAUGUCUUUUAAAAAAUCUGUUGAAGCUUCUGAAUCUAACAAGGCAAAGGCUUUGUGAUAUUUAGGUCUUAAACUAACAUCUAUUAUAAAAUAAGAAAAGGAUUUUGAAGAGAGAAUAGAUUCUUUGUGUGAUAUUAUGCAAGGUUUCAACUACACGAUUUGUAUUGUAGUUAGACAAAUUCAUUUUUUGAUAUAUUAUCUUUUUUGAUAGUCAUACUUUUUAUUUUAUGAUUGCAUCGCUUCUUUAGAUAAUGUUAAACAAUGUGCUUUGAUUCUUCAUAAUAUAAAUAUAAUCCUUCUUGAUGAUGACAAGUUUUUUCUUGCUUAGUAAGAAAUUUGAAACAUAUUAUAUCAAUUUAUAUAUCUUCUACUUCUAAAGAUAUGUGUUGAGAAGAUGAUGGUGUUGCCAUUAAAUUGUAGUAAUGUUGAGGCCUACUUAUGUGAUUCUUAUAUCAAAAUUCAAAUAAUUUAUUAUUAUACUUUAUAGCAAAAUCAAUUGCUUGAUUCAAUAUUUGAGAAUGAAGUAAAUUAAGCAUUAAUUUUUUUUAUCUCAUAUUAUAAUCCAUUAAAGAAUAAACUGAUGAAUGCAAUAUCAUCCUACUUGAUAUCAAUUUUAAGUUGUUUAAAUUAAAAAGUAUUUAAUAUUCUAUUUUUUUAUAUAAAUUAUGGAUCUUAUUUAUUAUUACACAAACUACAUCAUUUUUUUGAUACAUAGAUCAAAAUUCUACCAAAAAAGCUUUGAAAUUGUCCAAUAUUGGAUCACAUCAUUUAAGAAUAGAUAAAAACCAUGAUAAUGCAAAAUUUAAAUACAAUGUUCUAAUAAAUCUAACAUGAUCUUGAAAUUGGAUAGCUUUAGAGUUGAAGUUCAAUUGCUAAUUGUAGUUGAUUGAUGAAUCCUUGAAACUUUGAUAUUGUACCAUCAAACUUCUUAAGUAAGGCAAUUCUUGGUUCUCUAGUACUUAAAUGAUGUUCUACCAUACGAUAAGGGAUAUGAUUUGGUACAGAUGUUGAAGCACCUCCAAUCAUCUCUAUAUCUCUACUUUUUUCCAUUCUUAUUCUUUUUUAUAAUUGUAAAUUGAAUUGAUACAUUGCAAGUAUUAACUCCCGUAAUUGUUCUUGUAUUUAUGCCAUUGCAUUCAUCAUUUCAACAAAAUCUACCAUAAUAACACUUAAAAGAAGAAAAAAAAAAUAUCUAAUAUUGCUCAAGAUAAGUAAAAAAAAGAACUUGAGAAUAAAAAAGAUAUUAAAAAUAAUGUCAAUUUAGAAGAGGAUAAUUUGUAACUUUUAAUACACUAAUGUCCUAUGAAGAGAAAGAAAUAAUCCACUCUUAAUGAAGAAAAGUCAAAGCUUUAAUUUUAUAAAUGUACUCUUGAUAAUUUGUCAAAGACAAGAACUCAAUGAAAGCAAAUAAUCAAAUAAGACUUUUAUAAAGAAAUAUGAUAAAAUUAAACUAAAAAAGUAUGUAUAUUAAAAAGAAAUCGGAAUGGAAAUUAUUAAAAAGAAAUCAGAAUGGAAAUUAUCAAAAAAAAAAAAAAAAAAAAAAAAAAAAAAAUUAGAGAUUCUUCAAACUAGACUAAAAGCAAGAAAGGAAUUAACAAGAGUGAAGAAGGCUUUAGUAUUGCUCAUAUAUAUACUAUCUACCUAAGAGCUAUGUGAUACAUUCUGUAGGACCUCCAAAAUGUAUUUUUGCACAACAUGUAUCUUAACUUGUAAAGUAAGUUUUCUAUAUGUACACCACAUAGUUAACUUGUUAUACAAGUUACUAAUAUGCAUGGCAUGUGGUUAACUUGUUGACUAAGAUUCUAAUAUACUAAACAAUUACAAACACAUGUAAAGUCAAAAUAGCAUCUAUGAAGCUUUUAAGAAGCUAUCCUAGAAGAUAAUAUGAAAUAAAUAUAUUUUUAACUACUUCUACUUAUUCAUAUUAUUUAGGUAAUAAUUAUAAUAAAUAUAUAUAAACCUCAUCACGACAAAUAUAGAUGUCAAGUAAGUAGUGAUUGAAGAAGUAUGUGGUAACAAUAAAGUAAUUUUUCACAAUGUUAUUAAGUAUCACAAUAGGUUGCUGUCAAGGACAAGAACUCGAUGAAAGCUAAAGAGUAAGUGAGACUUUUCUCAAAGAAAUAGGACAAAAUAGAAAUAUGUAUAUUAAGAAAGAAAUUAGAAUGGCUAUUGCCAAAAUACAAGAAAACUAGAGAUCCUUGAAACUAGACUAGAAGCAAGAAAUGAGUUGACAAGAGUGAAGAAGCCUUCACUCUUGUCUCUAUAUAUACUAUCUAACUAGGGGCUAUGUGGCGACGUUCUAUAGGACCUCCAAUAUGUGUUGACUUUGUAGGACACAUGCCUUGACUUACAAGGCAAGUUUUUCUACGUGUGGGCCACAUAGUUAGCUUGAUCUUCAAGCUAACAACAUGUGUGGCACAUGGCCAACUUGUUGACCACGUUUCUAAUCCAAAAAGUCAAUUAAAGACACCUAUGAAGUCAAAGCAGCAUCUAGGAAGUUUCUAAGAAGCUUCUAUAUUAAAUAUUAUACAAUUAACUUACUUUUAUCUACUUUUACUUACUUCUACCUAUUUCUAUAUGUAAUUAUUAGCUUACAUGAUUAUGGCCGUGACAUUACCCCUCCUUCUAGAGACGAGUUCCACGAGGAGCGGUCAUCAUAUGUUGAAGAAAUCUAUGAUGCGACAAAUUGUAUUCGCCACAUACUCUGAUCUCUGUUCUCCUCGAAGAUGAUUGAUAGGACCUCUCAACCAUCAGUAGUGUCCCAUACCAGGGCGGGAAGACCACCCAGUUAUUUGAUCAUUAUUGAGGCCUUCAUAACUUCCUUCGAAUAGAAUAUUCAGAACACCAUCAGGAGUUGUUCCUACCUCUAGUAAAAUCACCAAACAUCGGGAGUCCCUUCCCAAAUCGUAAUACCAAACGCGUUGUAUCUCACCAUCUGUUCGAGGAAGAACAUGUCAUUCUUGAAGAUCUUCAUCUCGAUUGCGUCGUCUUGAAGGUUGUGACAAUCGUAAUGUCUCAUCCGGCAGGUCAGCAAACAAAGGUUCUUGAGUUGAAUCCGCUGGUUGUUGGCUCUCCAUCUAAUUAGCAUCACAAAUGUAAAGAAAUUACAAACAAGGAUAGGAAAUUGAAUGUUAUCUUGCCUCAAUCUUGUCUCUUUUAUAAGAGAGAUUUUCAUCUUGGUUUUGAUGGAUGUCGUUGAUGAAAAACUUGACUUUAGUUGAUGCAUUUGCUAGAUUCCUGGAUGGCUCCCAUGUGCAUUCACUAAUAUCAUAUCCGCGCCAAUGAACAAGAUAUUCCAGCUUAUUUCGGCGUCGCCUUGAGUCUAAUAUCUCUUCCACCUCAAAUUCUUCAUUAUUAUCUACUUCUAUAGGAGGCGGUGGCAUUUGUCUUCUUCCUUGUAUAUCCACUAUCUUAUAUGGUUCAAGAAGAGAUACGUGGAAUACAGGAUGGAUCUUCAUUGACUCCGGUAGAUGUAACCGAUAUGCAACUGGGUUGAUCUGUUCAGAAACAAAAAAGGGGCCAAGCCUACGAUAGUCCAACUUGUCACAAGGUCGAGUAGUCUUGAUAUUGCGACGAAGUAGCCAUACCUUAUCACCUACGUUGAUUUGUGGUUGCUCCUUACGAUAUAGAUCUGCGUUUAUCUUUUGUCGUUCUUGAGCUUCCUUCAAUUGUGUCUUCAUUAUUGCAUGUAACUCUGACAACCGAUUUGCCAUAUCUUCUGUUGCAGGAUUAUCAACUUUUGAAAAAUCAAAAGUAUCAAGUCGUGGAUGAUAGCCAUAAUUGGCAAAGAAAGGUGUUUGUUGCGUGGAAGAAUGUACCGUAUUAUUAUAAGCAAACUCUACCAAUGGCAGAAAGGUUGUCCAAUCAUCUUGUUGUUAGUUGAUAGUACACCUUAAAUAUUGCUCCAAGACUUGGUUUACGCGCUCUGUUUGUCCAUCAGUUUGAGGAUGGAAAGCCGAAGAUAGCUUUAUGUCCACUUUUAAAAUCUUGAAAAGGGUCCUCCAAAAUCUGGACACAAAUUGAGUUCCCCUAUCCGAUAUGAUAUCUUUAGGUAAUCCAUGAUAGCGAUAGAUAUUAUCAAUGAAAAGCUUAGCUGUUUCUUCACCUGUGAUAGAUUUUGUACAUGGCACAAAAUGUGCCAUCUUGGUGAAACGAUCUACUAUCACAAAUAUAGAAUCAUAAGAUCUUGAGCUUGGAAGAUCUGUGAUGAAAUCCAUAGAAACAGAAGACCAUGGUUGUUCUGGUAUAGGUAAUGGCUGAAGAAGUCCGUAAGGUCGAUGACGAGGAAUUUUUGAUCUUGAACAAAUAUCACAUGAUUGUACAAAGUCUUUGACUGACUUCCACAUUUGUGGCCACCAAAAAUCUCUUGAUAUGAGUUCCAAAGUCUGAUUAUAUCCAAAGUGCCCUGCUGUUGGAAAGUCAUGACGUGCUUGAAGAACACGUAAACGUGCUUCUCCUUCUAGAACAUAUAGGCGUCUUUCAAAAUAUAAUAGAUUAUUCUUGAACUCGAACUUAGAAGGAUCAUGAGACUUAGAAGAAUUAUUCUCGAUAUCAUGAACAAGAGGGUCUGAGGACAUACUAGACUGGAUUUGCUUGAGAAAAGUUGAAUCAACAGUCAGUGUUGAUUUCACUGCUCGGAGAUGAAAUUGCUCCGGUUUCAAGAGGACCGUUCUUUGUUGCUCAAAAGCUACAUCUCCUUCUUUUGGUGCAAAAUAAGAACGUCUAGACAGGGCAUCGGACAAACCUUGUUGUUUUCCUGGCCGAUAAGUGAUAAUGAACUCGAAUCUUGACAAAGACAUACUCCAACGAGCUUGACGACGAUUCAACACGCGUACUGACAUGAAAUACUCGAGGUUCUUGUGAUCUGUAUACACAGUGACUGGACUAGAAGCACCUUCUAGAUAAUGACGCCAUUCUUGAAAAGAAUCCACGAUUGCAAGAAGUUCUUUAUCGUGGAUCUCAUAAUUGAUCUCGGCUGCUGAGAAUUUUCUUGAAUGAAAAGCUAUCGGAUGAAGUUUGUCAUCUGUUCCCAUUUGUGAUAAAACUGCACCCAAGGCAAAAUCCAAUGCGUCUGUUUCCAUAAAAAAUACCUUGGAAAAGUCAACACGAUAUAAGACUGGUGCAGAGACAAACGAUGUCUUCAAGGCUUCAAAUGCUGCUUCCGCUUCUUGAUUCCAUUGGAAUUAAUCUUUACUAGUCAAGCGUGUAAGUGGAGCUGCAACUCGUGAGAAAUCUUUGAUGAAGAUCCGAUAGUAAUUGGUAAAUCCCAAGAAACAUUGGACAUCUCUUACAGUUUUUGGAAUCUUCCAAUCCAUGAUUGUUUGGACUUUCUUAGAAUCCAUCAUAAGACCAUCAUUUGAAAUGAUGUAUCCUAAAAAGUCAACUUGAGUAGUGUGAAAUACACACUUUUCUAUCUUGGCGUACAAUCCUGCAUCUCUAAGUUUUUGUAAUACUUGACGAACAUGUAUUUCAUGUUCUUCAACAUUCUUAGAAUAAAUCAGGAUAUCGUCUAGGUAGCAGACGACAAAAUUGUCUAAGAAUUCACAAAAUACAUCAUUCAUGAGAUGUUGAAAAGCAGCUGGUGCAUUCGUGAGUCCAAAAGGCAUGACAUUGUAUUCAAAGUGUCCGUACCUGGUUCGAAACGCAGUCUUCCAUUCAUCUCCUUCUUUGAUCCGUAUUAGAUUAUAUGCUCCUCUUAGAUCUAUUUUUGUAUAGAUCUUAGCUUGAUUUAACUGGUCAAGGAGUCCUGAUAUCAAAGGUAAUGGAUACCUGUUCUUGAUUAUGAUCUUGUUGAGUCCUCGAUAGUCAACACACAUUCGUAAAGAUCCAUCUUUUUUCUUUACGAAUAAAAUUGGAGCUCCUGCUGGAGAUUUUGAAUGGCGUAUGAAAUUCUUCGCUAAAUUCUCGUCAAUAUAUGUCUUGAGUUCAGCCAACUCAUCUUGCGAUAAACUGUAAAUUGGUCCAAAUGGUGGCUGAGUUCCUUCCUUGAGAUCGAUUGAACAAUCAUAUGGGCGAUGCUCAGGAAGAAUAUCUGCAUUCUUUUUCUCAAAAACGUCUUGAUAAUCCUGAUAUUGACUUGGAAUGCCACUUGAAGUCUUUACGCUUUCAGAAAUAGGUGCAGCAUAAAUAGCAAAAGUUGAUCCUUCUUUUGCUGCGUGUAUAAAUGCUUUUGCACCUAUAAGUGCGGGUUUUACUAUACUAGACUCAUGGUUUUUUACUUGAUUAAUAGAACUGUUACUAAUGCUCCGAUGAAAAUCAAGUUUACGAGAAAUCCAAUCUAUUCGAGGAUUAUACUUUUCUAACCAUGAUAAGCCUAAAAUUACUGGAUUAGAGGGAGAUCUAAUUAUAUUAAAAAUUAUGCAACUACUAUGACCAUUUAUUACUACAUCUACAGGAAGUGUUUCGUGAGUUACAUCUCCAGAAGACAACGGACGACCAUCUAUGACUUCUACGUGUACAGGUUUAGUUUUUUGUAUUAAUGAUAUUCUAUGACAUCUAGCAAAUUCUUCAUCUAAAAAACAAGCUGAGGCUCCUGAAUCUAUCAAGGCAGAGGCUUUGUAAUUAUUAGGUCCUAAACGCACAUCUAUUAUAAAACAAGGAGAUGGUUCUGAGGAGAGGAUAGGACCUUCAUUAGAAGUUGUACAAGAUUCCAGCCGCACGGUCCCUAUUGUAGCUGGACGUACUCGUUUUCAGACAUACUGUCUUCUUUGACAGCCGUACUCCUCAUUUUGUAGUUACGUCGCUUCUUUGGACAAUGUUGAGCAGUGUGCUUAGGUUCUCCACAAUAUAAGCACAAUCCUUCUUGUCGACGACGAGACUUUUCUUGCUCAGUAAGAGGUUUGAAACGUACCGCAUCAAUUUGCAUAUCCUCUACUUUUGAAGGUAUGUGUUGAGGAGACGUCGGUGUUGCCAUUGAAUUGUAGUAACGUUGAGGCCUACUUGUGCGACUCUCGGAUCGAAAUUCAAAAAGUUGAUUGUCGCACUUCACAGCAAAGUCAAUUGCUUGACUCAAUGUUUGAGGAUCAGGUAAAUUAAGCAUCAAUUUCUUUACCUCAUAUUGUAAUCCGUAGAGAAAUUGACCCACAAGUGCGGCAUCAUCCCACUUGAUAUCAGUUGUAAGUUGUCGAAAUUACGAAGCAUAUAAUGUUACUGAUCGAUUGCCUUGUCGCAAAAUACGAAUCUUGUUGGUUGCAACACGAAUUGCAUCAUGUUCUCCAAACAUGGAUCGAAACUCCGCCAAAAAAGCCUCCAUAUUAUCCAAUAUUGGAUCUCGUCGUUCAAGAAAAGAUGAAAACCAUGACAAUGUUGAACCUGAAAGAAGUGUACCAAUGAAUCUAACUUGUGACCUUGGAGUUGGAUAGCUCUGGGGUUGAAGUUCAAUUACUAAUUGGACCUGAUUGAUGAAUCCUCGAAACUUGGAUCUGGUACCAUCAAACUUCUCGGGCAAGGCCACUCUCGGUUCUCUAACACUCGAAGGGUGUUCCAUUCUGGGAGAAGGAACAUGGUUUGGUGCAGAUGUUGAAGCAGCCCCAAUCAUCUCUAUAUCUUUACUUCCUACCAUUCUUGUUGCUCCUUGUGGUGGUAAAUUGAGUUGAUGCAUCGCAAGCAUUAACUCCCUCAAUUGUUCUUGCAUCUGUGCCAUUGCACUCUUCAUUUCAACAAGCUCUGCCAUAGUAGCACUUAGAAAGGAGAAGAUGUCUAAUAACGCUCAAAACAAAUAGAAGAGAGGAAUUGAUAACAAAGAAAAUACUAAGAACAAUAUCAGUUUAAAAGAGGGUAAUCCGCAACUUCUAAUGCGCUUAUGUCUUAUCAAAAAAAAGGGGUAAUCCACUCUUAAUCAAGAAAAGACAAAGCUCUCAUAUUGUAAGUGUACUCUUGUCAAUCUGUCAAGGACAAGAACUCGAUGAAAGCUUAAGAGUAAGUGAGACUUUUCUCAAAGAAAUAGGACAAAAUAGAAAUAUGUAUAUUAAGAAAGAAAUUAGAAUGGUUAUUGCCAAAAUACAAGAAAACUAGAGACCCUUGAAACUAGACUAGAAGCAAGAAAGGAGUUGACAAGAGUGAAGAAGCCUUCACUCUUGUCUCUAUAUAUACUAUCUAACUAGGGGCUACGUGGCGACGUUCUAUAGGACCUCCAAUAUGUGUUGACUUUGUAGGACACAUGCCUUGACUUACAAGGCAAGUUUUUCUACGUGUGGGCCACAUAGUUAGCUUGAUCUUCAAGCUAACAACAUGUGUGGCACAUGGCCAACUUGUUGACCACGUUUCUAAUCCAAAAAGUCAAUUAAAGACACCUAUGAAGUCAAAGCAGCGUCUAGGAAGUUUCUAGGAAGCUUCUAUAUUAAAUAUUAUACAAUUAACUUACUUUUAUCUACUUUUACUUACUUCUACCUAUUUCUAUAUGUAAUUAUUAGCUUACAUGAUUAUGGCCGUGACAGUUGCAAAUUAGAAUGUACCCUAAGUAAUUUUAAAUUAUCAAUACUUGUGAGAAUAGAUUUUUUUUGUUAUAAGAAAUACUCUAAAUUAGCCAUUUAAGUGAUUUAUAUGACAUACUUUAUAAAAAAGAAAAAUUUGUUUAGGUGUGAUACAUCUUCACAAUAUGUUGUCAAUGUUGAAAUCAUAUAAGGUCUUAUUGACAAACAUAUAAGAGAUAGUGGUGUAACAAAAUGACUUAAGGAAAAAAAAAAUAGAAAUGUCAACUAGACACUAUUUGGUGUAGUGAUAGUGCAUGAUUUGGUUGCAAAAGAUAGAAACAAAAAAGAAGACUAUUAAGGCAAAGUUUGUGGCAAUCAAUUUCAAUAAAAAUAGGCUCUUGUAUGCAAGACAAGAUAUCCUUAUUGCAAUAAGAUUUCUCUGAUCAAUAUUCAACAUUGAAGGAAAAUUCUUCAAGCACAAGUAACCACCAUGCAAGUUGUCUCAAGCAUAUGGAUGUGUUCUGCAAAAACUUUAAGGCUUUGCCAUUGAUAUGGAUGGUGAAUUAUUACCCAAAAUAUAAAGCUUGAAUUCUUAUGUAGGGUGCCAUGUAGAAUGACAGAAACAUUGGCAUCCUGUUUGGAAAGUUUCCCUAGCUGUAGGGGGAUUGUUGCUACAUGGAUCCAAAUAAGAAAGAUCUCCGUAAACAUUUAAUUUAGAAAAAAAAGAAGAAGAUGUUCAGUCACCGAUCCCCGUUGGCAACGGUGACAAGCUUUCAAGCGGGUGCAGGAGAGCCUGGGGGAGAGGGCGGAGGGGUGACGUUCCCAAGGGUGGGGAGUUGCGGGAACAUGUGGCGGAUUAGGGUUUGUGUCUUCAGCGGGGUGAGUGGCGCCGAAACCCUAUAAGUUGUGCCAUCGGCAGGCCCAGCGAACCACAGCGGGAGUGUGUGAUUCUCAAUCUCGGCACCGGACCGGGUGUACGUAGAGUGGCACCGGUGUUUGGCUGGUGUUGGUAUGGUUAGCCCAGGGUUGAUUGUUGAUUGUUGUGUGGCGCCCAUGUUUCCUUGAGUCGGAGCUGCGGUUUUUCUUGGCCCCGGAGCGCCUACAGGGUGGGGCGUGCGUUGUGGAUGUGGAGGUUGGAUGUGUGGUCGGGUCAUUGUGCGCUGGUGUCUGUGUGGACAUAAUGUGUUGGAGGACCGCAAUGAUUAGAAUUGGUAAUCAGCCGGCUGGCUGAAACUUCCAUAAAAAAACAUACAGAACAUCUAAGGGUCUGAGCGGAUGUGGGUGUUGCGAAGGAUGGUUAGGAGGCAAUCUGACUAGAGUCACUCGUGUGCUGGUGAUCAAUAGCACAUAGAGCGCUGAAAGUUGCCGAGAACGAUGUCACGGGCAGCUGUUCGACCUGACCCUGAAGAAUCUACCUGCGCAGGAAGAAGCUUCCGUGAACAGCGUGAAAAUGAAGUGUGUGAGGGUGAGUGUGGGGGGAGGGAAAUUGUGUCGGUGAGGAGAUUGAUGUCAUGCACCACACUGAGUUAACUGUGCUGAGAUGACAAUAACACCAUAAGAAUCACUGAGACAUGGACUUCUGGGCAGUAGGGGGGUUUUAGGAGUUUCGUUUUGCGGGGUGUGGGAGCGGUAGGUGCAGAAGGUUGUGAGGAAGAGUUGGGCGUGGAAUGAUGGACGGGCAGGUGCGGAGGCAUGUGUGGGGCUGGAAUUAGGGUCGGAUGGAUGGGGGUUGCUGUGAUGAUACCAAAGUGUUUCGGACUAGAGUUUCUGAUCUGGGGUAGUAGCCAGCAUUGAAGAAACCACUCUUGGCUGUCUGAGCAUUGGGGUUGUCGUGUAUGAGGGUGGUUGGCAUCGCGAAGCUGCGUGUGCAAAUCUUAAGUAUGCCGACAGUGAAGGCGGCUGAUGUGUAGUUUAUAUGUGUGGCGAAAGGGUGAACUGUAUUGUGACGAGGUUGGAGGAGAGAAUCUUUUGGUCUAUUUCACUGCAGCCUAACACAUGAACGGAGGUGUGGAGGAAUAGCACCCCCAAGACAACCCUGAAACUAACAACAUGUAGCAGUAACACAAGGAUUCAUCGAAUGGUUCCAAUAAAUCUGAACCAUAACCUACAUGAGUGCAAUCUGAGUAAUUGAACAGUAUGGAAAGGCUCACGCAAUAAAUAUCUUAAGAGUAUUUUCCUGAGAGCUGAUGACGGAUGUGGGGAUUAUUCUCUCAGCCGAGCAGGCUCGUGCAUGGUUUAACUGUGGAUACGUAGAUUUUUACGAAUUGUUUGCUUUCAGAUGGAUUGCUGGUUAAAAUCUCGAGAUGUGAUUAUUGCUGAUUUGCACAACCUUUGUUCCUUCACAAAUGAACAAGGGCCAUCCUACUUAAAGAUAGGGGUGAAAGGUUGGACAGGAGAUAUUGCAAUAAGUCAUCCGGGGUUGCAUUGUUACCUCGAAAGAGAGAAUCGGAGUGCAAAUCCGAAAGAUCAAAUCGAAGACUUAAUCCUUGCUGUGCCCGACGGUGCAAUAUCACACAAUGAACUGUGAGCGUUACUCGAGAUCCAUUAGAUGCCUCGACUAGGAAUUGGACACGGCCAUGUAACCAAAAGUUAGUCCUCACAAUCGAAGGGUUGGGUUCCAGGUGCAGAGACGCCGAGCAUAGUCUGUGCGUUGCACAAGAUCAGAGUUGCUUCGUUUUGAGGAUGACUUUGUCAUGCUCUCGAGGAAGGAAGGACCCUAUGGACUCAUCAAAUGUUAAGCUCACUGAUGAGUAUGAGGCGAUGGACCUUAGAGAGAUUCACUGCCGCCUUAAAAAGUGUAGGGUUUGAAGGUUCCAGCCACCCACUCCUCGACCUCGUUCCAAUCUUUGAAAGUCCAUUGGAGGUUCAAUGUGGAGGAUCUCAUGAGAUAUGCAUGGACGAUUGCAUGCCAAUUAAAACACCAUGACGUGGAUGGUGAAUCCGACCAGUGUAAAGAGGAAUGAGGUGAGAUAUGAAAUACUCAAUGUGGCAUGGAAAGGAGCAGUGGGUUCACUUGUGUAUGUAAUAGUGGGUACAACAGCGCAAGCUGCAAUUGUAAUUACCUCCCAGAGCCACCAUGUGGCCACACCAUUUUACGGUAGUUGGGUGGUUGAGUAGGUAGACUCCAGACAUCAACGAAGGCCAUUGUGCAUCUGAUGUUGUAACCUGCAGACCAGCACAUUGAGCAUCAGGAAACUGUGAGCUCGAUCGGAUAAGAAUUCCUUAACUUCAAUUUUAGAGGUACUUUUUAAUUUUGAUAGGAAUAGAUGGUUGUUACUUAUUUCUUACUUCUGUUAAUAGUUUGUACAAUUUACAAACUAUCUCAAAUACAACAUGAAUGUGUACUUGUUUGAGUAAUUGCAACCGUUGAGGAAUAGAUAUGGGUAUAAAUAUAUGAUGUCUUUAAUUGUCCAACUUGUUGCAAUGUACAUUUGUUUUCAGUUGUUAGUAUAAUAACCAUGUUAUCU